rnacentral:lncRNA from 1 species
UUUUUUUUUUUUUUUUUUAUGUGUGUCAUAAUGAACUGUAAAUUUUCCCCAAAUUCUUCUGGAUGUUCAACUAGUGUGACAAAGCAGUUCAGAAAGUAUUGUGCACUGGGAUUGGAUGUUGUUGUCCGCCAGUUGAAAUUAAAGAUACGGCGCUGGUUUGAGGUUCUGAAAGGAUUAGAAUGACGGUUGUUAUUUGCUACUAACGAGGUACAGAAAAUUGAGCGAAAGCCUUAAAUCAUCCAUGAAACUUUUUGUGUGUACUAUAGAUGGUGUUGAAGGAAUGUAUGUGAUCUUGAGAUGGAACUCGUUUCUCAAUGCUAGGGCAUUUUAUACCGCAAUAGAAGCCAAAGUGAAAUUUUGAUAAGAGGCAAAUGCAAGAUUCUUAAUUGGUAUGUCUGUAAGGUUUCCGGUGUCUUGUGGAAGAUCCUUAGUUUCCAGCCCAUUGACAGUCUCCACUGAAACCUUUAAUUCAAUAAUGUCCAGAUUUUUUAAGUAUUAUCAGAACCCAUAAUCUCUCUCUCUCUCUCUCUCUCUCUCUCUCUCUCUCCCUAAGAAGAAGUGAUUAUUCGCCACUCCAGUUGAUAUGCUAGGUAUCGACAUUGUUUCUUCUCUCCCCACGCCAUUGCAGGAUCGCCUUCCCCAGAACAAGAAAUCGUUUCACUCGCUCAAGUACUAAAAUAAGUGCAAUAGUUUAACAAAGAUAAUUCUUUAUUGUGACUAGUGAAGGUUUACGCGAUUCCCUUUCCAUCCCUAACUUUUAGGUUCAGGAUUUGAACCCUCAAUCUAAGGGCGGAGAGAUAGGCUGGCGAUGCUGCUAGAGCACAAAUUUGCCAACCAGUGCAAAUCUCACCUAAACAUCGAAAUUGCCUUUCUAUCCUUCAAUUUCAAUGUUACAACAAUCGUAGCACCCUCUGACAUACACCACUUCCUCGAUAAACAUCGUUACCAAUAUUGAAGAAUAGCAUAUUGUCAUCACUGGAAUCAACCAAAAUCUUGUAAUAAAGUAUUGCUCAAAAUUUGGCCCUCCUUUUCUUUUAUUUGCCAUCCUCAGAUUCCUUUCACUGAUUAAAAACCCAAGUGCAUCCGUAAAGCAGCCACAGAACCAGGCCACCACAACCACAACACUGCCAUCAUUAUCCAAUAUUCAAUUGCAAUUCAAAUGGGCAUUAUUCCCUUGUUAUGCAUUAUGACAUUAUUAACUUUUGUUUGUGGAAGAUGUCUGAAGAUUUCUUGAUUAAAUUAGGAGAAGAAAUCCAUUGCUAAAAGAAACACAUAAACAUGGAAGAUUCCAACCUAACUUGUCAAACACAAGUACAACCAUCAAAACCCUCUGAUAUUUUAGUUUGCAAACAUAAGUACAACCAUCAAAACCCUCUGAUAUUUUAGUUUGCAAUCACCUUCGGCAUUGCUUCUUUCAGAAUUCUGGGCUGGGAUGAUAGUUAGAUUGAGUAGAGAGAGUUGAGGGAUUUUGAAGUGGCUGUGAAAGGGCUUUUAAUUUGGUGAAGAAAGGGAUAAAUAAGGUGGCUAAGAGAUGUGUAAAGGGAACUGAAUUUGACAGAGCGAGAUUGGGAAAGAUCAAAAUCGAAAUGGUGUUUUGACCAUCUAAUAACGGUAGUUUAGACAUGCAGAUAAAAAUUGCUCUAGUGGGAAAAUAUCUGUUUUGACAAUGUCGCAAGCCCGGAAAAAUAUGGUAAUAGAUACUUAUUAUUUUUCUUUAGAAUGUACUUCUCUUGAAUUCUUGCAUAUCCAAUAUUUAUAACGGAGGGAUUUCUUUUAAAGUAAAUUUUAGGUUAGUUCAUCGAGUCUCAUCUUUUUCAAGUUACUAUGAUUUUCCAUGCAAUAUUGGAAGCUUGGGCCCUAUGGUUUUUCCUUUUAAACCCUUUAAUUUAUUAUUUAUUUAUUAAAAAAAUUUUGCCACAAAAUAACCCUUUUCAUGAUAGACAAGGAAGCUUUACAUUAAAUUGUAUAUACAUACAUCAGAGAACUUUAUACGCAUCAGGCUAGACUAGUCUAUACACUCAUAAGAUAACAUCAGAGCUAAUAAAAUUGAAUGUGGGCCAAACAAUCUGGGAAAAUCAGUAAACAACGAAGAUCUCUCCCCCCAUUCCAGAAUCAAAUCCAGAUCUUCCCUAUUCUGAGUCACUUUUGUACGAGAGCCUAUAUGCCGCACACAGCAUUCACUGCUUCAUGCACCACUUGCACAGGCUGUAUCUUCCUCUGUUGAAAGAUGCAUCUGUUCCUUGCUUGCCAUACAAAAUUUUUAGCAGCAGCAAAAUCUAGUCUCCUUAAUUGAUGGAUUUGGGGCAGGAACGGUUGCAGGAAGCAACGGUUCUGAAAGGUUGAUGGCCAAGAUUUGACCAAAAAAAAAAUGUAAGGUCCAAAUUUCGUUUUAUAAAUCAUUUUUCACAUCAUGUGUGGGGUCCACAAAAUUUUGUUCUAUAGUUAUAUGUUAUGCAAAGUGAGUUAAUCGUGUGCAAACUGGCAAAAUGGACAAAAUUGGUCCGGAUGGUUUCUCUGUUGACUGUUCCUUGGCUAAUUCCUUCAAUUAUUGUCCAAAAAAAAAAAUCGGAAGAAUGUUGUUCUGACAUAGGUAUGGUACGAAACUAUGCUUGCCAACAAAGGAAAAAAAAAUUUUAAAUGUUGGCCGGGCUUAGAAUUUUUUUUUUAUCCAUAUGUUUCGGAGCAACCAAAAAGGAGGAGGAAGAGGAAACUCAUGAUGAAUCAGUUCUUGACUCGGUGAUCAAAUUUGUAGCUGAUUCAGUUAAGCAAUUUCUAGUGGCCACAGCAUGGAUAAAGGGCCUUUUCUUGCAUCUUUCUUGGGUAUACUAUAUUUUAUACUUAUGCUAGCUGACCUUUCUACUAUUCAAGAAAAAUAGUCUGACUUUAGGGAAAAAGAAAUAAAAAUUAGUUUGAAUGUAAUUUGUGUGUGUGUGUUUUUUUUUUUAAUUUUCCAUGUAGAUUUUAAUGGCAUUUUUAACUGUGGUUUUAGCUCAUUUUUAGCUGUGAUCGUUUGGUUACUGCAAAACAGCUAGAUAUAUCCUCUAUCUUAGAAAUGGUUAGUAUAUACUACGUAUAGUAGAUUAUUUCUUGAAAUUUAUUAAGUGAUAUUAGUCUUAAAAUUAGUAAGGAUUUUGACUAAUUGCUGGUCAGCAUAUUUUUCUCUGUUGGGUAAAUUUUGAAUUUUUAUUUUCAUUUGCUUCUGUUAUUUCAAUCAAUAUGGAUGGCUACAUGGUGGCAGCGGAUGUGGAAACGGAGCCAGAGGAUUAAGAAAAAGAGCUGCGUUGCUAACUGGGAAAAAAGAGCCCCCAUUGAAGUGGAUGCCAGGCAAAUAACCAAGUUCCUUUGGUGGGUGCUCAUUUUUCAUAAUCUGUUUGGACAUAACAAUUUCUGUGACUUACAAUUGAUGAUCUACGUUGGGCUAUGUGAUUGUUUGCUGGAGCAGAUUUUCUUUGCUUGGAAAAGACUGUUUAGUUAGAGCCGUAGAAAUUUGACUAGGCAAUUGACCCUAUUUCACUAAUUUUAGCCCUCUACUAACUAGUACAGAAUUGAUGGUGUAAAUGUAUUAGAGAAUGAUUUUGUUGUAAAUAUGUUUACUUGCACUUUUUCAUCAUAUUUAAAAAAAAAAAAAAAUUUACAGCUUGGCCGCAAGCCCAGCAGCCAUCAUUUAAAAAAAAAAAUUAUUUUUUCUUUCCUGCCGGACUGACUAUGCUUGGCAGAUAUAGUUUUAUACCCAUGUUAUGUCAGAACAAUAUUCUUCCGAUUUUUUAUUUUUUGGCCAAUAAUCGAAGGAACUAGCCCAAUUCCUGCCCCAAAUCCUCAAUUGAUCGGCAAAGAACUUGGAACAACAUAAUCAAAUGCUGCAACAUAAAUAAAUGUCUACACCACCAGCAUUUGCCUUUGAACAUGUAUAACGUUUACUGCAUAGCAUGUCUAAAAUUUGGGGUCAAGUAUUUAAUCAAAAAGGAAAAUUACCUGUUUCAUCUUUCACAUUUCGCAAAAAUAUUCUUUUCGUCCCUCACUUUUAAAAUAAAGCAAAUUCAUCCCUGACAUUUAAAAAUUAAAGUUAUUACAUCCCUGAACCUAAUUUUCAAUCUGAAUCAAACCAUUCAAUAGCCCAGUAAUAAAUUUCGGAAAUAGAAUUGAUAGAUCACUCGGUGACAUUUAUUAAACCAAAAAAAUAAAAAUUAUAACAUAAAAGGCCAUUCUUUGUCUUGGAAUAGUGGGAUUUUUUUUUUUUGGUAAAUCUUUUCAUACACCGUUAGUAUAUCCGCUUGCGAAUCUAGAUGUGUAUCAUAAAUAUAAAAUUUGGUGUUUAAAUUUAAAUUGAAAUGAUAUGGCGGUACAUAAAACCGUCAGUGUAUACAAUGAUAAUGUAGGAAAGAUUAAAAAUAAUUUUUUAAGGUAAAAGUUCAUAACACUUCAAUUUUUUUCACUUCUUUAGGGUAGCAACGGCUGCCCCUACCCGGCACCUGUGGUGGCCUCCAGCAAUCGUAUCUGUGAUUCUUGAGGCUCCAUAUCCCUAGCAACUACCAACCGUGCCAGAAACACUACUUAUUGAUCAUUAGAUAGUGAAACCAAAAGAAGUGAUUAAAGUGAUAGAAUUAGAAUACUAUCAUUAAACUUGUCAUUGAUCUAAGACUAACUACUAAACUUGUCAAGUAAUUAGUUCGAACCCUGAUAAAUUUUCUGAAGGGAUAGAUACAUACAAUUGUCGGUUAGGAGUUCAUCUGCGCAAAAGUAUUUAGAGACGUCUCAGUCCUUUAACGUUGAAAACAAUUUUCAUAGAAAUAGCUUGCUAGGCGUCAUCUUUUGAUACUCAUGCAUAGCAUGAACUACUAGGUGUGUGGCAAGUAGAUACAAGUAGAAACUUUUUAGGUUCAGGAUAGGUACGGUUAGGAAUUCUAUAUGGUUGUGUAGUUAUCGCACAAUUUACAUGAUGUGGAGCAUAUUUACAUAAUUUUGUUGUAUGGAUAAAUUUUGCUCCUGUACACUAUUUUAAUGCAUAAAUACAACUAUUUUUAUAAAUGUACAUCAAAUUAUGAAAAGUAUCAACUAUGCCAAUACUAUCUAAUACCAAACGUACAUGUUCCAAAGUAUAACGUGGAUAUUGAAUUCUCUUAAGAUAUUUCACACUAUAACGUGGAUCAAUAUCAUAAAAGUAUUCAAUGAACGUUGGCCACAUCAUGAUUCAUCUUUGUUGUUUCUAACAUUUUCGUUAUUUCAACCCACUAAUAUUUUUUAUUAAAUCCAAUGAAUUUUAAGUAAUUUCACUUUGAUCCAUUAAAUCUUAAAAUAUUGAUAAACCCCAAAACGCUUUGUUUCUCAUUUGAACCAACUAAAUUUUUAUUAAAUCUAUAGAAUACUCUUUUAGGGUAGCAUUAUCAUUCAGAAUUUAUCCGUUAGUUUGAACCAUUAAUAUCCAAAUUCCACUUUAGUUCCAAACCAUAAAAGGGUUUUCUAGGUAUUUUUUAAACACGGGGAAAUUUUCUAUAGUUUACUAGAGUAUGAAUGGAAAGUGAAAGUUGCCUGUAGAAAUUCCAUAUGCUGCAAUAGUUUCAAUAUUUUUCUCUCCUUUCGAGCAAACCCUUUAGCUAGAGACCAGUUUGAACAUAAUGAAUAUGGUAAUUGUAUUUUCCAUAGGAUAUGACAUAUAGCUGUUAGCCAACUUGAAACCCCUUUGUUGGAGAGCAGUUUAAAAGUAAUGAUUAUGGUACAAAUGUAUUUUCUACCAAAUAUGACAUACAAACGUAAGAGAAUGUUCUAGCCAUAUCCCUUGGCACGAAGUUGCGCAGGACAGAAAAUGUCAAAUUGCAAAGUGCAAAUUAGACUACUUCUCACAUGUCCUAGCAUUCUUGCCAGAAACUUCUUACAUUUGGGUUCAAGAACAAUGGAGAUGAAAGCCUCUUUGAUCUUCAACACCGUGCAAAAAACUGAGGGAAGUGGUUAUUGACGAAGUUCAACAUCAGAGAGCAACAAAGGGGUAAACGGUAAGAGAAGAAAGGAUGCAAGUUUAGAUUUUCAACUUAAGUUCCAUCAGAACACAGAUUUUUGACUUGGGCAAGGCCAAAAAAAAAAAAACUGGCAGCAGAAUUUGCUUUUCCUAGAAACUAAAUCCUAUAUUAAGAUAUUUUGUACCUUCCCACUGAUUGUCACAAAAUUUGUAUUUAAACUACAACAUAAGAUUAAACUGAAAAAAAAAAAAGAAAAAAGAAAAUUGCUUUGUACCAAAAUUUACAUGAUUAGUGGGCUCAACAAGCUUUAAGACUGCGUCAUUAUGCCUGAAUGAGGUAAAUCUAUCUCAAUUUGCUUCCACAUGAAAAGGGCAACAACAUUGUUUUUCAUCCUCACACCAGCUAUUUCCAGGAGACAAAAUUUAGGCACUUUUAAGCAACAAAUGAUAUCAGAGAGAGUGAGUGGUACAUGCAAGGACAUUUUAGUUUCGCAAGCCAACCCCAAAGUGAAACCUCCCUUUACGUUGAUCAUUAAAUGCAUAUUCAAGUCUUAAAGGCCCCAGAGGAGAAUCCACACGGAUUCCAAGCCCGUAGCCAUAUCCACUGCCGGGCUUUCGCCUUACACCAGCAGGAUCACCUGAAUUUAUGAAGUUCAAUUACGUAAAUCAUGAAUCAUUAUACUGUCAAAGACCUAAGUACAUAAUCAUCAUACAGAAUACAAAAGCAAGCCUUUAAGACCUAGCAACAUCAAUAGCAUAGGCAUCAUACCAUCAAACCAUUUCACACUUUGCCUGGAAGAGCAAUUAGACUAAGAAUCAAAUGCUCAAUCAAAUCUUAUCCAUAUUUAGUUCCACAAGUUCUUUCAAGUUUUCUUAAACCCACUUUCUUAUAUGUAUGGAACACACCCAUGGUGAAGUCAGACAACCCUCGAGGCUCACUUAACAGCAGCUUUAGUUGAGUGCUUCUAGAACUGUGCAAAAAGCAUCAAAAACUUGGUGCCACUUUACUGAAUAACUUUUUCUACUCAACACAAACAAGUAAUGCGGAGUAGAUUAUUAACCUGCCAAAGAGUACAAGUUGCAGAGAAGACAUUGAAGAUCAGAAAGGCAUACCUGGCACAGUAGUUCCAGAUCCAAGGUCAGUUCCAUAAUCAGCAAAUAUGACCCCUUCAACUGGCCCUGUCUGCAAAUAGUUGAAUUCAUUACAAGACAUUCUAAACAGGAGUAGUUCCUCAUAGAGAUUAGAGUCAUUAUCAAAGGAUAAACCACAAAUCAUGAUUUGACAAUGCAAGGUUAUAAGAGAGUUUGGUUGUCCCCAUUAGCUGCGAUUUGGAGAACAAUGAAACAUCACUCAUGAUUUAAAAGGUCUUUUGUUGAGCUGGAGUUAUUGUAGCAAUAAGAAUAAAAGAGCUAAUUUAUUAAAAACUGUCACUUUAAAGAGAAAGGAAGCACAGCACAAUUGAUUUAAAAGAACAUCUAAGAACGUUAAAAGUGUCAUUUGAAUACCCUUUACUUUUGAAUUCAGGAAUGUUCUUCCAGAGAUUGCUUUCUUUUGCUUCCUUUUUUGGCCAACUUACAUAGCUCUCUUCAUAAAUAUGUUUUCCUAUGUCAUUCAUGUUACACCCUCAGUGCCUUAAAUAUAAUCCACAAAAUGGAAACAAAAAUACUAAAAAUCAUGAAAACAAAAUACCAUCAAAAGAAAAAGGAAAAUCUAUGACAAUGCACACACAAAGACAAUGUGCACGUGUGCGAAUUAGAGAAUGCGUACAUAUAUACACGUGCAUAUCCAUAUGUGUGUUAUAGCGCACAAAUUACACAGCAAAACUUUUGGAAGAAAUUCUUAUGCCAGCUUAUAAAAGGCGAUUAACAGAAUCAGUAGGAAAAAAAUCCACUAUUGCAAAUUCUGAGGAUCGAACUUUAGGUUCUCCACCUACCAGAGGGAAUGAAACUUCUCCACAACCAACCGCACAAGACCGACCUGAUCCAACAGCUCCUUCUUCAUAACCCCGCACACUAUUGGUGCCACCAAUUGCAAAUGCUUCAUGCGGUGGAAAAUUUCCCACAACAUGUCCACCAGACAAACUACAAAGAUGAGAAACCAAAACAAUCAAUAAGCUAAUCUUACAGUAUAAAACAGACAUUGAUUUUUGUGAGACUUAAACCAUGACAUUGAAAACCAAAAGCUCCAACCCAAUCUAGGUAAUACUUCAUGAAAAAGUGUACACGGAUAGUACCUUAAAUGAAAGCAAGCAAGACCAAGCACCAAACCCUUCCUCGCACGAGCAUUCACUCUGUUGAAAAAUAGCCAUUCUGGCCAAACAGGAAUUCCCUGAUCCAUGUUAAAAGCAAACUGCACAACAAUUUCAACAAUGCCAAAACAUUAAUGCAGCAGGUCAAUAAGUCUAGAAACUCAACACCAAAACAUAGGAUUGAUCAAGAAAAGUUUACAAUAAAGUUCAGAUAACCAACCAUUGAAGAACCUGGGUCUCCAGAACCAGUAUAAACAGUCUCAAGUUUAGCUAGUAGCAUGUCAUCAUGGGUAUUGCCACUGCAGCAAAAGUAUUACAUGAAAAGAUGCUCAAUUUUGUAGUCCUAGCAGUCACCAAAAUUGUAGCAAACAUAAAAAAAUGCCUACCUUGCUGUAAGUGGGCUGCUAUAGAAAUCCCUUAUGACAGGAUUGCCUUUGUCAUCAUGAGCACCAGUACGCUGAAACAUAGAACAUUUGUUGCCAAGGAAGCCAAUCAACAAGCAAAACACUCGAGAAUGUCCUAAGCGACUUAGCAUAGUAAAAUAAGGAACAAAUAGUGAAGAAUGAUGAACCUAACAACAAAGGCAUAAUGCACAAUGAGGAAAACUAGCAUUUUGUUAUAUCAUGAUUUUUCUGCAAGCAUAGCAGCAUUUGUCAAUACAAAUCCAGCAAAUGUAAAACAUUGACAACAACAAAAUUUUGUCAGAGGAAAUAAGGUACAAAAAUGGGAAGUAAAAUGAAAGUUACUGAUACUUAUGAAACAUCAACAUUUUUGUGGGAUCGGACAAAAGCAUAACAUGUUAAGGAACAUCAGGUCGAUGCAGGAAGAAAUUCACAUUUAAAAAGUACAGAAUACAAGAAAAAUAAGUUUGUGAGUAAGAGAGACUCAAUUUGCAAGUAGCUCAAUUGAGGUCAGCUUGUUUGAGCCUACUCGAGCUUGAGUAGCACAAAAACAUUCAUAUAUCAUUUUUAAAUAAAAAGUGCGAAAAAUUACACACUUGAGAAUAUAUAAAAAAAAAAAUGAGUGUGUGUAGAAGAGAUACAUUGAGCUUGACAAACUUCUGAACCUCACAAAUAUGUAAUCAAGCUCGAGGUCGCCAAGCAAUUUGAGCUCAAUCACUUCAAAUUGAGCUUUCGACCAUGCAAGCUAGCGAUCAGUCGAGUUUAGCUCGAAUAUUUUGCAGUCCUAUGCUUUAUGAUCAGCAUCUAUAUUCUUUUCUCUGAUCCUUUUUAACUAAGUGUGCCCUUGCAAAGCCAAGAAUCAGAUAUAAAAGCUGAGAUUUGAACAUGGGUAUGAUAUUAAUACACCCUUUUUAACUUUUCCCACACCCUUUGAGUGUUUUUUAGGCCAAAUGACAAGCAUGCAUGGUAGGCAAGAAGAAACAUGAUAGGUAUGUGCAAAAAGCUAAGUUUGUGUGGAUAUCAUUGCCCUUUAAACAUUUAGCAUGCACUUCUUAGAAGUUCAUGCAUUCUAGUUCAAUUUCAACCAGGAUACCAAACAACAAAAACUAAAUGAUUGCCAUAUAUGUUAUUCACAUAAACACAGAGAAAUGCCUAGAGAAAUAAUGAACCAGUUUCUAAACGAAAUAGGCACAUAACUGCACAUCAGGAAAUUACCUGAAAAAUAACUCCCAGAGUUCCAUUCCACUUUGGCCUGAAUGGCCGGCCGUAUUCAAUUCCAGCUGUUACACGCCCGAUCGUAAAGCUAUUACUAUCGGGUUGGUUCCCAUGAACAAGUGUAGGGGUUCUGGAAUUCUAUUUAAAGAAACUGAGUCAAAUAGAAAGUCUUAAGUAAAAGAUGAGAUUUUGAUCUAGUCCUAAUACCUGGAUCAUGAUUGACCUUGAGGUCCUUGUAUCAUCUCCUUCAAUCCAUGGGUCCGUAUAGUUAAUUCUGAAUAUUGAGUCAAUUUGCCCCCUCUCCAAUGACACAUUAAGCUUUUGGUUUUUCCCGAAUAGAUUUUUGUGGUAAAUUGCACAGCUGCAGUUAAACAAUAUGAUAAAGCAGCAUACUUUAUAAAUUUAAAUAGGUAUCAUGUACUGAGAUACACAACAAGCACAACAGCGUUAUGACACGGAAUUCUUUUUUUAAUACAAGAUGACUCUAUGCUGGUCUUUCAGACAAUUGUAACAUGUAUGAAGUGUAAUAUAGAUCCCAUUUACAAGAGCAUAUAAAUAACGUGAUGAAAAUUUAGCUUAACAGAUAUCCCAAUCAGGAGCCAGAUAAUUUUUCUUCUUUCAAGGGGGAUUUGGGUACAAGUAAAAGAGGGGUUGUUUAUGAGAAAUGAAAUCCAUUUACAAUUUCAAUUAGAAAGACCUCAAAUACUCAGAAAUAAAGAGUAUACAACACCUCAUUUUCUGAGUUGAUCAAACCAAUUAUAUAGUGUUGUUAGAAUGAAAGCCAACAUCUUAGUAAAGAAAAACUCAUUACGAUGUGGUACUUCUAGUAAUAACCAAAGAAAAUAAAAAAUCAAUCAGUCGAGACAGAGAGAGUCAUCAGAAGAGCAUGCUAAAAUAAUUUGAAGCAAAAGCUAAAACAAGAAAACAAUAACUUUAUGCUGAGAAAAAUCAUUUGUAGCAGCAAGAUUACCUUCCUAUCAGUCCAGCUAGAGGGCCACUUGUUAUCCUACAAAACAAAGUCAAACAAGUAAAUUGCAGCAAAAGACGUUAAAAUUAGCACACAUACCUGUAUGUACAUGUGCCCAUGCUAAAUAUCACAUUUUUUAUACACAUACCCGCUUGAAAUUCCACCACCAGCUGAGAUUCCCCCUCCACUUUUGCGCUCUACGAUAUUCAAUGUCAAAUCAAUCUUGUUACUGUCUGCAGAGUUAUGCCCAGAAAAAGAGAAAACAUUAACAAGUAGUACAGAGAUAUAUGUCACAAUUUUUUACAAAUAAAGCAUCUAGAAUGUUACGCAAAAGUUAUCUGUUGAUUCACCUCCAGCAGGCUGAGGAAUUAUACUAACAUCUUCCAUAAUACCCAUAGUUAGCAGGGUAUCCACAUCUCUUUUCCCCUGCAGCAUACUGUACACCUACAUCAGAAAAAUUCAGAACCAAGUCACAAAAGGAAGCAAAAUGUAAAAUUUAUUGCCAACAAUGUUAUGCAUCUAUAGAAAGUAAAGGCAAAGUGGUAACACCAAAAUUAUGAUACUAAAAUUGCUUGCCAAUCCAGAUUAAAUCUUGUACAAGGCUUGAAACUAAGAAUGAUUGCUACUAAAUAUGGACAAAGAAGUCAACUAAAUCAUAUUCUUAAAGAAAAUAUGCUAUAUCUGGAAAGUGAAACAUGAUAUAUGCACAAAAUGACAGCUUCCAUGUCUUUGGAGUUCAACAAAACAACUAUGUAGACAUAUAAUAUUUAAUGCUUCUAUAAAGCGUAAUUAUAGCAGUUCAGCUUCUGAUUACUGACCAUAACCAUUCAUGGUUGAACAAAUAAAGUUUGUGGUAUGUGGAACUUGUGUAAUACUCUUUUAAGUUCAUUUGAGGAGAGAAGCAUUAAAAACGAGACUACUUCAAAUAAGUCCAAAAAUCAUCUAGAGAGAGAAGAAUUGGCAAAUCAUGAUUUCCUCAUCACAAUGAAAAUGCAUUGCUAUAUUUAAGUAACAACCAUUUAAAACACACUUGACCCCGGUGAAAUAUGUGCAGUUUUACCAGUAUGCCAACCUGAACUGUUUCAAGAAUGUUUCCCCACUAUGAUCAAUUCAACAAACUUGGCAUCAAGUUUUUCACAGAGCAUUUAGAUCCAGGACCCCAUGAAAAGAAAGUAGUAUACUUUAUAAUAAAGAGGUUUCUUGAUAGCUCAAGGACAAAUAAGCCAAUAAACACACCAAAAUCAGGUAAAUUAAUAAGGUUACUAUGAAUUAAACCUGUCCCUUCUUCGUGGUAAGUUGGCGUAGUAUUGUUUCAGGCCUUGUUUUGCCAACAGUUGGCUCUCCACUGCAGUAAUAGGAAAAAUUAGGAUAUAUGAAAUCACCCUUAAGAGGAAAAUUUAGUAUGCGAUAAGCAUAACAGUCCAGCAUCAAGUUCUUACGUCCUGUCAAGAAAACGUAUUGUCACAUUGUUGACCUCAGCUUCUGAAACCUGUAACCUAAUAACGCCACCAGAGAGAAUCUCUAUACCUGAUACCUAGAAAUAGAUCAAGAUUCAAUAAGAUAUGAACUCUUUGUCAACUUGAUGGCCUCACAAUUAUCGAAGUCCUAUAACUCUUUAAGAUGGAAAACAAAGGAGAAACCCUUGUUCAUGUCAGAUUAGACACUAACCAUGCCGAAAAGACCCCUCUCCAUAUACCAACCAUUAAUGGAGUUUAUAACUUCAUCCAGCCGCCUGAUGUUAACCACUUUUCCUGCAUGACUUGACAAAAACAUAAGUGCAACUCAAAACACAAGAAAGCUAUACAUUAAAAUAUUUGUAAUAUGGAAUUCACGGCAGAAGCAGAGGCGCUCUUGCAAGCUUCAGGUAUUUGGGUCAAUAUGCACCAGAAAACAUACCAUAUCCAUCACGAAAGGCAUCCUCUAUAAACUUUGAUGGAAGAACAUUAGCUCCUUCACACACCAACCCCUGGAACUCUUGGUUUGGUUCUACCUUGGGCCACAAGAAACUCAUACAAAUAACUACACAUUCACAGAAAAUUCUGUGUCUAAAAAACCGAGAAGUAUCCUGUAGUAAUCAGAAAUUUAUUCAACAUGACAUGCAACCAACCCCUAAAUAAAUGAACAUUUCAAGGAAGCCUAUAAAAAAAUUCUACAAUCCCAUAACAGCCCACUGCUUAGGAACUGAGGGUCAAAAGUUUAACAAGAAGAAUUAAAUAAAAAGGGCCAAUAUAGGUUCUUGCGGUUUAUUGACAAAUAUAUUGUUUGUGCCACAAAUAAGUGACUAACUACCAAAAAAUGAAAAAGCAAAGAGUGUGCCGUACAUAUAAAUCUCACCAGGUGCAUGCCACCUAUCUGUAGGGCUUGCCCAUGGUGCAUGACAGCAGGGUCCAAAGAAAUGUACAUAAUUUUAUUGGUAAACAUUUUUUGCACUUUUUCUUGAUCUAAACUUUUUUGGUGACAUUCAGCCAUAGAUAGGCAAAAGUCAGUGAAAGUGCAUAUAUAGAAAGCAAGGAUCCCAAUCUUACAGAAACUAAGAAUUGCCAUCAAUCAGAUAGAAAUGAAUCAAUCUUUUACUUAGCCAAGGAGGCAUUGGCCUAGACGCUAAGGCUGAGGCACCAAGAUUUAAAGGUCCUGAGUUCAAACCCCCCUUUCCCCUCCCUGUUUCUUAAAUCCUACCCCUCUCCUACUAAAAAAAAAUGAAAAGAAAUCAAGAUUUUAUUCUUUUCCUCUCUCUUUCAUGUAUAGAGUGGAUGUUAUUCACAGCAAGCAAUUUUUUUUCAAUAAAGAUAUUGAAUUACAAUGUAAUGGCCAGACAAAAAGUGAUAUUUUAUAGCCCAUUUGAUUUGCAGGGAAUUACCUGGGGAAGUAAUCAAACUGUAAGUUUUGGUAAGUUAAAGCACCUCAGAUGUGAAAAAGGAACCAUAAGGAGUAGGACAACAUAACCAACAUAGAGAAAUAUUCAUAACUGUAGUGGUUAUGCAGUGACUUCCAAAUGAGUUUAACUGAAAGAUGUCUACAAUCAGCCUUUAAAACUGUUGAGGGAUGAAAGGUCCCCAAAAGCCGUGGCCAACAAACAGCCCGUCGGCAAACAUUGAUCUUUUGCAAGGUGCACUAUAUUAGGUUUGCCAGACAACGCAGACGAAUAAAAUUUUAUUUCAGUGAAUAUAUACAAGAAUCUUUAAAAGAAGUGCAAUUCUAAGUGACAGGGCUUGUAUUCAUCCUUCAAGAUUGAAUAUUCUCAAGGAAAGGGACCUAACUCUUCAAAUAUGACAAAAGCGUCCUAUUUAAGCACACAUUCAUCACCUACCUGGCUCCAUCAAGCUUGAAAAUAAUCGCUCCCAUAGUUUCAACCCCUCCACCUCCCUCAGCUUUAAUCAGGAGAAAAUUGAGCAUUAAUUCCUUCUGUGAAUUUAUAGGUUCAAUUAGAUUGUUAUGCGCUUUCUUCCUGUGGAAACGGAUUUGGAAGAGCAGUGCCCCAAAACAGUAGCUCUUUUAGCUUGGGAAGCUGUGGCACAAAAAUCCUAACUGGUAAUAUCUUGAGAAAAAGAAAGAAAAUCAAUGUGAACUGCUAUUUUUUGUCUAAAAGAUGAAGAAACAAAUGAUUUAUCAUCUCUAUUUCACUGACCAAUAGGUUUUCGAUUUAUGGAUUAACUUCUUAGUGACUUGUAGUAUUCAGUGGAAAAUGCCAAGGCAUGUAAUCUGUUGAUAUGCUAAAGCUUUUAUACAAGAAAAAAGCUAGCACUUUGAGACAUAGCUUGUCUAUACAUUUUUAGGAUCCUAAAAUGAAGUGAACAAGAAACAUCUGAAAUUGUUUCAUGGAAUAUGUUGUUCUUAUCCAUAGCACGAUCCCAGAUGAAACACAACAUUGUGGAGUAAAAUAGUUAGUAUAAUAAAUUGGCUUGUGCACCCUCUUGGUGCCUCAUUUCUUUUCUUUAAUAAAGAGACUUUCAAAAUAAUUUAAUAAACAAACUAAAACAGACUAGUGGUCAAGGGAGGACUCUUGGAGUCUUUCCCUCGACUAGAUGCAGAGUUUGAAUCUUGUGCCUAGCAAUUAGGGAUAGGAAGGGUGUGGGCAGACAUGGGAGGGUAAAAAAGAAAGGCCCAUAAAAGCCGACGGUUGACAGCUUCAAAACAAAAAGAAAACAAGCCUAAUGAAGCUUCCAACCUAAAGGCAAGCUCAGUCAGUUUAAUACCUUUUUGCAACUACAAAAAAUUUUCAAAACCUAGUUUUAUCUUUUGCUCAACCUCCAAGAAAAAAAAAAAAGAGAAUUCAUUUGUCCAUAGUUCAUAUUUGAAAUGUUUGAAUUACAUCUAAGAAGAGAAAAUUCAAUUUUCAUACAAAGACUUAAUAAAAAGUUCUCUCUCAGCUCAGCUUUUUUCAGUUUAUUAACCAAAAAGACACCCAAAACAAAACAUCCUUGACUUUACGAGUAUUCUAAAAGUCCUUCAUUUAUUUUACAGACAAGGGGCUAACACAGGUAUACAACAUCAAUAUUGAUACUAUGCACUCAACUCUUAAAAAGUAAUUGCAAAUGAUGCCCCUAGAGAUUUUGUUGUCACACAAGACAAAAAUUCAGACAAAUGGAAUCCAAUUAGGCAGUCAGUGAAUACAAAUCAGUCUCAGCUAAGGUUUUCUCCCGGUUUAGCUAAGACUACCAAAGCUUGGAUGCAGUGGCAAAGCCAAAAUUAGUUUCCAGUGGGGACAAAAACAGUAUUAGGGUUUCUUCUUAUUUUUUUCUAAAAGAUACAACAACAAUACUUAUGUGACAAAGUAAAAAGAAUACAUUUAUAGCAUGAUUAGUAUAACCCAAAAUGACAUGCCCAAACUUACUAGUAAAAAUAAUCAUUUUCCUUUCAAAAGCAUACUUAAUAUUUUUAAAUUGCUCAUUGACCUGCAAUAUUGUUAGGUACAAGGACAGAAAACUUGUAUUAUACUGAAAAAAAAAUCACCCACAUUGCAUUGGAAAAUAUUAUCUUCACUUUAUCUUUCAUUGAGCAGAGCAGUUACUUAAUCAUAUGCACUAAAUACCAAAAUGUAUUUUUUGUUUUAUUGGAAAAAAUCCAGACAAUAUACUUAACUGAUGGGUAAUAAAUCAAAUGACUUCCAAGGAAACUAAAUGAUUGGAGUAAAAAGCAUUUGAUUUUGGAUUGUUUAGUAUUCCAAUUACAUCAAAUUACAAAACUAUUCAAUUGAUCUUGGAGUAAUACAUUCACUGUUGAAAAACUUAUUGGGGGCAAAGCUAAAGAUUUGGAAAAGUUGACGGCUAUGCUAGUGGAAUUUUGUGGGGGUAGGGGCCUCACUUUGAAUCCACUACAGCUUGGAUGUAAUUGAAGUAUAUUAUCUACUUCUUAGACCUUCUUCACAGCAUUACUUAAAUUCUAACUAUGAUUCUGACAUGUUGCCAAACCAAUAUUCUCAUUUUACUGUGUGCACCAAGGUUCACAUAAAAUCCAAUAGCUUUAUGGAAGUUAAAAACUUUGUUGUUACCAAUUAUUGAUAUUGUCUAUUUCAAAAGAAAAAAAAAAUAGAGCAGGCCAUUUAACUACAAGUGCCCCCUCCAACACGCAUGCCAUAAAAUCAACAGUGACACCACUGGUUCAACAACUUUCUUGUUGAGAAAAUUGAUAAUGUCACUUUGACCACCAAAGUCAACCUAAAAUAGUUUGCAAAAGCUUUCAAAAAGGAUGGGCUUGCUAGUUGUGGGAUUGCAUAAAGACCACAUAACUUCAGCCUAGGUAAUGCAAAGGAAUUAUGAAUGCAUUUCUGUAAAAAUACAGCUCGAAGAACACCCUUUUCACCAAUCUUUCCAAAGUACUUUCAAUUUUCUGCUCCAAUGUGUGCUAUUUAAAACUUGCAAGUUCCAAAGGAACUAUUCCCAAGUUCAUCUCCACAAAAUUUACAUCGUUCUCAAUCCCCAAAAUCGACUGUACUUUCUCUAUUUCAUUCCAAAAGCAAACAAAUGACAAUACAAAUGCACGAGUUAUAUUUAAUCAAUCCCCAUACAAAGAAAAUAAAAUUGCUGAAAACAUAAAGACAUAAAAUAAGCACACAAGUAUUUGUGGAAUGUAGAGUACCUGAAACACCAGUCGAAUGCCAUCCCGGGUAUCGACUGCAACCGGCAUGCAAGAGGCAAAAUAUCCACUAGCAAUUAUCCGAUGAACAUCCUCCUGAACAUCACGAACGGUCAACGCUGAAUUCGGCCGCGAAGCCUUCAAAGCAUUUUUGGCCUCACUCUCCAAAUCCUUCCUUUCGAGUUCAUCUCCAUCUUUGUUCGUCACCCACACUUCACUUAUCAAAACCCUCUCUUCAUCACGACUUGUAAUCUGACUCUGACUCGGACUCUUCAGCACUGUCUGAUUUGUGGACCCACUCAAGUCAGACUCGGCAUUACCACCAUCAGAAAGUGCAAGAGAAGCAGAGCAGAGAAGGGAGGACUUCAAAGGAGGGUGAAAACGGAAGGAACUAAGCAAAUUCAGGGGUUUAGGGAAAUUAGUAAAGAAAUUGGUGAUGGAGUUCUUUUUGAGGUUAAAGUUGAAAUUGAGAGACUUUUGGGGUUUCAUUAGAGAAUUGAUUAAGAAUUGAGAGGUGAAUUGGAGCUUUGAGAAGAAAGUGAUAGAGGAAUUGUGACCAAGUGGUGGAAGCUUGAUAGAGCAAGAAGUGAAGCGGACGUCAUCGUUUCUUGGCAUUGUGGAGCAAAGCAAAAAUUCUGCAGUGUUAGAGCUGUAAAAUUGUUAGGGUUUUAUGGGGAUUAGAGUAGGUAGGAGAAUGACUCCCAUGUCAGUGACGAGACAGAUUCUGAAGAAAAAAGUGAAAAACAUAUGUCUAGACAUAAUGGAAUCUCUGCAGUUAUAUCUCAAUCAGCAGUUAAACAUAUUCCAACAACCUGAAAAAUGGUACCAGAGAAAAAAAUUCCUAUUUAUGAGAAACCCAAGGAGCUCAAAGAUGAUAUAUCAUUUUAGCUUGUCGAAAAUUUCACUAUUUCAGCCUGAUGCAAUUGUAUACUCCACUUAACUAUUCCAGAUAAGCCCACUAGUUUACAGGACUAUACAGAAACAAGCACAAAAGGAUAUCUUUUUUGAGGCAAGAAAUAUCAUAUUCAAUCAUGUAUUCUUACAGAGCUGGAGAAACCAGCAGGGUGAAGGAACUCCUUCUAAGCUACACUUUAUACAGAAGAAGUGAAAGUAACCAAAUCCUGGAAAUAGCACCUUUAAGUACACUUGGUCAAUACAUUAACAUUGAAAAGUCAAGGUUUAAUUGUCUUAUAAUGACUUUAGAACUCAUUACAACUCAGAAAUUUCUCAACUACCCAUGUUCUUUAAAACUUUUGUGUGUGUGAUAUUUCUCAACUAACAACCGAUCUUAAUUUGCAGUAAAUUAGAAACAUCACGUACAACCUUUAUCAGGGAAAAAUACUAAAAUUUAUGACAACAAGACACUCCCAACCACAGAAAAAAUUAAAAAAUAAAAAAAAAAUUCUGCACUUACUAAAAAAAGAACAGAAGAAUCGGUAGAAUGAAACUCGAACAAAUUAAAUUGAACACUACAUUUAAUACUCAAACAAAUAUGCAUUGAUAGACCUCUACACGGAAAAUCCCUACCUAAAUGAAUAUUUCAAUCAAAUAUUCUCUUACAUUAGUCCUUAAUCCAGCUUAAUUACGUUGUUUUCACAUUAUUCAGUCAAAAUUAAGUACAUAUCACUGCAGAAGACAGAAACCCACAAAAUAAAACAAAAACAGCCAAUUUUUGAGAUUCCAAUGCAAUGCAGAUACCAAUAAACAUUCAUAGCCAUGUAUUUUCAUCGGAAAACUUAAGUACCAGAAAAAGGGGGGGAACAAAAAAGGAAGCAGAAAAACCACAACUCGAAAGUAGAAUAAAACCGUAAAAUUCAGAGCUUGAAUACCAAUGCAGAUGGCUACACCCAUUCAGAUACACACACCAACAUUUUUAUCCAGAAUUAAACACAAAAUCAGCGAAAUCAUACAUUUAAUAAACGCAAAAAGACUAAAACAACUUACCGAAAUUGCGAAAAUUUUCUGGGAAAAGUUCGAAUUCCAAAUUGAAGUUUGAAUUUAGUGAAUGUCUUGGAGUGAUUGAGUGAGGUGAAACGGCUAAGGGUCCGAAACGUUGAUUGUUAAGCUUCUGAGAGAAACGACGUAGUUUCGUUGAAUGUAUCAUUAUACCUACCAACUCUUUUUGAUGUUUUUAUUUUUUGGUUAAAUGCACUAAACCCCUGAACUUUGCCCUCAAUUGACCUUUACCCCUAAACUUCUUUAAUAGGCGCUUUAUGCACUCCUCUUUUGAUUUUUUGGACAAAAGUGCCCAUGCAAUAUUUUUUUUCUUCUCUUCUUUUUUGACUCAUUCCCUUUUUACUUUUCUACCACUUUUUCUUUUAUUUUUUCCUUCUCUCAUGCCAUUAUUUUGUAACAAGUUCCAUUUUCCUUGUAUAAUCAGUAAUACGUAAAGGUUUAGUUCUUCAAUUGCAAGUUGUCUAACGAAAGAAUGAAAAAUCUAUUCUUAUUUUAGUCAACAAAUAUUUUACUAUGUUUUCAGACUUGGACCGGGAAUUGACUCGGCCAAGUUCAGGGGUCAGGGGUCAAUGGGUUCGACCGGGGUCGAUAGGAGGUCGAACCGGAUAAUGUUAUAAAUACGUUAUAUAUAUAUAUAUAUAUAUCCCUGAAUCAAAUUUACAAAAUAUAACCAAGAACCCAAUCAUCCAAAUUUAUAUCCCUUUCACCAAACAAUUCACCAAAUGUAAAGUUAUACAAAUUUCAUGAAUGUAAUUAGUCAUUUAUGCUAGAAAAAGUACCAGACUAUAAAUUGCCAUGACAGAAAAAACACAUAGAAGGUCUAAAAUAGCCUACAAGAUCACUACAAACCAGACUAGCAUGCAAGAACUUAACCUUUUUGUAAUCUAACUUGCAUGCUAUAUUUGUCAAUUACCACAAAAUUGAAAGUUUAGAAUUUAAUAAGCAGUUUAAAGCUAUCACCUAAUACCUUUAUUAGUUCCACUUGGCUACUCAUUAGACGAAUUAACUCUUUAAUUAAUAAUCAAAUUGUUGCUUCCAGAAUGUCCAGAGAAAAAGGGCAGAAAUAUUCUUCUAUUCUAUCUAUUUUUCCCCCACAAUAACGUCCAGAGCAUAACGAUUCUCUUUCCAUCAUCAAGCAAAAAUGAAGAACACAAUUAGCUUCAGAUUCUAAAAAUUACCAGACUGAACUCGACACCUUGUGCGUUGCUUAAGCCUUGAAAUUUGAAGAAACUGGCGGUGUUGCAGCGGUGGAGGGUGGAGGUUAGAGGUUGAUGGACAGAUGACCGGCGGCAAUCGCAAUUAGGAAACGAUCAACCUUAUUUGGCCCCCCUUCUUCCCCUGCUCCGUCUCGGGUAGCCCUCUUCCUUGAGUUUAGUAUUACGCACUUGAACCCCUCGAAUCCCAGAAGUGGAUUUCUUAGUGAUAUCGCGUAGGAGAACUUUCUAUGUGAUGUGCGCGGCUACAGAGUCGCCUGAAAGAAUUGAUAAGCGCCGCAUACCAGUUUUCCAUUUACUUAUAGCCUAUCUUUCGGAACUUGAGGUACAGUCCAAGGUCGCUUCUUCCUUGACGUAACCCAUCCAGAUUGGGAGCAUCCUAUGCCCUUUACUCAACAAUGGUGCAAUCACCUUCCGUCUCCGGUGAUUAUGAAGAGACGGCGGUCGAGGCUUUUUAGGGUUAAAGAGAAGUAGAUGGCGGUGGAGGUUUAGCAGAGUUCGUUUGUCUAAUUUCAUCCCAUUUUUUUUCCUUUUCUUUUGGGUCCGUUUGGAUUCCUUAUAAAUUGGUAUUUCAAAAACAACUCUAAAAACACGCAUUCAUACGAUAUAUCAAAAACAACUCCAAAUACAUAUUUAAUAUGUUUAUUUCAAUUUGUAUAUUUCAAUUAUGUAUAGGAUAUAUAUAUUAUAUUAAUUUAAAUAUAUUUAUUUAUACAUAUUAUAAAUAUUUUAUUUUGUAUAAAAUAUAUUUUUAUAUAUUUAUAAUAUAUUUAAUAACAUAUUAUAUAUAAUAUAAAUAUGUAAUUAUACAUUUAUAUAAAUAUUAUAUAUUUAAUAUAUACAUAAUAUAUAUUAUAUAUAUUAUACAUUUAUAUAAAUGUACAUUUACACAUAUGUAAUUAUACAUUUAUAUAAAUAUUAUAUAUUUAAUAUAUACAUAAUAUAUAUUAUAUAUAUUAUACAUUUAUAUAAAUGUACAUUUACACAUAAUAUAUAUAUAUUUAUACAUUUAUAUUAAUAUACAUAAUAUUUAUUAUACAUUUAUAUUUAUUAUAUUAAUACAUUUAUACAUAAUAUUAAUAUAUAUUUAUAAUAUAUUAAUUUAUACAUUUAUAUAAUAUUCAUUUAUAAUUUAUACACAUUUAUAAUAAUAAACAUUUAUACAUUUAUAAAUAUAUUUAUAUUAUGUAUUAUUUAUAAUAUAAUACAUUUAUAUAUUUAUUUAUAAAUAUAUUUAUUUAUAAAUGUAUUAUAAAUGCAUAAAUGUAUAUAAAUAUAAAAUAUAAAUGUAUAUAAAUAUAAAAUAUAAAAAUUAUAAAUUAUAAUAUUCAUUUAUAUAAUAUUCAUUUAUAAUUUAUACAUUUAUAAUAAUAUACAUUGAUAAAUAUAUUUAUAUUAUGUAUUAUAUAUAAUAUAAUACAUUUAUAUAUUUUUAUAUAAAAAUAUUUAUUUAUAAAUAUUUAUAAAUGUAUUAUAAACGCAUAAAUGUAUAUAAAUAUAAAAAUAUAAAAAAUUAUAAUUUAUACAUUUAUACAUUUAAAUAAUAUUCAUUUAUAAUUUAUACAUUUAUAAUAAUAUACAUUUAUACAUUUAUAAAUAUGUUUAUAUUAUGUAUUAUAUAUAAUAUAAUACAUUUAUGUAUUUUAAUAUAAAUAUAUUUAUAUUUUUAUAUAUAUAAUAUAAUACAUUUAUGUAUUUUUAUAUAAAUAUAUAAAUAUAUUUAUUUAUAAAUGUAUAAAUGUAUAGUGUUAUAAAAAUAUAAAAAUUAUAAAUUAUAAAAAUAAUGGAAAAUAUGUUUUAAAAAUACAUCUAAAAAUAAUUCAUAAAACAUCUACAGUAAAAGUUUUUCAUAUAGUUUUUGAAAAACAACCCCAAAAACAACUAAUCCAAACGAACCCUGUAUUUGUGUCAAAAGUGCAAAUUUUAUUAUUUUAGUUAUAAUUUUUUAUCAUAUUAUAUUGUAUUCAAAUAACUUUUGUUUAAUUAUUUUUAUGAGUUUCAAUUGUAAAGUUACGAUGAAUAAUAAUUUGGUGAUAUAUUGAUAUUUUAGUACUUGAUUAUUUGUUCAAAUUUAAUUAUAAUAAAUUAUAUAAUAAAUAUUUUUAAUCCCGCUGGUGCCCCCACAGGGGAUGCGGGGCGGGGUGAGGGCGGGACGGGGGAAUUCGAGGCGGGGGAUGGGGCGGGGGACGGGGGUAACUAAUAGGCAAUGGGGCAGGGGACAGGGGAAGGAUCCCCCCCCCACCCCCGCCCCAUUGCCAUCCCUAGUUCCAAUCCCUUGCAAGUUAGUAUAGUGCAUGAGCCUUCAAUAUUAUGCACGUAAAUAUGUGCCUCGAAAUUUCACGUACCCUCUCACCAAUACUAAAUUUGAUCAAUCUAAAAUAUAGCUAUAACAAACCAAAUGAAUCUAUUGAAAAGAACCUCUCAUUAGACUAAAUUCAAGAUUUUAACUUAACUUUACCAAACUUUUAAUAAUGUUAUAUUUAAGUGAGCAUGCACAUGUUUCCCUAACAAAUUAGACGCUAUCAACAGCUAUGGAAACCCGUUUCAAGAAAUUGGAACAGAAACUUAGAAUUGUCUGCCCUUUCUAUCGAUUACGUGGCUUAUGAAAAAAAGAGGGAAACUAAAAGAGGGGAAAUACAUCCCAUUAUCUCUAUGUAUGUGCUACGAAUUGGACUUAAAAAUAGUAUUCAUCAGGAAAGAACCCUCAUUUAUACCUUUUCAAACUAAUACCAUUCGCAGUGCUUGUCUCCUUUGUGGGGAGGUCUUAUUGUAGUGUUUUUCAACCUUAUUAAAUGCAGUUCAAAAAAUUUAUCUAUUUUUCCGUAACUGCAUAGUAACGUCCUUGCAAUAUAGGUCUGGUCUUCCAGCUUAUUAUAGUAAGUUGGACAUUCACAAUUUUAUCCCCACCGUGCAACACGCGAUUAAUACCUCCUCGUCUUUUAUAAUCCUUGUUUGAAGCUUCUUCACUUAAUGCUUGGUCAAACUUGAGACGUUAAUUUUAAUUAUUUAAUUUUAAAAUUGAUAAUUCAAAAUCUAAGGAAUAUUAAUUUGGUCAUACUUAUCCCCACCCUCAACAACCUUCAGCUGAGAAAUUUUAUUACAGUCUAGACCAACUAUUUGACAAAUUUAAUAGUUGAGUUUUCACUAGUGGGAAUGCCCUGAAGAAGAAUGUGGAAUUCAUAAUUAUACUUUAAGAUUGUGGGGUCCAUAUUUGUUCGGUUAAGAGUAUUUUAAUUGUGAGAAAUAAACUAUUAAACUUGCCUAGUAAAUAGUAAUUAAUAUGGACGGUGAUAAAAUUCCUUACCUCAGCAUCUAGAAUCAGAAAACAUAUCAUCUAUGUGAAACUUUGAAAUUCAUCUCUAGGCUCUAAUCUUAUGUUAUAUACACUUAUUAUUAUAUUAAAAAAGGCCGGUUUUGCUAUUUCUAAAGGUGCAAACAAGGGCAGUUCAGACCAAUUUCUGUCUCAUGCAUCCCGUGUUCUUCCGUCCAGAUUGCACUUUUCAUUGUAAGUUUUAAGGCUAGACGGCUAGACAGUUUGAUAUCAAAUCAAGAAGUCAAUGAACAACUUGUUUUAAAAAUAUUUUAAAAAAUUCACAUCUUUUUCCAAGUUAUUAUUAUUUACCAACUACACGUUAUUCAGCCUUGUACUAUCCAAAAAAAAAAGUGAAAAAAUGAAAGACAUUUUUUAGAAAUAAAAAGUGUCAAAAGACUCUCAAAUUAAUUUUUGUCGAUUUCAUCUUUGCAGCGCUUUCACCAGUAGGUUUAAUAAGCGACUUCGUACCAGAGCUCGGCCCUCCACUUUUGCAAUAAACUAACGCAACUAGUAUCUGUAUAUACUUAUACUACUACUUGGGUCAAGGUGCUAUAGUCAAAACCAUGGUAUCCUAUAGUCAAAACUGUCUUUACCUAUACCGCUACUACUACUUCCCCUCAGUUGCUUCAUCACCGGUCACUUUGUCACCAUGCUCAUCUUGAUCACCGGUCACUUUGUCUCUUUGCUCACCGGUAUCACCUGUCUACGAGUCAGUAAUACAACCAGCAUUAAGUAUUGAGAAAAGAUCCGGCUACCCAUUAUGCAUCACCUGGUAAUAAUUUAACACCAAAUAUAAUUUCACCCAUUAUGCAUCACCGAUAUAAUUUAACCCAUUAUGCUACCCAUUAAGACUUUAUAAUUUAACACCAAAUAAAGCCACAUUUAAGAAGAGCAAAUUUGGACAUCUCAAUCUCCAACUUUUCACAAGAGUUUUCAUAACCAAAAUGAUAGAUAGUUAUUUGUAAAUAAGUACAGACGAAGCAGAAGAAAAGCACAAAACACCGAUGACAACUUGUCAAAGAAAUGCAACUCAAAUUACAUAUCGAAUUGAACUAUCAAAUAUCAAAGAUUUGACAAACAAGCUGUGUAUCAAAGCAAAACAUGAAGUGGCCCCCAGCACACCUUUAUAUGAAAGAAGAAAAAGAACCUUUAUGAUAGAAAAAGAAAAAAGAAAACAGAGAUUUUGGGAGAAUACCAUGCGUUUUUCUAGGUUUCCCAUUCUUAGUUGCAGGCCUUUAAUCGUGUCCUUGAGCAUUCGGGUUUGUUCGUCGGUUUUCGUGUCCUUGAGCAUUCGGGUUUUUUCGUCGGUUUUGUCUACAUCCUCCUUUAUAUCCUUUUCCGGGGUUGAUUCAUGUUGCUUUGAUAUCCAGUGAAGCCAUGCUAUGGUCGAUUCAUAGCACACCACAUCGUUGAUAACUCUAAGCAAAUGGAACCGAUUUUCCAGGCCCAAACAGCAUACAACAAACUGUAAAAGAUUAAAACAAUAAUGGAUAAAAAGAAGAAUAAAAAUAAAAUUUGAUUUACAUUGUAAAUUUACAUUUUUUUUCUCACACAUCCUCGUUUAAGACGCAAAAAUAUCCUGUAUAACCAAAAUCCCAAAGGGAUACGGUACAACUGAGAAAUGUCUUUUGCAACUAUGAAAGUAGCCACGUUAAAAAUUGGCUCUGCCAAAGAUCUUCUUCCUUGGUGGAAGAAGUAUAUCUGCAAAGUUCAGGAAAACACAAAAAAUAAAACAUAAAAUCUUUAAAUCUUUAAAUCUUUAAAAAAAAAUAUGCUAUAAUACUCAAGAAUCUCCUACCGAAGACAUCAAACAAAUAGAGCUCAUAUAAGCUCCAGUUUAUCGCCCUUUUUCAUUUCGUCGCAUCGCCAACCGCACACCAUGCCAUACCCUGUCGCUGUUGCCAGUGCUGCAAUCAGAAUAAUCUUCGGUGGAAUGACCCUAGCACCACCUUCAGGGAGGUUCAGGCUAGCAAAUGCUUGGGAAUACAUAGCAGAAUUUUGCAUGGUGACGGUGGUGGUGGUAUUGGGAAUGCAACGAAAGGUGAUGAGAUUAUGGAUGAAACGAUGGCGGGGUUGGUUGAAACAAGAGGUGUCAAAAUGGGUGACUUUGAAGGGUUUGGAUUGGGUAAAAUGGGUAAUGGGUAUAAGUGAGUCAAUCCAUUUAUACCCAUUUAAUUAGAUGAGUAUAAAUGGGUAAGUCAAAAAAUGAAUUGGGUAACCCAAUUACCCAUUUAUUUUAAUUUUUUGUAAAUUCAUUUUUGCAAACUAAGUUAUCAAUUUAUACCGCUCUUUGUACCCAUCAUUAGUUUUAAAUAUUUACUUAUAAUGUUCAAUAAGCCUAAUUACCAAAUUUUUUUCAUUUAUACUCUAUUUCACAAAAUUACAUAUUAUUUAAUAAUUGAAUAAUAAGAAUAUAAAAAUUUGAAUUAAGUACUAUAAAAGUUAAUAUAAAAAUUUAAUCCAAAAAUUUUUAACCCCUAAAAUUUUUUCAUAUAUAAAUUUAAAAUUUCAUUUUAGAAAGAUAAGAAAAAAAACUCAAAUUUAUCAUAAGUUGGUAAUGUCGAAAAAUGAGCAAGUUAACAAACUAAGAGAAAACAAAAUAAUAAAAUAAAACCAACAAAUAAUAAUAAUAAUGAAACAAAAGUAGUUAACAUAAUGACAAAAUGAAAAAUUUGAAAAAAAAAUGGGUGGGUGAAAAUAAGAGAUUUAGGGGAAGAGAAUUUUAAAUAGGUUAAUUGGGUUUGAUGGGUUACCCAAUAAUAACCAUUUAUUAAAUGGAUAUUAUUGGGUAACCCAUUUAUAUCCAUAUACAAAAAUUUAAGAUAAUCAUACCCAUCUAUUCAUGGGCGGGUAUGGAUAAAUUUAGUUAAGUGGGUUGAUUUGCCACCUCCACUGAGCAUGCACAUGUUUCCCUAACAAAUUAGACGCUAUCAACAGUUAUGGAAACCCAUUUCAAGAAAUUGGAACAGAAACUUAGAAUUUUUUGCCUUUUCUAUCGAUUACGUGGCUUAUGAAAAAAAGAGCGAAAAUAAAAGAGGGGAAAUACAUCCCAUUAUCUCUAUGUAUGUGCUACGAAUUGGACUUAAAAAUAGUAUUCAUCAGGAAAGAACCCUCAUUUAUACCUUUUCAAACUAAUACCAUUCGCAGUGCUUGUCUCCUUUGUGGGGAGAUCUUAUUGUAGUGUUUUUCAACCUUAUUAAAUGCAGUUCAAAAAAUUUAUCUAUUUUUCCGUAACUGCAUAGUAACGUCCUUGCAAUAUAGGUCUGGUCUUCCAGCUUAUUAUAGUAAGUUGGACAUUCACAAUUUUAUCCCCACCGUGCAACACGCGAUUAAUACCUCCUCGUCUUUUAUAAUCCUUGUUUGAAGCUUCUUCACUUAAUGCUUGGUCCAACUUGAGGCGUUAAUUUUAAUUAUUUAAUUUUAAAAUUGAUAAUUCAAAAUCUAAGGAAUAUUAAUUUGGUCAUACUUAUCCCCACCCUCAACAACCUUCAGCUGAGAAAUUUUAUUACAGUCUAGACCAACUAUUUGACAAAUUUAAUAGUUGAGUUUUCACUAGUGGGAAUGCCCUGAAGAAGAAUGUGGAAUUCAUAAUUAUACUUUAAGAUUGUGGGGUCCAUAUUUGUUCGGUUAAGAGUAUUUUAAUUGUGAGAAAUAAACUAUUAAACUUGCCUAGUAAAUAGUUAUUAAUAUGGACGGUGAUAAAAUUUCAUACCUCAGCAUCUAGAAUCAGAAAACAUAUCAUCCAUGUGAAACUUUGAAAUUCAUCUCUAGACUCUAAUCUUAUGUUAUAUACACUUAUUAUUAUAUUAAAAAAGUCCGAUUUUGUUGUUUUUAAAGGUGAAAACAAGGGCAGUUCGGACCAAUUUCUAUCUCAUGCAUACCGUGUUCUUCCGUCCAGAUUGCGCUUUUCAUUUUAAGUUUUAAGGCUAGACGGCUAGACAGUUUGAUAUAAAAUCAAGAAGUCAAUGAACAACUUGUUUUAAAAAUAUUUUAAAAAAUUCACAUCUUUUUCCAAGUUAUUAUUAUUUACCAACUACACGUUAUUCAGCCUUGUACUAUCCAAAAAAAAAAGUAAAAAAAUGAAAGACAUUUUUUAGAAAUAAAAAGUGUCAAAAGACUCUCAAAUUAAUUUUUGUCGAUUUCAUCUUUGCAGCGCUUUCACCAGUAGGUUUAAUAAGCGACUUCGUACCAGAGCUCGGCCCUCCACUUUUGCAAUAAACUAAUGCAACUAGUAUCUGUAUAUGCUUAUACUACUACUUGGGUCAAGGUGAUACAGUCAAAACCAUGAUAUCCUAUAGUCAAAACUGUCUUUACCUAUACCGCUACUACUACUUCCCCCCAAAUGAUUCAUCACCGGUCACUUUGUCACCUUGCUCAUCUUGAUCACCGGUCACUUUGUCUCUUUGCUCACCGGUAUCACCUGUCUACGAGUCAGUAAGACAACCAGCAUUAAGUAUUGAGAAAAGAUCCAGCUACCCAUUAUGCAUCACCUGGUAAUAAUUUAACACCAAAUAUAAUUUAACCCAUUAUGCAUCACCGGUAUAAUUUAACCCAUUAUGCUACCCAUUAAGACUUUAUAAUUUAACACCAAAUAAAGCCACAUUUAAGAAAGCAAAUUUGGACAUCUCAAUCUCCAACUUUUUACAAGAGUUUUCAUAACCAAAAUGAUAGAUAGUUGUUUGUACAUAAGUACAGACAAAACAGAAGAAAAGCACAAAACACAGAUGACAACUUGUCAAAGAAAUGCAACUCAAAUUACAUAUCGAAUUGAACUAUCAAAUAUCAAAGAUUUGACAAACAAGCUGUGUAUCAAAGCAAAACAUGAAGUGGCCCCCAGCACACCUUUAUAUGAAAAAAGAAAAAGAACCUUUAUGAAAGAAAAAGAAAAAAGAAAGCAGAGAUUUUGGGAGAAUACCAUGCGUUUUUCUAGGUUUCCCAUUCUUAGUUGCAGGCCUUUAAUCGUGUCCUUGAGCAUUCGGGUUUGUUCGUCGGUUUUGUCUACCUCCUCCUUUAUAUCCUUUUCCGGGGUUGAUUCAUAUUGCUUUGAUAUCCAGUGAAGCCAUGCUAUGGUCGAAUCAUAGCACACCACAUCGUUGAUAACUCUAAGCAAAUGGAACCGAUUUUCCAGACCCAAACAGCAUACAACAAACUAUAAAAGAUUAAAACAAUAAUGGAUAAAAAGAAGAAUAGAAAUAAAAUUUGAUUUACAUUGUAAAUUUACAAUUUUUUUCUCACCCAUCCUCGUUUAAGACGCCAAAAUAUCCUGUAUAACCAAAAUCCCAAAGGGAUACGGUACAGCUGAGAAAUGUCUUUUGCAACUAUGAAAGUAGCCGCGUUAAAAAUUGGCUCUACCAAAGAUCUUCUUCCUUGGUGGAAGAAGUAUAUCUGCAAAGUCCAGGAAAACACAAAAAAUAAAACAUAAAAUCUUUAAAUCUUUAAAAAAAAUAUGCUAUAAUACUCAAGAAUCUCCUACCGAAGACAUCAAACAAAUAGAGCUCAUAUAAGCGUCCAGUUUAUCGCCCUUUUUCAUUUCGUCCCGUCGCCAACCGCACACCAUGCCAUACUCUGUCGCUGUUGCCAGUGCUGCAAUCAGAAUAAUCUUCGGUGGAAUGACCCUAGCACCACCUUCAAGGAGGUUCAGGCUAGCAAAUGCUAGAGAAUACGUAGCAGAAUUUUGCAGGGUGACGGUGGUGGUGGUAUUGGGAAUGCAACGAAGGGUGAUGAGAUUAUGGAUGAAACGAUGGCGGGGUUGGUUGAAACUAGAGGUGUCAAAAUGGGUGACUUGGGCGGGUUUGGGUUGGGUAAAAUGGGUAAUGGGUAUAAGUGAGUCAACCCAUUUAUACCCAUUUAAUUAGAUGAGUAUAAAUGGGUAAGUCAAAAAAUGAAUUGGAUAACCCAAUUACGCAUUUAUAACCCAUUUAUUAUAAUUUUUUAUAAAUUCAUUUUUGCAAACUAAGUUAUCAAUUUAUACCGCUCUUUGUACCCAUCAAUAGUUUUAAAUGUUUACUUAUAAUGUUCAAUAAGCCUAAUUACCAAAUUUUUUUCAUUUAUACUCUAUUUCACAAAAUUACAUAUUAUUUAAUAAUUGAAUAAUAAGAAUAUAAAAAUUUGAAAUAAGUACUAUAUGUUGACCUUGGUCGAUCAAUCCUUGGUUUUGAUGAUUAACAAACCAAAAUGUAGAUUUGGGCUAAUGUUUUUAUGUGAGCAAUUUGUUAGAACAGAUUCUUGUGGCACAAAAGAAGAAGCAAAAACAGGGCACUCAUGUGGGACGUCCGAAAGGAAGCUAUCGGACGUCCGAAAGGAUGAAGAACAUCAAGAAGGAAACUCUGUGGACGCUCGUGAGGAAGCAUCGGACGUCCGGAAGGAUCGGACGCACGCCUCGGACGCACAUCGAUCACAUCGGACGUCCGAGAAAUUUCGCAAAGAUUUGAUGACUCUCUGACGACGUUCGGACGCAGGGUUCGGACGUCCGACAGGCCAACGGCUAGUUUUGACAGCAUUUAAUAUUUGACCGUUGGAGAGCCUUUUGAAGCCAUUUCUCACCUUCUAUAAACACCCCAAAGCACAAGAAGAUAAAGAACUUUUGCCAACACAAAAUACAAGCUUAUAAGUGAGAUUUUUGAGUAGAAAGAUUCUUUGUUGGUUGUAUAAGGGGUUGGGAAAGUUGGGUUGUGAGGUUGCUCAAGUGAAGGUUACUCUCUAGGAGGAGUAAAACCUUGGUGAAGGUGAACCUAUCACUUGAAGUGGUAAAACCUUGGUGAGGGUUGCCUCAUUUGUAUAAAAUAGCUCUUAAUUAGGUGUGUGAUCUUUCAAGUGUAGGUUGUUGAGGGUUAACUUGAAUAGUUGUAAAACUCCUUGGCUCAACCAAAGUGUGUUUGGGGUGAGGAAGGAGUGGGCCUUCACUUGUACAUCUUGGUUAGCAUCGCCAUCUAUUGAAGAGGCUAUUGGAUUGAUAUUUGGUUUGCAUUUCUUAUCUUUUCUCUUUAAUUAAGUUUUCUUUAUUGUGCUUAAAUUUGAUAUAUUUUUGUGCAUCAUUGUGAAAUUGUUUGUACUCUUUGGGUUGCACCAGGACUUACAAUUGGUAUCAGAGCUUGGUCUCUUUUGAUCAAGCUUAACCGCUUAGAGUAAAGAUCAUGGCAACCAUAAAAGUUUCUUUUUUAGAAGGGCAAUCUAUUGAUAGACCACCUAUGUUUAAUGGUUCUCAUUUUAGCAUGUGGAAACAAAGAAUGAUGAUUUUCUUACAAUCCGUUUAUAUUGAAUUAUGGUAUGUGGUAGAAGAUGGUCCUUAUGAAGCCAGAAUAAUUGACUCUACCACUAAUUUGAGUAGAUUAAAGACUAGACAAGAAUUGAAUGAAAAAGACAAGAGAUACCUUUCUUUGAAUGCCAAGACCAUGUAUAUAUUGUACAAUGCAUUAGAUGUAAAUGAAUCUAGUAGGAUUAAAGGUUGUAAAUCAGCUAAAGAUAUUUGGGAUAAAUUGUGUGUAUUUCAUGAAGGUAACCAAGAUAUUAAAGAACAAAAGAAAUCUUUGCUUGUUUCUCAAUAUGAAUUUUUCAAAAUGCAUCCUCUUGAAAAUGUUGAUAAGAUGUGUAGUAGAUUUUGUGACAUUAUUCAAAAUCUUAAAUUGCUUGGAAAAGAAUAUUCUUUGGGUGAGAAAAAUAGAAAGAUUUUGAAUGCCUUGCCAAAAGAAUGGGAAAACAAAAUAAAUGUUAUAGAAGAGGCAAAGGAUUUAAAUUCUAUGUCCAUUGAAUCUCUUGUGAAUUCCCUAACCUCUUAUGAAUUAAAGCUGAAAUUCAAAGUGCAAGAGGAAGAAAAUGCAAGAAUGUAUAAGAGAGCCAUAGCUUUUAAAGCAUCUCAAGUGGGGGAUAACCCAUCCUUCAUGGGUAAUGAAAACAUGGAAGUGGACAAUGAUAUAACUCCUCACAUCAAAAGUUUCAAGAAGAUCUUCAACAAGAGAAGUUCAAGAGGAGAUUGCAAAAUUACAUGGGAUGAAUGCAAUUCAAAAAGAGAAAAAGAAGAGUUGGCACAAAUGGCACUAAUGGCCUUUGGAGAAGAUGAGGUAAAUUCUUAUCACUCUUCUUGUGACGAAGAUAAUGAAGAUGAUGAUGUGAAAAUUCUUAUGAUUAAAAUGCAUAAAAGUUUGAGAAAAUCUUAUGCUAAAAAUAAAGAUUUGAAAACAAAAAUAAAUGAUUUGUUGUAAGAAAACUCCAAAUUUUUUCAAGAAAACAAAUGUUUGAGAAUGGAAAAUGAUGAUUUAAAAAAUCAAAAAAGUGUUUUUGAUUGCAAAAAUAAUUUGAAAAGGAAGUUGGAAGAGAAAAUAAAGUUUUAUGAAAAAAUGUUGGAGGAACAAAAUGUGUUAAAGAAAAGAAUUAAUGACUUGAACGAGUUUCUCCAAAAUGAAAAACAAAAGUUUUCUCAAACAAAAGAAAGCAAAUCUUUUCAAGGCACAAAUAAGUUUGCUAUGAUAAGAAGUAAGAAAAUUAGUUGCAUUAAAUCUACCUAUGUGCAAAAUACUUCUAUCAUGUGUCACUUUUGUUGCAAAUUUGGACAUAUGCAAAAUGAUUGCUAUGUAAAGAAAAAUAUGAAAAAAUGCAUGAAAUCCAUGUGGAUUGCUAGAUCAUGUCGUAUUAACUCCCAAGAACCCUAUAAAGAAGGGGUACCAAAUGAAAUUUCUCAUAUUUAGGUACAUCAUGAAGUUUUGAUCCAAGAAGUGCUAAAUGGUUGUAAGUACAUUUGAAAAUUUUGAUAUUCAAUAUGGUCUUGAUUUGAAAAAUAAAGGGGGAGUUUGUUUUUUUUUUUUGAUUGAUGCCAAAAAGGGGAGUAGGAUUUAUUGAAAUUUCUUUGUAUGUUGGCACUUUCUAAGGGGGAGCUUUAAUUGAACUUGUUUGAUAAAAGAAAUCUUCAUUUUGUUUGUCAUCAUCAAAAAGGGGGAGAUUGUUGACCUUGGUCGAUCAAUCCUUGGUUUUGAUGAUUAACAAACCAAAAUGUAGAUUUGGGCUAAUGUUUUUAUGUGAGCAAUUUGUUAGAACAGAUUCUUGUGGCACAAAAGAAGAAGCAAAAACAGGACACUCAUGUGGGACGUCCGAAAGGAAGCUAUCGGACGUCCGAAAGGAUGAAGAACAUCAAGAAGGAAACUCUGUCGGACGCUCGUGAGGAAGUAUCGAACGUCCGGAAGGAUCGGACGCACGCCUCGGACGCACAUCGAUCACAUCGGACGUCCGAGAAAUUUCGCAAAGAUUUGAUGACUCUCUGACGACGUUCGGACGCAGGGUUCGGACGUCCGACAGGCCAACGGCUAGUUUUGACAGCAUUUAAUAUUUGACCGUUGGAGAGCCUUUUGAAGCCAUUUCUCACCUUCUAUAAACACCCCAAAGCACAAGAAGACAAAGAACUUUUGCCAACACAAAAUACAAGCUUACAAGUGAGAUUUUUGAGUAGAAAGAUUCUUUGUUGGUUGUAUAAGGGGUUGGAAAAGUUGGGUUGUGAGGUUGCUCAAGUGAAGGUUACUCUCUAGGAGGAGUAAAACCUUGGUGAAGGUGAACCUAUCACUUGAAGUGGUAAAACCUUGGUGAGGGUUGCCUCAUUUGUAUAAAAUAGCUCUUAAUUGGGUGUGUGAUCUUUCAAGUGUAGGUUGUUGAGGGUUAACUAGAAUAGUUGUAAAACUCAUUGGCUCAACCAAAGUGUGUUUGGGAUGAGGAAGGAGUGGGCCUUCACUUGUACAUCUUGGUUAGCAUCGCCAUCUAUUGAAGAGGCUAUUGGAUUGAUAUUUGGUUUGCAUUUCUUAUCUUUUCUCUUUAAUUAAGUUUUCUUUAUUGUGCUUAAAUUUGAUAUAUCUUUGUGCAUCAUUGUGAAAUUGUUUGUACUCUUUGGGUUGCACCAGGACUUACAAUAUAAAAGUUAAUAUAAAAAUUUAAUCCAAAAAUUUUUAACCCCUAACAUUUUUUUCAUAUAUAAAUUUAAAUUUUCAUUUUUGAAAGAUAAGAAAAAAGGAUCAAAUUUAUCAUAAAUUGGUAAUGUCGAAAAAUUAGCAAUUUAACAAAUUACGAGAAAACAAAAUAAUAAAAUUAAACCAACAAAUAAUAAUAAUAAUGAAACAAAAGUAGUUAACAUAAUGACAAAAUGAAAAAUUUGAAAAAAAAAAUGGGUUGGAGAAAAGAAGAGAUUUAAGGGAAUAGUUCGAGAAUUCAAGAUCAAAUGGUGGAUAGGAUUCAAUCAAGAAUUUAAUUCAAAGUGUUAAUACUCAAAGAAUAAAUAAUACAGAUAAUAUAUUAAAUAGUAUAUCUCAAACAUUGCAAAGUCUAACAACAGAAGCUCAGACUCAAACUCCUAGAAUAAAUACAUUAGAUAAUAUAAUAAACGAAGAAAUAUCAUCAGAAGAAUCAAGCUACUCGGAAAAUAAUGAAAAUAUAAUUUUACCUAUAGAAGAGCAAUUUAAAGAAGAAGAUAACAAUCAAAUAAAUAAAAUAAGAAGAAGAAGACCUUUUAAAAAUAAUAAAAAAGAUUGGCAAAUAGUAAGCACUAAAAAUUAUUAUCCAAGACCUAGUCCCCCAGAUAUUCAAUAUGAAGAAAGAUCAAAAUUUCAUACCACAAAAUAUGAUGGAGAUUCAAUUUAUGAAUGGAAUAUAGAUGGAAGAGCAGAAUAUGAAGUAUUAAACACUUUACAAGAAAUGGGAAUGGCUAGACUAGCUUAUAAGUUAAAAAAUAUUCAAGAAAGAAAUAUUGCAACAUUACUAGUAUCAGGAUUUACCGGACAAUUAAAAAAUUGGUGGGAUAAUGCCUUAACACUUCAAGAUAAAUUACCAAUACUAGAUCAUACAAUAGAAGUAGAAGAUGAUCAAGGUAAUAUUCAAGUUCUAGUAAAACCUUUAUUCCAUCUAGGAGUAGAUGCUCCUAUAUAUCUAGCUUUAAGAGAUACAAGACUCAAAAGAUAUAAAAUCUCUCUUUUAUCUAUGAUUCAAACAAAUGUAUGUAAUGGACCAAUUUACUUUAACUGUGCUCCAAAUUUUUCAGUAGACUUAACAGAUCCACAUGUUCUGAAUUCAGUCAUAUUAGAUAUUCAUUUACAAUAAUUUAAGAUACUCAUACCCAUCUAUUCAUGGGCGGGUAUGGAUAAAUUUAGUUAAGUGGGUUGAUUUGUUACCUCUACUGAGCAUGCACAUGUUUCCCUAACAAAUUAGAUGCUAUCAACAGCUAUGGAAACCCGUUUCAAGAAAUUGGAACAGAAACAUAGAAUUGUUUGCCCUUUCUAUCGAUUACGUGGCUUAUGAAAAAAAGGGCGAAACUAAAAGAGGGGAAAUACAUCCCAUUAUCUCUAUGUUUGUGCUACGAAUUGGACUUAAAAAUAGUAUUCAUCAGGAAAGAAUCCUCAUUUGUACCUUUUCAAACUAAUACCAUCCGCAGUGCUUGUCUCCUUUGUGGGGGGGUCUUAUUGUAGUGUUUUUCAGCCUUAUUAAAUGCAGUUCAAAAAAUUUAUGUAUUUUUCCGUAACUGCAAAGUAACGUCCCUGCAAUAUAGGUCUGGUCUUCCAGCUUAUUAUAAUAAGUUGGACAUUCACAAUUUUAUCCCCACCGUGCAACGCGCGAUUAAUACCUCCUAGUCUUUGAUAAUCCUUGUUUGAAGCUUCUUCACUUAAUGCUUGGUCCAACUUGAGGCGUUAAUUUUAAUUAUUUAAUUUUAAAAUUGAUAAUUCAAAAUCUAAGGAAUAUUAAUUCGGUCAUACUUAUCCCCACCCUCAACAACCUUCAGCUGAGAAAUUUUAUUACAGACUAGACCAAUUAUUUAACAAAUUUAAUAGUUGAGUUUUCACUAAUGGGAAUGCCCUGAAGAAGAAUGUGGAAUUCAUAAUUAUACUUUAAGAUUGUGGGGUCCAUAUUUGUUCGGUUAAGAGUAUUUUAAUUGUGAGAAAUAAACUAUUAAACUUGCCUAGUAAAUAGUAAUUAAUAUGGACGGUGAUAAAAUUCCUUACCUCAGCAUCUAGAAUCACAAAAAUAUCAUCUAUGUGAAACUUUGAAAUUCAUAUCUAGACUCUAAUCUUAUGUUAUAUACACUUAUUAUUAUAUUAAAAAAGGCCGGUUUUGCUGUUUCUAAAGAUGCAAACAAGGGCAGUUCGGACCAAUUUCUGUCUCAUGCAUACCGUGUUCUUCCGUCCAGAUUGCGUUUUUCAUUCUAAGUUUUAAGGCUAGACGGCUAGACAGUUUGAUAUAAAAUCAAGAAGUCAAUGAACAACUUGUUUUAAAAAUAUUUUAAAAAACUCACAUCUUUUUCCAAGUUAUUAUUAUUUACCAACUACAUGUUAUUCAGCCUUGUACUAUCGAAAAAAAAGGAAAAAAAUGAAGGAAUUUUUUAGAAAUAAAAAGUGUCAAAAGACUCUCAAAUUAAUUUUUGUCGAUUUCAUCUUUGCGCUUUCACCAGUAGGUUUAAUAAGCGACUUCGUACCAGAGCUCGGCCCUCCACUUUUGCAAUAAACUAACGCAACUAGUAUCUGUAUAUGCUUAUACUACUACUUGGGUCAAGGUGCUACAGUCAAAACCAUGAUAUCCUAUAGUCAAAACUGUCUUUACCUAUACCGCUACUACUACUUCCCCCCAGUUGCUUCAUCACCGGUCACUUUGUCACCUUGCUCAUCUUGAUCACCGGUCACUUGGUCUCUUUGCUCACCGGUAUCACCUGUCUACGAGUCAGUAAGACAACCAGCAUUAAGUAUUGAGAAAAGAUCCGGCUACCCAUUAUGCAUCACCUGGUAAUAAUUUAACACCAAAUAUAAUUUAACCCAUUAUGCAUCACCGGUAUAAUUUAACCCAUUAUGCUACCCAUUAAGACUUUAUAAUUUAACACCAAAUAAAACCACAUUUAAGAAGAGCAAAUUUGGACAUCUCAAUCUCCAACUUUUCACAAGAGUUUUCAUAACCAAAAUGAUAGAUAGUUGUUUGUAAAUAAGUACAGACGAAGCAGAAGAAAAGCACAAAACACCGAUGACAACUUGUCAAAGAAAUGCAACUCAAAUUACAUAUCGAAUUGAACUAUCAAAUAUCAAAGAUUUGACAAACAAGCUGUGUAUCAAAGCAAAACAUGAAGUGGCCCCCAGCACACCUUUAUAUGAAAGAAGAAAAAGAACCUUUAUGAAAGAAAAAGAAAAAAGAAAGCAGAGAUUUUGGGAGAAUACCAUGCGUUUUUCUAGGUUUCCUAUUCUUAGUUGCAGGUCUUUAAUCGUGUCCUUGAGCAUUCGGGUUUGUUCGUCGGUUUUGUCUACCUCCAUCUUUAUAUUCUUUUCCGGGUUGAUUCAUGCUGCUUUGAUAUCCAGUGAAGCCAUGCUAUGGUCGAAUCAAAGCACACCACAUCGUUGAUAACUCUAAGCAAAUGGAACCGAUUUUCCAGGCCCAAACAGCAUACAACAAACUGUAAAAGAUUAAAACAAUAAUGGAUAAAAAGAAGAAUAGAAAUAAAAUUUGAUUUACAUUGUAAAUUUACAAUUUUUUUCUCACCCAUCCUCGUUUAAGACGCCAAAAUAUCCUGUAUAACCAAAAUCCCAAAGAGAUACGGUACAGCUGAGAAAUGUCUUUUGCAACUAUGAAAGUAGCCGCGUUAAAAAUUGGCUCUGCCAAAGAUUUUCUUCCUUGGUGGAAGAAGUAUAUCUGCAAAUUUCAGGAAAACAUAAAAAUAAAACAUAAAAUCUUUAAAUCUUUAAAAAAAAUAUGCUAUAAUACUCAAGAAUCUCCUACCGAAGACAUCAAACAAAUAGAGCUCAUAUAAGCAUCCUGUUUAUCGCCCUUUUCAAUUUCGUCCCAUCGCCAACCGCACACCAUGCCAUACCCUGUCGCUGUUGCCAGUGCUGCAAUCAGAAUAAUCUUCGGUGGAAUGACCCUAGCACCACCUUCAGGGAGGUUCAGGCUAGCAAAUGCUAGAGAAUACGUAGCAGAAUUUUGCAGGGUGACGGUGGUGGUGGUAUUGGGAAUGCAACGAAGGGUGAUGAGAUUACGGAUGAAACGAUAGCGGGGUUGGUUAAAACUUGAGGUGUUAAAAUGGGUGACUUGGGCAGGUUUGGGUUGGGUAAAAUGGGUAAUGGGUAUAAGUGAGUCAACCCAUUUAUACCCAUUUAAUUAGAUGAGUAUAAAUGGGUAAGUCAAAAAAUAAAUUGGGUAACCCAAUUACCCAUUUAUAACCCUUUUAUUUUAAUUUUUUGUAAAUUCAUUUAAAUUUAUUUUUGCAAACUAAGUUAUCAAUUUAUACCGCUCUUUGUACCCAUCAUUAGUUUUAAAUAUUUAUUUAUAAUGUUCAAUAAGCCUAAUUACCAAAUUUUUUUCAUUUAUAGUCUAUUUCACAAAAUUACAUAUUAUUUAAUAAUUGAAUAAUAAGAAUAUAAAAAUUUGAAAUAAGUACUAUAAAAGUUAAUAUAAAAAUUUAAUCCAAAAAUUUUUAACCCCUAAAAUUUUUUCCAUAUAUAAAUUUAAAUUUUCAUUUUAGAAAGAUAAGAAAAAAGGAUCAAAUUUAUCUUAAAUUGGUAAUGUCGAAAAAUGAGCAAGUUAACAAAUUAAGAGAAAACAAAAUAAUAAAAUAAAACCAACAAAUAAUAAUAAUAAUGUAACAAAAGUAGUUAACAUUUUGACAAAAUGAAAAAUUUGAAAAAAAAAUGGGUUGGAGAAAAGAAGAGAUUUAGGGGAAGAGAAUUUUAAAUGGGUUAAUUGGGUUUGAUGGGUUAUCCAAUAAUAUGCAUUUAUUAAAUGCAUAUUAUUGGGUAACCCAUUUAUAUCCAUAUAUAAUAAUUUAAGAUAUUCAUACACAUCUAUUCAUGGGCGGGUAUGGAUAAAUUUAGUUAAGUGGGUUGAUUUGCCACCUCUACUGAGCAUGCACAUGUUUUCCAAACAAAUUAGACGCUAUCAAUAGCUAUGGAAACCCAUUUCAAGAAAUUGGAACAGAAACUUAGAAUUGUUUGCCCUUUCAAUCGAUUACGUGGCUUAUGAAAAAAAGGGCGAAACUAAAAGUGGGAAAAUACAUCCCAUUAUAUCUAUGUUUGUGCUACGAAUUGGACAUAAAAAUAGUAUUCAUCAGUAAAGAACCCUCAUUUGUACCUUUUCAAGCUGAUACCAUCCGCAGUGCUUGUCUCCUUUGUGGGGGGGGUCUUAUUGUAGUGUUUUUCAGUCUUAUUAAAUGCAGUUCAAAAAAUUUAUCUAUUUUUCCGUAACUGCAUAGUAACGUCCUUGCAAUAUAGGUCUGGUCUUCCAGCUUAUUAUAAUAAGUUGGACAUUCACAAUUUUAUCCCCACCGUGCAACGCGCGAUUAAUACCUCCUAGUCUUUUAUAAUCCUUGUUUGAAGCUUCUUCACUUAAUGCUUGGUCCAACUUGAGGCGUUAAUUUUAAUUAUUUAAUUUUAAAAUUGAUAAUUCAAAAUCUAAGGAAUAUUAAUUCGGUCAUACUUUUCCCCACCCUCAACAACUUUCAGCUGAGAAAUUUUAUUACAGUCCAGACCAAUUAUUUGACAAAUUUAAUAGUUGAGUUUUCACUAGUGGGAAUGCCCUGAAGAAGAAUGUGGAAUUCAUAAUUAUACUUUAAGAUUGUGGGGUCCAUAUUUGUUCGGUUAAGAGUAUUUUAAUUGUGAGAAAUAAACUAUUAAACUUGCCUAGUAAAUAGUAAUUAAUAUGGACGGUGAUAAAAUUCCAUACCUCAGCAUCUAGAAUCAGAAAACAUAUCAUCUAUGUGAAACUUUGAAAUUCAUCUCUAGACUCUAAUCUUAUGUUAUAUACUCUUAUUAUUAUAUUAAAAUAGGCCGGUUUUGCUGUUUUUAAAGAUGCAAACAAGGGCAGUUCGGACCAAUUUCUGUCUCAUGCAUACCGUGUUCUUCCGUCCAGAUUGCGCUUUUCAUUCUAAGUUUCAAGGCUAGACGGCUAGACAGUUUGAUAUAAAAUCAAGAAGUCAAUGAACAACUUGUUUUAAAAAUAUUUUAAAAAAUUCACAUCUUUUUCCAAGUUAUUAUUAUUUACCAACUACACGUUAUUCAGCCUUGUACUAUCCAAAAAAAAAGUGAAAAAAUGAAAGACAUUUUUUGGAAAUAAAAAGUGUCAAAAGACUCUCAAAUUAAUUUUUGUCGAUUUCAUCUUUGCAGCGCUUUCACCAGUAGGUUUAAUAAGCGACUUCGUACCAGAGCUCGGCCCUCCACUUUUGCAAUAAACUAACGCAACUAGUAUCUGUAUAUGCUUAUACUACUACUUGGGUCAAGGUGCUACAGUCAAAACCAAGAUAUCCUAUAGUCAAAACUGUCUUUACCUAUACCGCUACUACUACUUCCCCCCAGUUGCUUCAUCACCGGUCACUUUGUCACCUUGCUCAUCUUGAUCACCGGUCACUUGGUCUCUUUGCUCACCGGUAUCACCUGUCUACGAGUCAGUAAUACAACCAGCAUUAAGUAUUGAGAAAAGAUCCUGCUACCCAUUAUGCAUCACCUGGUAAUAAUUUAACACCAAAUAUAAUUUAACCCAUUAUGCAUCACCGGUAUAAUUUAACCCAUUAUGCUACCCAUUAAGACUUUAUAAUUUUACAUCAAAUAAAGCCACAUUUAAGAAGAGCAAAUUUGGACAUCUCAAUCUCCAACUUUUCACAAGAGUUUUCAUAACCAAAAUGAUAGAUAGUUGUUUGUAAAUAAGUGCAGACGAAGCAGAAGAAAAGCACAAAACACCGAUGACAACUUGUCAAAGAAAUGCAACUCAAAUUACAUAUCGAAUUGAACUAUCAAAUAUCAAAAAUUUGACAAACAAGCUGUGUAUCAAAGCAAAACAUGAAGUGGUCCCCAGCACACCUUUAUAUGAAAUAAGAAAAAGAACCUUUAUGAAAGAAAAAGAAAAAAGAAAGCAGAGAUUUUGGGAGAAUACCAUGCGUUUUUCUAGGUUUCCCAUUCUUAGUUGCUGGUCUUUAAUCGUGUCCUUGACCAUUCGGGUUUGUUCGUCGGUUUUGUCUACCUCCUCCUUUAUAUCAUUUUCCGGGGUUUAUUCAUGUUGCUUUCAUAUCCAGUGAAGCCAUGCUAUGGUCGAAUCAUAGCACACCACAUCGUUGAUAACUCUAAGCAAAUGGAACCGAUUUUCCAGGCCCAAACAGCAUACAACAAACUGUAAAAGAUUAAAACAAUAAUGGAUAAAAAGAAGAAUAAAAAUAAAAUUUGAUUUACAUUGUAAAUUUAUAAUUUUUUUCUCACCCAUCCUAGUUUAAGACGCCAAAAUAUCCUGUAUAACUAAAACCCCAAAGGGAUACGGUACAGCUGAGAAAUGUCUUUUGCAACUAUGAAAGUUGCCACGUUAAAAAUUGGCUCUGCCAAAGAUCUUCUUCCUUGGUGGAAGAAGUAUAUCCGCAAAGUCCAGGAAAACACAAAAAAUAAAACAUAAAAUCUUUAAAUCUUUAAAAAUAAUAUGCUAUAAUACUCAAGAAUUUCCUACCGAAGACAUCAAACAAAUAGAGCUCAUAUACGCGUCCUGUUUAUCGCCCUUUUUCAUUUCGUCCCAUCGCCAACCGCACACCAUGCCGUACCCUGUCGCUGUUGCCAGUGCUGCAAUCAGAAUAAUCUUCGGUGGAAUGACCCUAGCACCACCUUUAGGGAGGUUCAGGCUAGCAAAUGCUAGAGAAUACGUAGCAGAAUUUUGCAGGGUGACGGUGGUGGUGGUAUUGGGAAUGCAACGAAGGGUGAUGAGAUUACGGAUGAAACGAUAGCGGGGUUGGUUGAAACUAGAGGUGUCAAAAUGGGUGACUUGGGCAGGUUUGGGUUGGGUAAAAUGGGUAAUGGGUAUAAGUGAGUCAACCCAUUUAUACCCAUUUAAUUAGAUGAGUAUAAAUGGGUAAGUCAAAAAAUGAAUUGGGUAACCCAAUUACCCAUUUAUUUUAAUUUUUUGUAAAUUCAUUUAAAUUCAUUUUUGCAAACUAAGUUACCAAUUUAUACCGCUCUUUGUACCCAUCAUUAGUUUUAAAUAUUUACUUAUAAUGUUCAAUAAGCCUAAUUACCAAAUUUUUUUCAUUUAUACUCUAUUUCACAAAAUUACAUAUUAUUUAAUAAUUGAAUAAUAAGAAUAUAAAAAUUUGAACUAAGUACAAUAAAAGUUAAUAUAAAAAUUAAAUCCAAAAAUUUUGAACCUCUAACAUUUUUUCCAUAUAUAAAUUUAAAAUUUCAUUUUAGAAAGAUAAGAAAAAAGGAUCAAAUUUAUCUUAAAUUGGUAAUGUCGAAAAAUGAGCAAGUUAACAAAUUAAGAGAAUACAAAAUAAUAAAAUAAAACCAACAAAUAAUAAUAAUAAUGAAACAAAUGUAGUUAACAUAAUGACAAAAUGAAAAAUUUGAAAAAAAAAAAUGGGUUGGAGAAAAGAAGAGAUUUAGGGGAAGAGAAUUUUAAAUGGGUUAAUUGGGUUUGAUGGGUUACCCAAUAAUACCCAUUUAUUAAAUGCAUAUUAUUGGGUAACCCAUUUAUAUCCAUAUACAAUAAUUUAAGAUACUCAUACCCAUCUAUUCAUGGGCGGGUAUGGAUAAAUUUAGUUAAGUGGGUUGAUUUGCCACCUCUACUGAGCAUGCACAUGUUUCCCUAACAAAUUAGACGCUAUCAACAACUAUGGAAACCCGUUUCAAGAAAUUGGAACAGAAACUUAGAAUUGUUUGCCCUUUCUAUCGAUUACGUGGCUUAUGAAAAAAAGGGCGAAACUAAAAGAGGGGAAAUACAUCCCAUUAUCUCUAUGUUUGUGCUACGAAUUGGACUUAAAAAUAGUAUUCAUCAGGAAAGAACCCUCAUUUGUACCUUUUCAAGCUGAUACCAUCCGCAGUGCUUGUCUCCUUUGUGGGGGAGGGGUCUUAUUGUAGUGUUUUUUCAGCCUUAUUAAAUGCAGUUCAAAAAAUUUAUCUAUUUUUCCGUAACUGCAUAGUAACGUCCUUGCAAUAUAGGUCUGGUCUUCCAGCUUAUUAUAAUAAGUUGGACAUUCACAAUUUUAUCCCCACCGUGCAACACGCGAUUAAUACCUCCUAGUCUUUUAUAAUCCUUGUUUGAAGCUUCUUCACUUAAUGCUUGGUCCAACUUGAGGCGUUAAUUUUAAUUAUUUAAUUUUAAAAUUGAUAAUUCAAAAUCUAAGGAAUAUUAAUUCGGUCAUACUUUUCCCCACCCUCAACAACUUUCAGCUGAGAAAUUUUAUUACAGUCCAGACCAAUUAUUUGACAAAUUUAAUAGUUGAGUUUUCACUAGUGGGAAUGCCCUGAAGAAGAAUGUGGAAUUCAUAAUUAUACUUUAAGAUUGUGGGGUCCAUAUUUGUUCGGUUAAGAGUAUUUUAAUUGUGAGAAAUAAACUAUUAAACUUGCCUAGUAAAUAGUAAUUAAUAUGGACGGUGAUAAAAUUCCAUACCUCAGCAUCUAGAAUCAGAAAACAUAUCAUCUAUGUGAAACUUUGAAAUUCAUCUCUAGACUCUAAUCUUAUGUUAUAUACUCUUAUUAUUAUAUUAAAAAAGGCCGGUUUUGCUGUUUUUAAAGAUGCAAACAAGGGCAGUUCGGACCAAUUUCUGUCUCAUGCAUACCGUGUUCUUCCGUCCAGAUUGCGCUUUUCAUUCUAAGUUUCAAGGCUAGACGGCUAGACAGUUUGAUAUAAAAUCAAGAAGUCAAUGAACAACUUGUUUUAAAAAUAUUUUAAAAAAUUCACAUCUUUUUCCAAGUUAUUAUUAUUUACCAACUACACGUUAUUCAGCCUUGUACUAUCCAAAAAAAAAAAGUGAAAAAAUGAAAGACAUUUUUUGGAAAUAAAAAGUGUCAAAAGACUCUCAAAUUAAUUUUUGUCGAUUUCAUCUUUGCAGCGCUUUCACCAGUAUGUUUAAUAAGCGACUUCGUACCAGAGCUCGGCCCUCCACUUUUGCAAUAAACUAACGCAACUAGUAUCUGUAUAUGCUUAUACUACUACUUGGGUCAAGGUGCUACAGUCAAAACCAAGAUAUCCUAUAGUCAAAACUGUCUUUACCUAUACCGCUACUACUACUUCCCCCCAGUUGCUUCAUCACCGGUCACUUUGUCACCUUGCUCAUCUUGAUCACCGGUCACUUGGUCUCUUUGCCCACCGGUAUCACCUGUCUACGAGUCAGUAAUACAACCAGCAUUAAGUAUUGAGAAAAGAUCCUGCUACCCAUUAUGCAUCACCUGGUAAUAAUUUAACACCAAAUAUAAUUUAACCCAUUAUGCAUCACCGGUAUAAUUUAACCCAUUAUGCUACCCAUUAAGACUUUAUAAUUUUACAUCAAAUAAAGCCACAUUUAAGAAGAGCAAAUUUGGACAUCUCAAUUUCCAACUUUUCACAAGAGUUUUCAUAACCAAAAUGAUAGAUAGUUGUUUGUAAAUAAGUGCAGACGAAGCAGAAGAAAAGCACAAAACACCGAUGACAACUUGUCAAAGAAAUGCAACUCAAAUUACAUAUCGAAUUGAACUAUCAAAUAUCAAAGAUUUGACAAACAAGCUGUGUAUCAAAGCAAAACAUGAAGUGGCCCCCAGCACACCUUUAUAUGAAAGAAGAAAAAGAACCUUUAUGAAAGAAAAAGAAAAAAGAAAGCAGAGAUUUUGGGAGAAUACCAUGCGUUUUUCUAGGUUUUCCAUUCUUAGUUGCAGGUCUUUAAUCGUGUCCUUGAGCAUUCGGGUUUGUUCGUCGGUUUUGUCUACCUCCUCCUUUAUAUCCUUCUCCGGGGUUGAUUCAUGUUGCUUUGAUAUCCAGUGAAGCCAUGCUAUGGUCGAAUCAUAGCACACCACAUCGUUGAUAAUUCUAAGCAAAUGGAACCGAUUUUCCAGGCCCAAACAGCAUACAACAAACUGUAAAAGAUUAAAACAAUAAUGGAUAAAAAGAAGAAUAAAAAUAAAAUUUGAUUUACAUUGUAAAUUUAUAAUUUUUUUCUCACCCAUCCUAGUUUAAGACGCCAAAAUAUCCUGUAUAACUACAACCCCAAAGGGAUACGGUACAGCUGAGAAAUGUCUUUUGAAAGUAUUUCGUCCCAUCGCCAACCGCACACCAUGCCAUACCCUGUCGCUGUUGCCAGUGCUGCAAUCAGAAUAAUCUUCGGUGGAAUGACCCUAGCACCACCUUCAGGGAGGUUCAGGCUAGCAAAUGCUAGAGAAUACGUAGCAGAAUUUUGCAGGGUGACGGUGGUGGUGGUAUUGGGAAUGCAACGAAGGGUGAUGAGAUUAUGGAUGAAACGAUGGCGGUGUUGGUUGAAACUAGAGGUGUCAAAAUGGGUGACUUGGGCGGGUUUGGGUUGGGUAAAAUGGGUAAUAGGUAUAAGUGAGUCAACCCAUUUAUACCCAUUUAAUUAGAUGAGUAUAAAUGGGUAAGUCAAAAAAUGAAUUGGAUAACCCAAUUACCCAUUUAUAACCCAUUUAUUAUAAUUUUUUGUAAAUUCAUUUUUGCAAACUAAGUUAUCAAUUUAUACCGCUCUUUGUACCCAUCAAUAGUUUUAAAUAUUUACUUAUAAUGUUCAAUAAGCCUAAUUACCAAAUUUUUUUCAUUUAUACUCUAUUUCACAAAAUUACAUAUUAUUUAAUAAUUGAAUAAUAAGAAUAUAAAAAUUUGAACUAAGUACUAUAAAAGUUAAUAUAAAAAUUUAAUCCAAAAAUUUUUAACCCCUAACAUUUUUUUCAUAUAUAAAUUUAAAAUUUCAUUUUUGAAAGAUAAGAAAAAAGAUCAAAUUUAUCAUAAAUUGGUAAUGUCGAAAAAUUAGCAAUUUAACAAAUUAAGAGAAAACAAAAUAAUAAAAUAAAACCAACAAAUAAUAAUAAUAAUGAAACCAAAGUAGUUAACAUAAUGACAAAAUGAAAAAUUUGAAAAAAAAAAUGGGUUGGAGAAAAGAAGAGAUUUAAGGGAAUAGUUCGAGAAUUCAAGAUCAAAUGGUGGAUAGGAUUCAAUCAAGAAUUUAAUUCAAAGUGUUAAUACUCAAAGAAUAAAUAAUACAGAUAAUAUAUUAAAUAGUAUAUCUCAAACAUUGCAAAGUCUAACAACAGAAGCUCAGACUCAAACUCCUAGAAUAAAUACAUUAGAUAAUAUAAUAAACGAAGAAAUAUCAUCAGAAGAAUCAAGCUACUCGGAAAAUAAUGAAGAUAUAAUUUUACCUAUAGAAGAGCAAUUUAAAGAAGAAGAUAACAAUCAAAUAAAUAAAAUAAGAAGAAGAAGAAGACCUUUUAAAAAUAAUAAAAAAGAUUGGCAAAUAGUAAGCACUAGAAAUUAUUAUCCAAAACCUAGUCCCCCAGAUAUUCAAUAUGAAGAAAGAUCAAAAUUUCAUACCACAAAAUAUGAUGGAGAUUCAAUUUAUGAAUGGAAUAUAGAUGGAAGAGCAGAAUAUGAAGUAUUAAACACUUUACAAGAAAUGGGAAUGGCUAGACUAGCUUAUAAGUUAAAAAAUAUUCAAGAAAGAAAUAUUAACACUUCAAGAUAAAUUAUCAAUACUAGAUCAUACAAUAGAAGUAGAAGAUGAUCAAGGUAAUAUUCAAGUUGCAGUAAAACCUUUAUUCCAUCUAGGAGUAGAUGCUCCUAUAUAUCUAGCUUUAAGAGAUACAAGACUCAAAAGAUAUAAAAUCUUUCUUUUAUCUAUGAUUCAAACAAAUGUAUGUAAUGGACCAAUUUACUUUAACUGUACUCCAAAUUUUUCAGUAGACUUAACAGAUCCACAUGUUCUGAAUUCAGUCAUAUUAGAUAUUCAUUUACAAUAUUUUAAGAUACUCAUACCCAUCUAUUCAUGGGCGGGUAUGGAUAAAUUUAGUUAAGUGGGUUGAUUUGCCACCUCUACUGAGCAUGCACAUGUUUCCCUAUCAAAUUAGAUGCUAUCAACAGCUAUGGAAACCCGUUUCAAGAAAUUGGAACAGAAACUUAGAAUUGUUUGCCCUUUCUAUAGAUUACGUGGCUUAUGAAAAAAAGGGCGAAACUAAAAGAGGGGAAAUACAUCCCAUUAUCUCUAUAUUUGUGCUACGAAUUGGACUUAAAAAUAGUAUUCAUCAGGAAAGAACCCUCAUUUGUACCUUUUCAAGCUGAUACCAUCCGCAGUGCUUGUCUCCUUUGUGGGGGGGGGGUCUUAUUGUAGUGUUUUUCAGCCUUAUUAAAUGCAGUUCAAAAAAUUUAUCUAUUUUUCCGUAACUGCAAAGUAACGUCCUUGCAAUAUAGGUCUGGUCUUCCAGCUUAUUAUAAUAAGUUGGACAUUCACAAUUUUAUCCCCACCGUGCAACGCGCGAUUAAUACCUCCUAGUCUUUUAUAAUCCUUGUUUGAAGCUUCUUCACUUAAUGCUUGGUCCAACUUGAGGCGUUAAUUUUAAUUAUUUAAUUUUAAAAUUGAUAAUUCAAAAUCUAAGGAAUAUUAAUUCGGUCAUACUUAUCCCCACCCUCAACAACUUUCAGCUGAGAAAUUUUAUUACAGUCUAGACCAAUUAUUUGACAAAUUUAAUAGUUGAGUUUUCACUAGUGGGAAUGCCCUGAAGAAGAAUGUGGAAUUCAUAAUUAUACUUUAAGAUUGUGGGGUCCAUAUUUGUUCGGUUAAGAGUAUUUUAAUUGUGAGAAAUAAACUAUUAAACUUGCCUAGUAAAUAGUAAUUAAUAUGGACGGUGAUAAAAUUCCAUACCUCAGCAUCUAGAAUCAGAAAACAUAUCAUCUAUGUGAAACUUUGAAAUUCAUCUCUAGACUCUAAUCUUAUGUUAUAUACACUUAUUAUUAUAUUAAAAAAGGCCGGUUUUGCUGUUUUUAAAGAUGCAAACAAGGGCAGUUCGGACCAAUUUCUGUCUCAUGCAUACCGUGUUCUUCCGUCCAGAUUGCGCUUUUAAUUCUAAGUUUCAAGGCUAGACGGCUAGACAGUUUGAUAUAAAAUCAAGAAGUCAAUGAAAAACUUGUUUUAAAAAUAUUUUAAAAAAUUCACAUCUUUUUCCAAGUUAUUAUUAUUUACCAACUACACGUUAUUCAGCCUUGUACUAUCCAAAAAAAAAGUGAAAAAAUGAAAGACAUUUUUUGGAAAUAAAAAGUGUCAAAAGACUCUCAAAUUAAUUUUUGUCGAUUUCAUCUUUGCAGCGCUUUCACCAGUAGGUUUAAUAAGCGACUUCGUACCAGAGCUCGGCCCUCCAAUUUUGCAAUAAACUAACGCAACUAGUAUCUGUAUAUGCUUAUACUACUACUUGGGUCAAGGUGCUACAAUCAAAACCAAGAUAUCCUAUAGUCAAAACUGUCUUUACCUAUACCGCUACUACUACUUCCCCCCAGUUGCUUCAUCACCGGUCACUUUGUCACCUUGCUCAUCUUGAUCACCGGUCACUUUGUCUCUUUGCUCACCGGUAUCACCUGUCUACGAGUCAGUAAGACAACCAGCAUUAAGUAUUGAGAAAAGAUCCUGCUACCCAUUAUGCAUCACCUGGUAAUAAUUUAACACCAAAUAUAAUUUAACCCAUUAUGCAUCACCGGUAUAAUUUAACCCAUUAUGCUACCCAUUAAGACUUUAUAAUUUUACAUCAAAUAAAGCCACAUUUAAGAAGAGCAAAUUUGGACAUCUCAAUUUCCAACUUUUCACAAGAGUUUUUAUAACCAAAAUGAUAGAUAGUUGUUUGUAAAUAAGUGCAGACGAAGCAGAAGAAAAGCACAAAACACCGAUGACAACUUGUCAAAGAAAUGCAACUCAAAUUACAUAUCGAAUUGAACUAUCAAAUAUCAAAGAUUUGACAAACAAGCUGUGUAUCAAAGCAAAACAUGAAGUGGCCCCCAGCACACCUUUAUAUGAAAGAAGAAAAAGAACCUUUAUGAAAGAAAAAGAAAAAAGAAAGCAGAGAUUUUGGGAGAAUACCAUGCGUUUUUCUAGGUUUCCCAUUCUUAGUUGCAGGCCUUUAAUCGUGUCCUUGAGCAUUCGGGUUUGUUCGUCGGUUUUGUCUACCUCCUCCUUUAUAUCCUUUUCCGGGGUUGAUUCAUAUUGCUUUGAUAUCCAGUGAAGCCAUGCUAUGGUCGAAUCAUAGCACACCACAUCGUUGAUAACUCUAAGCAAAUGGAACCGAUUUUCCAGGCCCAAACAGCAUACAACAAACUGUAAAAGAUUAAAACAAUAAUGGAUAAAAAGAAGAAUAAAAAUAAAAUUUGAUUUACAUUGUAAAUUUAUAAUUUUUCUCUCACCCAUCCUAGUUUAAGAUGCAAAAAUAUCCUGUAUAACUAAAACCCCAAAGGGAUACGGUACAGCUGAGAAAUGUCUUUUGCAACUAUGAAAGUUGCCACGUUAAAAAUUGGCUCUGCCAAAGAUCUUCUUCCUUGGUGGAAGAAGUAUAUCCGCAAAGUCCAUGGAAACGCAAAAAAUAAAACAUAAAAUCUUUAAAUCUUUAAAAAAAAUAUGCUAUAAUACUCAAGAAUUUCCUACCGAAGACAUCAAACAAAUAGAGCUCAUAUACGCGUCCUGUUUAUCGCCCUUUUUCAUUUCGUCCCAUCGCCAACCGCACACCAUGCCAUACCCUGUCGCUGUUGCCAGUGCUGCAAUCAGAAUAAUCUUCGGUGGAAUGACCCUAGCACCACCUUCAGGGAGGUUCAGGCUAGCAAAUGCUAGAGAAUACGUAGCAGAAUUUUGCAGGGUGACGGUGGUGGUGGUAUUGGGAAUGCAACGAAGGGUGAUGAGAUUACGGAUGAAACGAUAGCGGGGUUGGUUGAAACUAGAGGCGUCAAAAUGGGUGACUUGGGCAUGUUUGGGUUGGGUAAAAUGGGUAAUGGGUAUAAGUGAGUCAACCCAUUUAUACCCAUUUAAUUAGAUGAGUAUAAAUGGGUAAGUCAAAAAAUGAAUUGGGUAACCCAAUUACCCAUUUAUAACCCAUUUAUUUUAAUUUUUUGUAAAUUCAUUUAAAUUUAUUUUUGCAAACUAAGUUAUCAAUUUAUACCGCUCUUUGUAUCCAUCAUUAGUUUUAAAUAUUUACUUAUAAUGUUCAAUAAGCCUAAUUACCAAAUUUUUUUCAUUUAUACUCUAUUUCACAAAAUUACAUAUUAUUUAAUAAUUGAAUAAUAAGAAUAUAAAAAUUUGAAUUAAGUACAAUAAAAGUUAAUAUAAAAAUUAAAUCCAAAAAAUUUUAACCCCUAACAUUUUUUCCAUAUAUAAAUUUAAAAUUUCAUUUUAGAAAGAUAAGAAAAUAGGAUUAAAUUUAUCAUAAAUUGGUAAUGUCGAAAAAUGAGCAAGUUAACAAAUUAAGAGAAAACAAAAUAAUAAAAUAAAACCAACAAAUAAUAAUAAUAAUGAAACAAAAGUAGUUAACAUAAUGACAAAAAGAAAAAUUUGAAAAAAAAAAAUGGGUUGGAGAAAAGAAGAGAUUUAGGGGAAGAGAAUUUUAAAUGGGUUAAUUGGGUUUGAUGGGUUACCCAAUAAUACCCAUUUAUUAAAUGCAUAUUAUUGGGUAACCCAUUUAUAUCCAUAUACAAUAAUUUAAAAUACUCAUACCCAUCUAUUCAUGGGCGGGUAUGGAUAAAUUUAGUUAAGUGGGUUGAUUUGCCACCUUUACUGAGCAUGCACAUGUUUCCCUAACAAAUUAGACGCUAUCAACAACUAUGGAAACCCGUUUCAAGAAAUUGGAACAGAAAAUUAGAAUUGUUUGCCCUUUCUAUCGAUUAUGUGGCUUAUGAAAAAAAGGGCGAAACUAAAAGAGGGGAAAUACAUCCCAUUAUCGCUAUGUUUGUGCUACGAAUUGGACUUAAAAAUAGUAUUCAUCAGGAAAGAACCCUCAUUUGUACCUUUUCAAGCUGAUACCAUCCGCAAUGCUUGUCUCCUUUGUGGGGGAGGGGUCUUAUUGUAGUGUUUUUCAGCCUUAUUAAAUGCAGUUCAAAAAAUUUAUCUAUUUUUCCGUAACUGCAUAGUAACAUCCUUGCAAUAUAGGUCUGGUCUUCCAGCUUAUUAUAAUAAGUUGGACAUUCACAAUUUUAUCCCCACCGUGCAACGCGCGAUUAAUACCUCCUAGUCUUUUAUAAUCCUUGUUUGAAGCUUCUUCACUUAAUGCUUGGUCCAACUUGAGGCAUUAAUUUUAAUUAUUUAAUUUUAAAAUUGAUAAUUCAAAAUCUAAGGAAUAUUAAUUCGGUCAUACUUAUCCCCACCCUCAACAACUUUCAGCUGAGAAAUUUUAUUACAGUCCAGACCAAUUAUUUGACAAAUUUAAUAGUUGAGUUUUCACUAGUGGGAAUGCCCUGAAGAAGAAUGUGGAAUUCAUAAUUAUACUUUAAGAUUGUGGGGUCCAUAUUUGUUCGGUUAAGAGUAUUUUAAUUGUGAGAAAUAAACUAUUAAACUUGCCUAGUAAAUAGUAAAUAAUAUGGACGGUGAUAAAAUUCCAUACCUCAGCAUCUAGAAUCAGAAAACAUAUCAUCUAUGUGAAACUUUGAAAUUCAUCUCUAGACUCUAAUCUUAUGUUAUAUACACUUAUUAUUAUAUUAAAAAAGGCCGGUUUUGCUGUUUUUAAAGAUGCAAACAAGGGCAGUUCGGACCAAUUUCUGUCUCAUGCAUACCGUGUUCUUCCGUCCAGAUUGCGCUUUUAAUUCUAAGUUUCAAGGCUAGACGGCUAGACAGUUUGAUAUAAAAUCAAGAAGUCAAUGAACAACUUGUUUUAAAAAUAUUUUAAAAAAUUCACAUCUUUUUCCAAGUUAUUAUUAUUUACCAACUACACGUUAUUCAGCCUUGUACUAUCCAAAAAAAAAGUGAAAAAAUGAAAGACAUUUUUUGGAAAUAAAAAGUGUCAAAAGACUCUCAAAUUAAUUUUUGUCGAUUUCAUCUUUGCAGCGCUUUCACCAGUAGGUUUAAUAAGCGACUUCGUACCAGAGCUCGGCCCUCCACUUUUGCAAUAAACUAACGCAACUAGUAUCUGUAUAUGCUUAUACUACUACUUGGGUCAAGGUGCUACAGUCAAAACCAAGAUAUCCUAUAGUCAAAACUGUCUUUACCUAUACCGCUACUACUACUUCCCCCCAGUUGCUUCAUCACCGGUCACUUUGUCACCUUGCUCAUCUUGAUCACCGGUCACUUUGUCUCUUUGCUCACCGGUAUCACCUGUCUACGAGUCAGUAAUACAACCAGCAUUAAGUAUUGAGAAAAGAUCCUGCUACCCAUUAUGCAUCACCUGGUAAUAAUUUAACACCAAAUAUAAUUUAACCCAUUAUGCAUCACCGGUAUAAUUUAACCCAUUAUGCUACCCAUUAAGACUUUAUAAUUUUACAUCAAAUAAAGCCACAUUUAAGAAGAGCAAAUUUGGACAUCUCAAUCUCCAACUUUUCACAAGAGUUUUCAUAACCUGAAUGAUAGAUAGUUGUUUGUAAAUAAGUGCAGACGAAGCAGAAGAAAAGCACAAAACACCGAUGACAACUUGUCAAAGAAAUGCAACUCAAAUUACAUAUCGAAUUGAACUAUCAAAUAUCAAAGAUUUGACAAACAAGCUGUGUAUCAAAGCAAAACAUGAAGUGGUCCCCAGCACACCUUUAUAUGAAAGAAGAAAAAGAACCUUUAUGAAAGAAAAAGAAAAUAGAAAGCAGAGAUUUUGGGAGAAUACCAUGCGUUUUUCUAGGUUUCCCAUUCUUUGUUGCAGGUCUUUAAUCGUGUCCUUGAGCAUUUGGAUUUGUGUGACGACCCCACUUCUCCCAAGGGUGAACCCAAGGGUAUCGACGGGCCGCCUGCCUAACUCGCGUCAAGACUCAAAACCUAAUGUAAUAAAACUAGAUAAAUCGAAAGAGCACUAUAUACAAUAUAUACAAUCCCCAAAAGGGUUCUAAUUACAUUCUUCAAAAGUACCUGCUCAUACUAUUACAUCCUUAUCAUUAUAACCAAAACCAAAGAGUAGACCCCAAGGAGGGUCCUUAUACAAAUCACCAAAAGUAAAACAAACAUCCUAAUUGUCCAGCUAUUACAUGCAAAUCUAACUAUACUAGAGUCUGUGUCAAAAGUCCCCGCGUCGGCCCCUUCUAAGGAAAACAAAAGAAAAGGGGUAAACUAUAUGCUUAGCAAGUAAACAGGGGCAAAAGCGUAAAUCUCACAUAUUAACAAUUACACAGUAAGAGUAAAGCAAAAGCAGAAAAGUAACAUCACAUAAUAAGGAUACAGGUGGCUCCAAAGCCAGAUCGUUUGCCAUGUGUGACCUCCUGCCGACACUCCGUCGACCACAAAUAAUGGUCCGUAGAACUUCACUUGUACUCCCACCGUACACCUUAUCACCCUCUCUGGCCAAACACCUCACAAACUUGUUCGAGCGAACGAAAUUGAGCUUGGUUCACAAGCUCGGGUCACAAACUUGGUCCACAUAAUCGGUGAACCGGAUUCACAAACUUGGUGACCUCAAACCAGGUUGGACUGAUUUCGACCAAACCCUAACCGGUUCGAAUAGUCCAUCUAGGUCAUGAGAUCGGGUCCCAAACUCACAAACUUCACAAAAUUUACUCAAAAGUCACCCCGAGCCACAAGGUCAAGGGGUUUAGUUCCAAAAUGAUUCAUAUACAUAUGCCAUGUACAAAUAUGUACGUAAAUUAGGGUUUAGGUCGAGUGCGAUAAAGUACACCCUCGCCUAGAUACCCUUUUCAUACAUAUCGAAACACAUAACCAACUAACACAUAAGAGCGGCCUGAAUACUUACUCAACGAACAAAAGAGCAAAAGUACGAAAUUCGUGCCGCGAGGAGUAGCUAGUAGGUCCCACCGGCUCCACCUAGCUCACCAACGUCUGAAAUAGAAGAUUGUAUCACAUAUUAUCACAAACGGCCAAUAACAUGCCCAAAACAAGCAAAACGGCAAAAUCGGCACAUGCAAGUGCGGAAACGGCAAAAUGGGCGCACGCGCCCGCGCGGAACGGUAAACGGAAAUGGCCAAAUCUGCCAUCUCAAACCGUUAUGAUCAAAAUUUAGGCUAGGAAUGUCGGAUCAAGGUGAUCGAGACACCAUUUCGAAGCUAUGAGGAAGGGCUACAAUUUUCAUGAAGACACCUAAGUCCGGAUCUGAACAGAAAUAGGUCGAAAGUAUGGAAAAUCGUUCCAGAAAUUUGCACUUUAGAGUGAUGGACAGGGUAUGUUUGCUGGACCAUAACUCCCAGCUCAUCAAUCCAAAUCAGGAAAUUCCAAAGGCAUUAGAAAGCUGAGACAUAAGGCUAAAACUUUGCUGUUUUGGCCAAGACCUGAAUCCAUUCAGAAUAGAACGAAAGUUGAGUGUCAAAGUACCCGUCAGAACUGUCCAGAUUCAAGGCAGUUCUGACGAUCGAUCUUGUUUUGCUCAAAACAGGAGCUACGGAACUCGGAUUUCGACGCACUUUAUACCGUUUCGAAGCUGAGACCAAGAUCUACAUUUCUUAUGAAGGGAUCAACACCCAGUUCGUACGUUAUUAAAACGGAUAAAACAUGGGCAGAAGCAAAAGUCAAAACGUAACACAUUUCAGGGUACAAAACAGGUGCUAGUGUUUUGUCUAUAACUCGGGGUACACUGAUCCGUUUGACCUGAAAUUUUGCAGGAAUAUUCAGGACAUAAGAGGUUACAACUUUAAUGUUUUGAGAAACUUCUAAAUCCGUACGUAACAUUAAGAAAAAUGAAACCGAAGUUCAAAUGCUGAACUGCCCUGGUUACCCGUUUUGCCGGUUUCCAAUGUCGCAAACGCAUGGUUCAUUUCUAUGGUUCUUAUGCAAGGUUUCUAACUAUUCUCAUACCAAAUAAACACACAUAUACUAACUUCUAAAUGACCUACCAAUGGUCCAAAGUUUUCCCUCUAAGCCACUACAAAAUUGCCAAAACUAACCAUGAUCCUUAAACUAACUUCAUUUGCAUCACCAAACUUAAUCCAACAACUUACUAACCAAACCCUAACUAAUUAAACAUUAGCCAAGCUAAACCAACCUAAGAAAGCCUAGGGUUUCUUAACCCAAUUCAGUUUUUUACCACUCACUCACCAACCCAAUGAAACCAAUCAUCAAACACAACCACUACAAGUUCAAUAACACAAGAUUAGAGCUAACUAAAAUGUUUAACAAGAACCCUAAUUCUUUCAUCUCUUGACCGAAAUUUCCAGCAGCAUAAAUCACUAAAAUUAACCAUUCAAUUACUCAAUAAUCACCACAUAAACCAUACAAAUCCAUAAUUACAACAAAAACUUCACUUUCAUGACUUCAAAAUUAAAACCCCCAAAAUUUAACUUUCAAAAGAGAUAACUUACCUUCAAGUUGCAAGUGUCUUAGGUUAAUCUUCCAAAACCCAAGCUCCAAGUUGUUCCUCCAAGAUCCAAACUCAAGAUUAAUGAAAACAAUUGCAAGAAACAAAAGCUUUUCUCUUCCUUUUUCUUUCUCUCAAAUCCGGCUCUCCCUCACUCUAUUUCUCUCCAAGUUUUGUCUUGUUUGUCUUGUGAUUAGCCUACAAGUCUUAAGGUAAUAAAUAGUCAAAGACCAUAGGAGAUAUUUUUAGGCUAACCAAUCACAUAAAAAUGCUUUAUUUGCCUUUUAAACCCUUGCACCUCAACCUAGCUUUUAUCCUACUCUUGCCCUCAAACUUUUGAUAAUCUUUCAAUUAACUCCAUAGGUCAUAACUUAAUCUAAUCUAAAACAUGUAAUCACACUUAAUUACUUCACUAAUCACUUUCUUAUUUUAAUCACCUAUACUUAAACAUACUUUUUCCAUAAUAACACAAUCAAACAACAACUCUUAUAACUUUGGCAAAAUUAGGGUUUUGAAACCCCACUUAAGCUUUCUAAUAAAUUGUAAUACUAGAGGUUUGCUAAUCUAGAGUUUGCUAACCAUUUCAAACUUGCUAAACCUUGGUAAACUAAAACGAAUCCUAAACUUACGUAUGCCAAAACACACACUAGAACACCGAAUAUAAAUUAUAGCUCGAACCUACGAAGAAUAAUACAUAAACUAGGGUUUUCAAUCUUAACCAAGAUUAGGGUUUUCUCCUUAGCCCUAAAACCCAAAUUUCACCACACCGAAUAAUGAAUAACCCUAAUAUCAACUUACGAACUGACUGGGGCCUCACAGUUUGUUCGUCGGUUUUGUCUACCUCCAUCUUUAUAUUCUUUUCCGGGUUGAUUCAUGCUGCUUUGAUAUCCAGUGAAGCCAUGCUAUGGUCGAAUCAAAGCACACCACAUCGUUGAUAACUCUAAGCAAAUGGAACCGAUUUUCCAGGCCCAAACAGCAUACAACAAACUGUAAAAGAUUAAAACAAUAAUGGAUAAAAAGAAGAAUAAAAAUAAAAUUUGAUUUACAUUGUAAAUUUAUAAUUUUUUUCUCACCCAUCCUAGUUUAAGACGCCAAAAUAUCCUGUAUAACUAAAACCCCAAAGGGAUACGGUACAGCUGAGAAAUGUCUUUUGCAACUAUGAAAGUUGCCACGUUAAAAAUUGGCUCUGCCAAAGAUCUUCUUCCUUGGUGGAAGAAGUAUAUCCGCAAAGUCCAGGAAAACACAUAAAAUAAAACAUAAAAUCUUUAAAUCUUUAAAAAAAAUAUGCUAUAAUACUCAAAAAUUUCCUACCGAAGACAUCAAACAAAUAGAGCUCAUAUAAGCGUCCUGUUUAUCGCCCUUUUUCAUUUCGUCCCAUCGCCAACCGCACACCAUGCCAUACCCUGUCGCUGUUGCCAGUGCUGCAAUCAGAAUAAUCUUCGGUGGAAUGACCCUAGCACCACCUUCAGGGAGGUUCAGGCUAGCAAAUGCUAGAGAAUACGUAGCAGAAUUUUGCAGGGUGACGGUGGUGGUGGUAUUGGGAAUGCAACGAAGGGUGAUGAGAUUAUGGAUGAAACGAUGGCGGGGUUGGUUGAAACUAGAGGUGUUAAAAUGAAUGACUUGGACGGGUUUGGGUUGGGUAAAAUAGGUAAUGGGUAUAAGUGAGUCAACCCAUUUAUACCCAUUUAAUUAGAUGAGUAUAAAUGGGUAAGUCAAAAAAUGAAUUGGGUAACCCAAUUACCCAUUUAUAACCCAUUUAUUUUAAUUUUUUGUAAAUUCAUUUAAAUUCAUUUUUGCAAACUAAGUUAUCAAUUUAUACCGCUCUUUGUACCCAUCAUUAGUUUUAAAUAUUUACUUAUAAUGUUCAAUAAGCCUAAUUACCAAAUUUUUUUCAUUUAUACUCAAUUUUACAAAAUUACAUAUUAUUUAAUAAUUGAAUAAUAAGAAUAUAAAAAUUUGAACUAAGUACUAUAAAAGUUAAUAUAAAAAUUUAAUCGAAAAAUUUUUAACCGCUAACAUUUUUUUCAUAUAUAAAUUUAAAAUUUCAUUUUAGAAAGAUAAGAAAAGAGGCUCAAAUUUAUCAUAAAUUGGUAAUGCCGAAAAAUGAGCAAGUUAACAAACUAAGAGAAAACAAAAUAAUAAAAUAAAACCAACAAAUAAUAAUAAUAAUGAAACAAAAGUAGUUAACUUAAUGACAAAAUGAAAAAUUUGAAAAAAAAAAUGGGUGGGGGAAAAGAAGAGAUUUAGGGGAAGAGAAUUUUUAAUGGGUUUGAUGGGUUACCCAAUAAUACCCAUUUAAUAAAUGGGUAUUAUUGGGUAACCCAUUUAUACCCAUAUACAAAAAUUUAAGAUACCCAUACCCAUCUAUUCAUGGGCGCGUAUGGAUAAAUUUAGUUAAGUGAGUUGAUUUGCCACCUCUACUGAGCAUGCAUAUGUUUCCCUAACAAAUUAGACGCUAUCAACAGCUAUGGAAACCCGUUUCAAGAAAUUGGAACAGAAACUUAGAAUUGUUUGUCCUUUCUAUCGAUUACGUGGCUUAUGAAAAAAAGAGGGAAACUAAAAGAGGGGAAAUACAUCCCAUUAUCUCUAUUUAUGUGCUACGAAUUGGACUUAAAAAUAGUAUUCAUCAGGAAAGAACCCUCAUUUGUACCUUUUCAAGCUGAUACCAUCCGCAGUGCUUGUCUCUGUGACAACCCCACCUCACUUUAUGGCGAACCAAAGGGUUUGGAGGAUCGCCUGCCCAAGUCUCGCCGGGACUCAGUCAAACCUCAAUCAAAUCCGAAAUAAAACCACAAGAUCAAACGAAAUAACAAUCCAAAACUUAAAGCGAAACUUAUAUACAAAGGUUCUCAAUUCACCAUAAUCCAACCCGUGCCGAGCACUAGGGCGAGAACCAUUACAAAAUCAAAGAAACUAGUAGGCUAGUCUCUACCGAGCUCUCGUCCUUGCUCGCCUUCCCCUGCUAAGAAAAACAAAACUAAAGGGAUGAGCUAAAAGCUCAGUGAGGUUCCGAACACAUAAUCAAAUAAUCAAUUCAGUUCAAGAAACAUUUACAGGGGAAAGGGAUAACAACACAUUCAUUAAAAGGAUACAGGCUACAUGGAGCUAUUCGUUCGUUCGUUCGUUCAUUCUCCUGUCAUUCUCCUUAUUCCUCCAAUCAUUAAAAAAAAUGCAUUUUUGUAAGUAAAACCCUCGUUUGCAUUGACAUUCAUUCGUUCAUUUCAUUCACCUCCUCCUGGACGUUGGCCAGGCUCCACCCGACAACAAGGUAAUACUCGAGUAUACCAAACGUUCACACCCAGGGUCACCAUAUCGCUCGACCGAGUCCGCUUCUGGCUCGAGUCGAUUGGUAACGAAGGGCAGGGUCCAGUUCAGCCAAAAGGCUUACAUCAUGCGCAACUAGCAUUUAAUCAUUUAAUCAUUGAAAAUUUCAUAUUCAUUUAGGUCGCGUGCGAUAAAGUACACACUCGCCUAGAAAACUCAUUUGAAGCAAUCAGUGAAAACAUUUAACAUGUUAUCAUUCGUUCAUAACAAAUCAUAUAAUCAAGAACAAGCCACAUCGUCAAUGAAAAUAUAACAAACAAGGAACACUCACCUAUUUACACAAAAGAACGUCCAAAGUCUCCUUUCGGGUGAUACCCUCAAUCACCAAGGACCCCUAAUAUAACCAAGAGAAACUAUCACAGUUCAUUCAUCGAAAGUUUAAGUAAUUCAUAGAAAAUCUGAAUGCUUACUAGUGCAAUACAUAAAUAUGAAUUUUAAGGUGAAAAGUGUAUAUUUCGAUUAUAAGACAUUAGUAACUAAGAGUUUUCCCCCAAAUCAAACACAAAAUCAUACCAAAAAGGUUUUUAGAAAAUUCCAUUGAAAAUAAAUUAAUAGUGCCACUUCAAAAUACGACCGGAUAUGAAAAGACAGUUGUUUAAAUUUGCGUAAAGCUCUUCGUUCGGUCUGAACCUAACUCAUAUGCAAAGAAAUAACGUAUAACAAGUGUCUUGGGUAAAAUCAUAUGAAAAGAAAGCUAAACAAACCCUAAUAAUAACCAAGAAAAAAUUUUAUAGUUAAACUGUGAGGCCCCAGACAGUUCUUAAGUUUGAUAUUAGGUGAUAUUCACUAUUUGUGCAGUAAUUUGGGUUUUAAGGCUAAGGAGGAAACCCUAAUUUGGGUUGGGAUCAGAAGUUCAAGUUGUAAUUAAAGUUAGUUAUGCUAGUGUGUGUGUUAGUAUAGGUAAGUAUAGGAUUUGAUCUAUUUUAUAUAGAUUAAAUAAGUUUAAGAAGGUUAGAAACCCUAAAUGAGGAAAACCUCUAGUGUUAUAAUUUCUUAGAACCCUAAGUUGGGUUUAAAAACUCUUAAUUUUCCCAUGACACCAUGAUUGUUGUUUAAUUGCAUUUGUGUUUGUUAAUACAUGUUUAAGUAGAGAUGAUUAAGUUGGUAGGGUGAUUAGUAGAGAAACUAAGAAGAUUAAUGAGUUUGGAUUAGAUUAAGUUUACAACUUAUGGAGUAAUUUGAUAGGAAAGUAAAGGUUUAAGGGCAAGAGUAGAAUAAAGGCUAAGUUGAAGUGCAAGGGCUAAAAAGCAAAUAAAGCACUCUUGUGUGAUUGGUUAGCUUAAUAAAUAUCUCUCCUAAGUGGUCUUGCACCACAUAUUAGUCUCAAGGGCCAUAACUAAGUCAUUGUAUGACAAAACAAAACAAACAAACAAGAGGAAGAGAAAGAGAGUUGGAGCCGUGAGAGGGAGAAGAAGAACCAAGGGGAAUUUUGCUAAGUUCAACCAAAUUUCUGCUAUAGAUCUUCAUCUUGAAGCAUAAAGAAUCCAUCUUGGAGUUGGGUUGAGUUCAUUAGUCAUCAUACAACCUUCAUCUUGAGGUAAGAAAGUUCCUAUGCAAAGUUAAGUAUGGUUUGUGAUGCUUGAGAUAGUGGGAAAUGAUGAUAAUUGUUGUUAGUUGUGAUUGAUUAUGGUGCCUCUUAUGUUUAUUACUUGGUUUUAUGGAUUAAUUUAGUGAAAAUUUGGGCCUUGAUGAUUCGGCCAUAGGAGCCCUAAUUAGGGUUUCAUGCUAAACAAGUUAAUUAGCUCUAAUUUUGUGCUAUGAAGAUUGUAAUGGUUGUGUUUGAUGAUUUGUUUUAUUUGUUUGGUGAGUGGAUGGUAAAAAACUGAUUUGGGUUAAGAAACCCUAGGCUAAAGUAAGAAGUAAUUGCUUGGUUAGGGUUAACUUGGUUAGGGUGUGAUACACUAAUGGUUAGUCUAAGUGAAUGGGUGCAUAUGAAGUUGGAUUAGAAGGUGUAGAUAACAUGAAGUUAGUUUUGUAAAAUUGUAUGGUGUAAUUUCAGAUUCUGAGAAGGGAGUUAGGAGCUGGUUUAAGGGUGUGUAUUUGGUGUGUAUUUGGCCAGCAAACUUGCAUGUUACUCAUAGAAACGGAUUGUGCGGUUGCGGCGCGCAAAACCGGCAAAACUGGAAACCAGGGUAGUUCAGCAUCUGAAAUUUGGCUCCAUUUGUCUUGAUGUUACGUACGGAUUCAGGGAUUACCCAAAACAUGAAAGUUGUAGUCCAUUAAGUCCUGAAUAUGCCUACAAAAUUUCAGAUCAAAUGGAUCAGUGUAGCCCGAGUUACAGCCAAAACACUCACUCCUGUUUUGGACACUGGAUUGUGUUACGUUUUGAAUUUUGCUUCUGACCAUGCUAUGUCCGUUUUGAUAACAUGUGAACUGGGUGUUGAUUCCUUCAUAAGAAAUGUAUAUCUUGGUCUUGGCUUAAAAAUGGUAUAAAGUGCAUUCCAAUCCGAGUUCCGUAGCUCCAGUUAUGACCAAAACAAGAUCGGUUGUCAGAACUGCCUUCGAAUUUGGACAGUUCUGACAGGGAUGUUUGGACCCAUUGUUCUCCAUGCUCUGUAUUGAUUCAGCCUUUGGUCCAAACAUGAAAGUUAUAGCCUUAUGAAUGAUCUUUCUAACGCCUCUGAAAUUUCUUGAUUUUGAUUUCUAAGUCAUGAGUUAUGGUCUUUCAAACAGGGCCUGUUUGGUAACCCAAAAUGAAAUGGCUGGAACUAUUUUGUGCAUUUUUGACCAAUAUCUAUUGAGAUCUGGGUUGGGAUGUCUACAUAAAAGUUGUAGCCCUUCCUUGUAGCUUCGAAACAGUGUCUCACCCACCUUAGUCCGAUAUUCCUAGCAUAACUUUUGAUCUAAACGGUUUGAGAUGGCAGAUCUGGCCGUUUCAGUUUGCCGUUUCCGCACUUGCAUGUGCCGAUUUUGCUAUUUUACUUGAUUUAUGCAUUCUAGUAGCCGUUUGUGAUAUAAUGUGGUACAAUCUUCUAUUUCAGACGGUGACGGGUUAGACGGUGCCGGUGGGGCCUACUAGCCGUAUACAUGACGUGAUCCUUGCAUUUUGCUAUACGUACUUUUGGUGUAAGUAUUCAGGCCGUUUAUGUGUAUAAACUGCUUAUGUGUUUUGAUGUGAAUAAAAGGGGGACUUAGGCGAGGGUGUACUUUAUCACACUCGACCUAAACCCUAGUUUGUACCUUUGUUUCUCCAUGAGAUGUGUAUAUAUGAAUUAUUUUGGUGCUGAACCCCUUGAGCUUGGAGCUCGGGGUGACUUUUGUGAAUUUGUGAAAUAUGAUGAAGUUGUGGGCCCGAUCUCAAGACCUAGAUGGACUAUUCGAGCCGGCCGGGGUUUGGUCGAAACUAGUCCAACCUAGUCUUGAGGUCAUCAAGCUCGUAGGUUCAAGUUGUAAACCAAGUUUGUGACCCGAGCUUGUGACUCAAGCUCAAGUUUGUGAUUUCGUUCGCUCGAGCAAGUUUGUGAGGUGACUGGCCAGUGAGGGUGACAAGGUGUCAGGAGGAAGUACAAGUGGAGUUUUACGAACCUUAUUUGUGGUCGACGGAGUGUCGACAGGAGGUCACGCAUGGCAAACGACUUGGCUUUGGAGGCAACCUGUAUCCUUCAUUUGUAUUGUUACUUUUGCACUUGACUUGUCAUUUUGUGAAAUAGUUGUUUAUAUAAAUGUGCAAAUUUAUGAUUUUACCCCUGUUUACUUACUAAGUAUAUAACUUACCCCAUUUCCUUUGUUUUCCUUAGCAGGGGGCGACGCAGGGAACUACUUGGCACAUUCACUAGUAUAGUUAGGUUUAGUUUGUAAUAGUUGGACAAGUAGGAUGUUCCUUUUUGUUUUGAUGGUUUGUAUAAGGACCCUCCUUAGGGUCCACUUUCUGCUGGUUGUUAUCAUAGUGUAACGUUUUGGUCUGAAUAGCUACUUUUGGGGAUAUAAAUAGAACUCUUUUGGAGUUGGCUAUAUUGUGAAUAGUACGUUUUUGGUUUAUCUAGUUAUUAUUUUGCUUUGAAAUUUUGAGUCCUGGCACGAGUUAGGCAGGCGUCCCGCCGAUACCCUAGGGUUCGCCCUUGGGAGAAGCGGGGGCGUCACAUAAACCCUCAAAGUUUAGGUGAAUCAAAGAAAAUCUGAAUAUUUACUGGUACAAAGUAUAAAUAUAGUUUUGGAAGUGAAAAGAGUACAUCUACCUAACCUUCGGGUGCAAAUUUGGGCAGCACGCCCUUUGGAUUUACUUAUUUUUCAGCCAUUUAUGGCUUUAUUUUUCCUCAAUCAGUCCCAAAGUCAUUCACAAUGUAAGCUCAUUGUAAUAGCCGUUCAAUAGGCUUAGAGUCAUAUAAGUACAAAAUCAAACUAGGAAUAUGUGCGGAAAUGAAGUUUAAGUUGGAAAACAAAAGAUAGAUUUGAUGUUAUUUUGCGUAACGGACACAACUGAAACUACGCUUAUCGGAUUGGGGUGAAAUUUAUACCGUUUCGAAGCUAAGACAGAGGGCUACAACUUUUAUGAAGACAACUCAGUCUAGUUUGAAGUGUAUCUAAGUCAAAAUUCCAAAUUACAGAACCAGCAUCUCACAAUCAGACUAGUUAACUGCAUUAUGAUUCAAUGACAAUAACUUAGGCUACUGAAGUCCGAUUGAGGUGUAUCUUAUGGCGUUUCAAAGCCAAGACAUAUACCUACAUUUCUUAUGAAGACCUCCAAAGCUAAAUCAUGCAUUUUCCGAGUCAAAAAUUGAAAUUCCCACGAAGAUAGAAAACUGUCCGCGAAAAUAGGGGUUUUGGGCAGUCAAGGGUAUUUCGGUCAUUUCAUAGGCUAUGUUGCUCCGAUUGAGCUGAAAUUUUGUAGGCAAUUAUAAAAAAAUCAUUAUCUACAACUUUCAUGUUUUGCGCUAAGGUUAGUUCGGCCUCUAAAAUGGGGAAAUAGAACUGGGCAGAAGCAGGGCAGGUUAUCAUCCAAGCUGGAAUUUAUGCUUACAAACCAGAAAUUUCUUUAGGCCAAGUAAACUAACAUCUAAACACUAGCUAUUUCACAUAUCAAACCUAUCAAACCAUAACUAAUCAUUAAUCUUCAUAUUAGGGCAGAAAAUUCACCAAGAAACUGAAAUUUUCAUAAACCUACUUCAACCCAUAUAAUUCUCUCACAAAAUUACUAAUUCAACAACUAUAACCACAAAUUGCCCAUUAAUUGAAGUAAAGAAGGAGUUUCUCGACAAUUUACCUUAUCUCCCAAGAAAGAUGGUAGUUUAGGCUUUGUCCUCCAAAAAUAACUCCACAAACACCUUGGAAACUACUUGGGAAGUAAGUUUUAUGGAGUAGUUUGCAAAUUAAUCGGUUGAAACUCAAGAUUUGAGCAAGAAUUGAAGUUGAAGUUGAAGAAACUCUCUCUUGUUCUUUCCUCUCCAUAAAUUUCUGCCAAGACAAUGAAAAUGGAAAGAAAUUGAGUCAAAAUUUGGUUUAGUAAAGGUUAAGACAAGUCGAAGUCAAAGUCAAGAUCCAAUGGUUAUGUGACAAAUGGCAUCCAAGGGUUAAUUCUCAUCUUGUUGUCUUCCAAUGGUUAAUCCCUCUAGGUAACCUCUAAUUAUUUCCUAGCACCUUGUAAAAUAAUAUUUCUUGAUACAAAACUUCAAUUAAUUAGCAAAAAUUUAUCGCACUUAACGCACUAGCGGGUCCCACGUCUAUAACGCACUUCAAACUAAUGUACACUAACUCAUACUACGAAAAUAAUUUUAAAACUGUACUUACUUGUAAAAAUGCAUAGAAAUUUUAAUAUUUCCAAGGAAAGUGUAAAAUGUAGGUAAAGAAAUAAAAUAAUGCUGAGAAAAUGUGAAAAUUUUUGGGUUCUCACAGUCUCCUUUGUGGGGAGGUCUUAUUGUAGUGUUUUUCAGCCUUAUUAAAUGCAGUUCAAAAAAUUUAUCUAUUUUUCCGUAACUGCAUAGUAACGUCCUUGCAAUAUAGGUCUGGUCUUCCAGCUUAUUAUAGUAAGUUGGACAUUCACAAUUUUAUCCCCACCGUGCAACGCGCGAUUAAUACCUCCUAGUCUUUUAUAAUCCUUGUUUGAAGCUUCUUCACUUAAUGCUUGGUCCAACUUGAGGCGUUAAUUUUAAUUAUUUAAUUUUAAAAUUGAUAAUUCAAAAUCUAAGGAAUAUUAAUUCGGUCAUACUUAUCCCCACCCUCAACAACCUUCAGCUGAGAAAUUUUAUUACAGUCUAGACCAAUUAUUUGACAAAUUUAAUAGUUGAGUUUUCACUAGUGGGAAUACCCUGAAGAAGAAUGUGGAAUUCAUAAUUAUACUUUAAGAUUUUGGGGUCCAUAUUUGUUCAGUUAAGAGUAUUUUAAUUGUGAGAAAUAAACUAUUAAACUUGCCUAGUAAAUAGUAAUUAAUAUGGAUGGUGAUAAAAUUCCUUACCUCAGCAUCUAGAAACAGAAAACAUAUCAUCUAUGUGAAACUUUGAAAUUCAUCUCUAGACUCUAAUCUUAUGUUAUAUACACUUAUUAUUAUAUUAAAAAAGGCCGAUUUUGUUGUUUCUAAAGGUGCAAACAAGGGCAAUUCGGACCAAUUUCUGUCUCAUGCAUACCGUGUUCUUCCGUCCAGAUUGCGCUUUUCAUUCUAAGUUUUAAGGCUAGAUGGCUAGACAGUUUGAUAUAAAAUCAAGAAGUCAAUGAACAACUUGUUUUAAAAAUAUUUUAAAAAAUUCACAUCUUUUUCCAAGUUAUUAUUAUUUACCAACUACACGUUAUUCAGCCUUGUACUAUCCAAAAAAAAAGUGAAAAAAUGAAAGACCUUUUUUAGAAAUAAAAAGUGUCAAAAGACUCUCAAAUUAAUUUUUGUCGAUUUCAUCUUUGCAGCGCUUUCACCAGUAGGUUUAAUAAGCGACUUCGUACCAGAGCUCGGCCCUCCACUUUUGCAAUAAACUAACGCAACUAGUAUCUGUAUAUACUUAUACUACUACUUGGGUCAAGGUGCUGCAGUCAAAACCAUGAUAUCCUAUAGUCAAAACUGUCUUUACCUAUACCGCUACUACUACUUCCCCCCAGUUGCUUCAUCACCGGUCACUUUGUCACCUUGCUCAUCUUGAUCACCGGUCACUUUGUCUCUUUGUUCACCGGUAUCACCUGUCUACGAGUCAGUAAGACAACCAGCAUUAAGUAUUGAGAAAAGAUCCGGCUACCCAUUAUGCAUCACCUGGUAAUAAUUUAACACCAAAUAUAAUUUAACCCAUUAUGCAUCACCGGUAUAAUUUAACCCAUUAUGCUACCCAUUAAUACUUUAUAAUUUAACACCAAAUAAAGCCACAUUUAAGAAGAGCAAAUUUGGACAUCUCAAUCUCCAACUUUUCACAAGAGUUUUCAUAACCAAAAUGAUAGAUAGUUGUUUGUAAAUAAGUACAGACGAAGCAGAAGAAAAGCACAAAACACCGAUGACAACUUGUCAAAGAAAUGCAACUCAAAUUACAUAUCGAAUUGAACUAUCAAAUAUCAAAGAUUUGACAAACAAGCUGUGUAUCAAAGCAAAACAUGAAGUGGCCCCCAGCAUACCUUUAUAUGAAAGAAGAAAAAGAAUCUUUAUGAAAGAAAAAGAAAAAAGAAAGCAGAGAUUUUGGGAGAAUACCAUGCGUUUUUCUAGGUUUCCCAUUCUUAGUUGCAGGUCUUUAAUCGUGUUCUUGAGUAUUCGGGUUUGUUCGUCGGUUUUGUCUACCUCCUCCUUUAUAUCCUUUUCCGGGGUUGAUUCAUGUUGCUUUGAUAUCCAGUGAAGCCAUGCUAUGGUCGAAUCAUAGCACACCACAUCGUUGAUAACUCUAAGCAAAUGGAACCGAUUUUCCAGGCCCAAACAGCAUGCAACAAACUGUAAAAGAUUAAAACAAUAAUGGAUAAAAAGAAGAAUAAAAAUAAAAUUUGAUUUACAUUGUAAAUUUAUAUUUUUUUUCUCACCCAUCCUAGUUUAAGACGCCAAAAUAUCCUGUAUAACCAAAACCCCAAAGGGAUAUGGUACAGCUGAAAAAUGUCUUUUGCAACUAUGAAAGUAGCUACGUUAAAAAUGGGCUCUGCCAAAGAUCUUCUUCCUUGGUGGAAGAAGUAUAUCUGCAAAGUCCAGGAAAACACAAAAAAUAAAACAUAAAAUCUUUAAAUCUUUAAAAAAAAUAUGCUAUAAUACUCAAGAAUCUCCUACCGAAGACAUCAAACAAAUAGAGCUCAUAUAAGCGUCCAGUUUAUCGCCCUUUUUCAUUUCGUCCCGUUGCCAACCGCACACCAUGCCAUACUCUGUCGCUGUUGCCAGUGCUGCAAUCAGAAUAAUCUUCGGUGGAAUGAUCCUAGCACCACCUUUAAGGAGGUUCAGGCUAGCAAAUGCUAGAGAAUACGUAGCAGAAUUUUGCAGGGUGACGGUGGAUUCACUUGUUAAACCAUGUUCUUUUGCAGAGCAAUUUAUUUUAUCCUUUAAAUUGAAUUUAUUGAUGAGGGAACAUGCAUUUAUGAUGUAAAACAAACAAACAAGAUUCAGAAUUAUUUUCACACAAUAAAAUGAAUAAUCACGAAUUGUUUUGUUUCAUUAUUUUGUAUUUCUUUUUGCCCAGAUUGUUCUUAUGGUGAACGUGUUUGAUAAAACUGCUAGGAUGUACUGGAUGUCUCAUUAGUGUAGAUAUAUGUGGCAACUCACUGGAUUUCAAAACCAGCCAUAGCAUAUUGGACCUUCUCAUUAUCCUUGUAUACAAGGAAGUUACUUCAGGAAAUUUGAUCUUAAUUGCUAUUUCCCUAUCAUAUUAUGGGAAUACCUUGGAAAAGGCAACUAAAAGCGUGAGUCCCCAAGUAUGGUGUGUAUUGGGCUUAGUGUACCUUGCCAAAAAUUGUUUACAUCAAAGGGAAAGGCAUGUACUAUUUGUUUUCGACUCUGAUAUUGAUAGAAGGCUUGUUUGCUUCAUUUGUUGUGGUUUUUGAAAUAGUUUCCGAUCCUAGAGAGAGAAAUGCUCCGAAUGUGGCCUUGUUUGGACAGCCAUUUUCCGUCUAAAAAUUGCGUCAUUUUCCAUGAUCACAUUUCCCUAUUACCUUUUUUCCUCAUAUACAUCAAUUUGCUACAGUAAUUUUUCUACAAAAAAUCCUAGAAAAUGCAAUCCAAAGGACUUUUCUACUUAUUCGUAGGCUAAGAGUAAAAUGAUCGAGAGAACAGUCAUACUGAAAUCAUGAGAUUCUGCAGGUACAAAAAUUCUGACCAUAAAAAUAUGAGGACGCGGUUUUUGUUGAGAAAUGUUUCUCCAGUGAUAUAAAUCAUGGCAUGACAGUUCUUAUUGUUUAGUAGGUCUUGAGAACAUCUUACAUCUUCAAUGUCCUGAGUCGUGAUCUAAAUUUCCUUUAAUAUGAUGGGAGCUCCAUGUUGUGGUUGAAGAGUAAUAACCGUAUUGGGGGCAUGCGUGUAGGAUGGUGAGAGCUCGAAUGAGAAAUUUUGUACUAUGAUGGAUAAUGCAAUCUUUGCUUCCAUCAGUGCAAAAUUUUGGCCAAUGCAGGUUUUGGGACCCCACCCAAAAGGGAAGAAUGCUAGUUGAUUUUUCGAAGCCUUAGACAAUCCUUCUGAGAACCUUUCAGGUUUAAAUUCCUCUGCAUCACUGCCCCAUAGCUCAGGAUCAUGAUGGAUGAGUAAUAAGGGCAGUGUAAGAUCUACCCCUGCUGGAAGAGAGAGAUUUCCUAUCUUUGUUUCCUGGUAUGUAUGUUUAUACAGAGCGAUAGCUGGUGGAUAUAAUCUGAGGACUUCUUGAAGAAUCAUGGUUACCUGUAAAUAUUCCCAAUCGUUUACACCAAAUGUCAUAAGAUAAUAUUUGACUAAAGAAAACAAGUAGAUCAGUAAAUAUUUAAUAGAAGUCUCUGUAAAAAUUCUACAACUCAAAUAAACAGUUCAUGUCUCCACUUCCAAGAUGUAGGAAGAAGUGAGGAAGAAAAAUAACUAUGGGGGAAUGGAUUGAACAUGAAGCAUUUUCUAUUAAAAGGAAUUGUACGUGAGCUUGUUCUUUGUAUUACUUCCAUUUGAAUAUUCUGCUCUAGUUGGUGAUUGAAAAGAAAACACAUUAAAAGCCUAUCUGUAUCAAUUACCACUGCUUUUCUUCGAAAAGUUAUUACAAUAUGACCUUCAUCGGAGCAUUGCAUCAAGGCCAUUUUGGAAGUUAACUCUGCCGCAGAUAACAAAGUUAUAAUCAGCGCAGAGGAUGUUCAAUGGAAAGUAGUUGCAAAUAUCUUAGUGAUUUACAACUCUCAUUCCAAUGGAUGUUUAAGGAACAUGUAGUUUUAAAGUAUCUUAGCGAUUUUUCAAUAUUAAAUGAAUUGGAACUUCAAUAAAAGGUAACAACUAUGUCUGAAAGAAGUAAAGAGCAGUACUCACAGUUUUAAGUUGGCUUAUAGUUUUAGCAUCAGGAUGCUGUUUCCCACACAAUGCUAGAACUUCUUCCCUUGCUUGCUCUUGCCACUCUGGAUGCAUUGCCAGGAUGAUCAUCGUCCAUGUUAACAAGCUUGAGGUUGUCUCUUGACCAGCUAUGUAGAACUGCUUGCAUUCCUCUAUUAUUUCUUUGAUGGUCAUCUUGUUACCAUUUUUGUUCUGUGGACUAGAUUGUAGGCUGUUUUCAUCAUUCGACUGCAAGAGUAGGCCAAGUAGAUCAUCUGUAUUUGUUUGUCCAGUUCUCAUCAGGGUUUCCUUUCUCUCAAUCAAAGACUUGAGCAUUGAAGUAAUGUUUUUGUCCAAACUUUUUCUUCUCCGGUUCUUUUUUGUUGGAAUGAAUCUGUUCAUUAAUAUGGUAAGGAUAUCAUACAACUCAGAAUUCUCUCAUAACGAGGCCAUUAGGUAUUCUUGCAAUGCCUAAUGACACUGACUGAAAAAACCAAAGCUCAUAUGUGAAGCGUAUUGUACCUGAGACCAGGAAUGUACAAGCUUUGCAUGGCUUCAACAACCAAACCUUGCAGCUCUCUCUGAAGCUUCAGGAUUUGAUUUCCUUCGUUGAAGUUGCUUCCAAAUGCUGUCCGAGAAAUAAUAUCUCCAGUCAAGUCCUGAAAUUCAGGCGAGACAUCUAUUUCACAGGUUCCACCAAGAGCAAUUGAUUUCUUCCACUUUUCUACCACCAAGACACAACUCUCUGCAAAUAUUGAUACCAUUCCCUAUUUUGACACACAGCAGUGGGACAAAAACAGUUUGAGAAUCCAUACUGUUAUUCAUUAAUCUUAGGCUUCUUAGUACCAUCUCAAAAACGAUACCUGGUGGAGACAAGGAGGGCUGGAAAAUUACCUUUAGUUUCUCCAAGUUGAAUGCAGGAGUCAUUAUCCUCCUGUGAGUAGCCCAUGUUUCACCCUCUAGAAGCGUCAAUCCUUCUGUCAGAAUGAGUAUCAGAGGGUUCAACGCCAGUGGUGUUAUACCAAAGUGACCUUGCUUGUUAGCUAGCACUUCUUUUAUUAUAUCAGGAUCCAUAAUGUUCAACCUUGGAGUUGUCCCUGCCCAACAUAGUGAUACUUUUCCUGUUUGCAUGUGAAACACAUCUCAGGAAACUACAAUUUGCAAUGAUACGAUUCAUCGUGAAUCUUGUAACUUACCAUAUUUUUGAGCUGUGUUGAGAGUGAAGGGAUCGACACGCGGUGCAAUCUGAUGAGAAAGGCUCAUUGGUUUAGACCAUGCUUCAGUGAUUUGCUUCAUGAAGUCUUUCAUGUCUCCAAUCAGAAGUUUGUAGGGGUUGCCUCUGAUUCCUUGCUGUUUUAAGCGCCUUUCAAGCCAUUUUGGCUUCCACCAGAUGGAGUAAAAAACUUUCAGAAAGAAGUAGCUUACCAGAAGUAGAGCAGUGAUUUUUAGGGACAGGAUUUUCAGAUCUUCCAUUAACUUGAAGAUUUUCAGCUACUUGGUUUUUGGUUCUGUUGAAUGCUUUAUGGUUUCUAAAUGCUUCUAGUUCGAUAUUUAUACUGGUGCCUUUCUGAAACUUCUGUUUGAAAUUUAAGUCAAGGAUAGUUGCUAUUGAGCGAGUGCAUACAAGGAUUUUCUUCUUCCUUGUCAAGUUAAUCUACCAGUACCUUUCACAUCUUCAUUAUUUUACUACUUAAUGAUCUUGGAGAAUAAGUUAUGUCCCUGGUCCAUUUGGAUUGUUGUUUCCUAUAGAAAAAUUUUUACAUUUUUCGUGCACAUAAUUUUCAACGAUUUGUUUAUUUUAUAUAAAUCAAAUUACUACAACUUACGUACAUAUUUUUUUUCAAGAACUUCAAAAAAUAGCAAACCAAAUAAAUAUUUUUCAAUCACUUUUUUACCUUGUAUAAAUCAAAUUGGAAUAAUAUAUUUUUUUACAAAAAUUUUAAAAAAUAGUGUAAUCCAAACAUGUCCGUAAACUGUACAUAGCUGUAUUCCUUUCUCAUUCUAAAGGGUUAAUUACAUUUACCUCCCAUGAGGUUUGACCAAAUAACGAAUCGAUCCCUGAGAUUUGACCAAAUAACAAAAAGGUCCCUCAACCGUUAGUCUUUGCCAUUGACUGUUAGGGUUAAUUACAUUUACCCCCUUGAAAUUUGACCAAAUAACGAAUCGAUCCCUAAAAUCUGACCAAAUAACAGAUUCCUCCCCCAUACUAACUUCUGUCACUUCAUUUAUAUAAUAUAGGAAAAGUAUAAGGAGCUGGUACAUUAUGGAAAGAAAAAAUGCAUACUACAUUUUCAACCCUCUUAUUUGCUAGAAAUUUUAAUUUUACUUUAUCUUUUAAAUAAAUUAUUUUUUGAAAAAAUAGGUACUUUGUUCAUAUAAUUGGGAAAAGUCGUAAAGCACUGGUAUUUUAUGGAAUAAUGGGUAUUACCCUAUGUAAUCCAAAAUUUGUCAUACUAUUUCACCAAAUUACAAAAUACGUGUAUGGCAAAUUUUGCAUUACAAGGUCUAUCAAAAUUUACUCUGAUUUUAUCUGUUAAAUAAAUUAAUAAUUUGUUGGAUUCAAAAUUUUAUCUGUUAACCAAAAUUUUUUUCUGAAAACACAAAAAUCGAUAGGUCAAAAAUUUGAUGGAAAUCAAUAAGGGUUGUUCAGACUUUUGGCUAUUUCCGUUACAUAUAAGUGACAGAAGUUAGUGUGGGGGAGGAAUCUGUUAUUUGGACAAAUUUUUGGGAUCGAUUCAUUAUUUGGUCAAAUUUCAGGGGGGUAAAUGUAAUUAAUCCUAACAGUCAACGGCAAAGACUAACGGUUGAGGGACCUUUUUGUUAUUUGAUCAAAUCUCAGGGAUCGAUUCGUUAUUUGGUCAAACCUCAGGGGAAGUAAAUGUAAUUAACCCCAUUCUAAAAGGUCAUCCGAAUAUAAUAUAUUAUAAAUGGUGAUGGAAAAGCCGUCGGCUAAGAGUUUUGCUUUUUCGUGAAGAGCAAGCAUUGGCUCAAAAGUCAAAUAGAAAAAACUGAAAAACAAAUUGCUUCCACCGCAUCAGCUGCUGCUAGACGUUCAGAAUUUUGGUUUUGGAUGAGACUAUAGUUAACAGAACGUUUUCCUGCGCAAAGUUGAAAGUUCGUGGAAACUGCAAUUUGAUUUUUCCUUUUCUUUUCUAUUUUGGCAUAAAUUCUUCUGCAAAAUUUUGUCCUUUUUUUUUGUUGACGUAUAAUGUUGAUAUAUCAAGUGAUCAAUAUUGAAACACAUCAAUAUUGAACACAUAUUAACAAUUAUUAUUCUUCUUUAUAUUUGUAUACUUUCCUUAUUUAAUCUUGAUUAUUUUUCCUUACAUUUAUUUAUUUUCUCUAAUUAAUCGUAUAUUUUCAAAAAUAUAACACCUAAAAUAUAUUUUAUCGAGUGUUCGGGUUAGGGUUGCAUACGAAUCAAAUCGAAUCGAGUUUUGAUCUUAUCGAACCGAGUCUUGACUUAAUUUUAUUGAACUCGAGCUUGAGCUCGAAAAAAUAAAAAAUAAUUAUUUUAUUUUUUAAAAAAUAAAUAAAAUAAUAUUUUUUUCUUAAUAAAUAAUAAAAUAUUAAGGAUAUAUAUAUUUUUACUAUUAAAAUAAAUAAAUAAAUAAAUAUAUAUAUAUAUACUCAAACUCGCGAGCCGAACUUAAUAUUUUGAGCUCGAUUUCGACUCGAGCCAGCUCGAACUCGAGUCGAGUUUGACUUGAGCCGCUCGCGAGUCUAAGCUCGUUUGCAGCUCUAGUCCGAGCACUCGUUAGAGAGACCGUCAAUUUAUUAUGCUUACCAAAAUAUUCUCCUCCGCUAGCGGAUUUUUUUUUUCUGGAAAAAGAAAAUCACAUGCAUCCAUUCGAGAAUUUUACUCAUUAAAUUGAAGUCCGAUAUUGAUAUUAUAAAAUAAAAAAGUUUCUAAAACAAUCAAAGAAAUAAAGUCCAACGGUGGUCCAAAAAACUAAUGAAAGACUGUAUUACGUUUAGUUGUGUGAUUGAAUUUCACUCACAUGACCAAUAAAAUUGAAAACAAAUUUAGACAGGUAAGAGUAGCCUCCUAUAAAGGAAAAUUGGAUAUAUGCAGGCCUGGACUUGAAGAAAAGCACGGGUUGGACAUCACUUGGCAAACGAUAAAAGGGCAGGGCAGGGUGAGAGAAAUAAAGAGGACGAGGGAAGGUGGCUAAGGAUAACAUUGGCGCUUAGAAAUCACUUGAAGGUGUAUUGCAGUUUCCUUUGCGUAAUGUGCUCAUCUUCAGUCGCUGUGGCCUGUGAGAGAAUUGGCUGAACCAUAUGCAUUAUUUUCUUCAUUUCAUCAUCAUCCUUGCACAAGAGAAAUUUCUUAAAAAGCAGUGAACUGACCAACUUCAAGAGAGCGAAAGUAGCUCCAGUUCUAUAGCAUGUCACUAUGGGGCAAGGCAUGCACUAGUUGAGAGUGAAACUGAACCAAACUUCCCAUUUCAAAUCUGCCAGUUGUGCAGUCAUUGGUUGCACAGCGAUCACUUCACUUCAAACAAUUUUUAGUGAUCGAGCGGUAGACUUGCAUGCAAGAAAUCAAACUGAGGAGAGGAGGCUGAUAGGGCUCAAAACGAAAAAUUGCAAAAUUGCUAUCCUUGUUGUAUACUCGUAUCUGAAAGUCUUCUGUUCGAAAUGGUGAAGCAUGGAGGAUGUCAAAACUCGCUUUCCAAUCAAGAAUAACACCCUCUUUGUGUUUCUAUGGGAUUAACUAGUAAAAAUUACCAAAGAACAAAUAUACCUAAACAAGAAAUAACAAGACCAAAUCUCUUGAAAAAAUGAAAAAUAAAACUAGCAACUUAAAAGCAAAUCUAACAGAACAAAAACAUAGAAUACUUCCAAUUGGGCAAAAGCUUCUUCUCAUUAUUAGCAGCAUUCUAGUUUCAAAGCCUAAUAUCAUCCUAAACACCAACAACAACAAUGCCUCAUGCCCUAAUAAUAGUCCAAUAAAGCAUAAAAGAGAAAUGGCCAAAAAAAAAAAAAAGAAGCAGCUUGGCGAAACAGGACAAUUGAACAGAGAAUUGUACCCUUCAUCAGAGGCUAGCCGUCUGCGGCGGAGGAACAACGUAAUCCAGCACCACCACACCAUCUAGCUUAUCCCUAACCAAAUCCUUCUGCUUAUUGGCCGCCUCCGGUUCCGCAUCGAAUCCCUCCAAUUCAUUAACCCCGUUGAGUACUGCAACAGAGGCGAUUGAAAACCCUUUCGCUCUCCCGGGAGAAAAGUUCUCCCCAAAACUCAACUGCUCAAUCCCCGGAAACUUCUCUUUGAUUCCCCCAGUCACCCCCAAAACCUCAUUUUUCUCAUCCUCCCCGGAGCCCUCCUUCAAUUUCAAAAACGUCACCCUCAUAGCCGAACCGGGAGGAAUAUUAACCGCGCCGGCGCCACUGGCAACCCAAUCGACGGCCAUAAUGUCAUCGACGAUAGGCUUGACGUAAUUGGUGACGACGGCGACGUGGUCAGGGUGUGCGGAGUAAGCAUCGAGGUCGGACUUGGAGGCGUAGCGAGAGUGGAGCAUGUGAGUGAAGGUGAGAGAGGAGGAUCUGGACCGGAGGACCGGGCCGGCGGUGAGGUGGAGGACGGAAUCGAGUGAGGCGAGACUACUGAGGUUGUUGACCACGGCCGUUGCUUUGGAAGGGUCAAUAUCUGGUUUCACUUUGAAGAGGACGAUGUGUUCUAUGAACUCAGGUGGAUUGCCGGCGGACAUUUUGAUGGACGGUUGUGAUUGAGCGGCGUAGAGACGGGUGGUGGAGGGAAAGUAGAAGAAUUUGAACGGAGAAGGAGAAGAAGAAGAAGAAGAGCGGAGACGAGGAAAUGAUAAGAUGUUUGUGCUACAGUAAACUGCUGCUCUUACACCUCCACACAGCAUUUUUUUUCUGAUGUUCCAAACUCCCAAGUCGCACUUGAUUCGCCCCCGUUUUGACUUUAUUCCUUUGAUUGUUUUAGAAACUUUUUUAUUUUGUAAUAUCAAUAUCGGACUUCAAUUUAAUUAGUAAAAUUCUCGAGAUGGAUGCAUGUAUGUGAUUUUCUUUUUCCAGAAAAAAAAAAAAAAUCCGUUAGCGGAGGAGAAUAUUUUGGUAAGCAUAACUCUAUUGAGUGCCCGGCCACUGGUUAAAAUAAGCUCAAGUGUUAUAUUUUUGAAAAUAUAAGACUAAUUAGAGAAAGUAAAUAAAUACAAGGGAAUGUAUGCAAGAUUAAAUAGAAAAAAGUAUAUAAAUGUAAAAGAAAAUAAUAAUUGUUAGUAUGUGUAUAUAUAUGUAGUAAAUUAAGUAAAUGUUAGGUGUAUCAAGGGAACCUUAAGAGCACCCGUUAGAAAAAUCUAUAAACUAAUAUGAUCAAGGAUAAUUUGUUUAGUGCCAUAAACAUGUGGAAUGGGCUAAAUUCACAUCCUCCCGUUCUAAAUUCACACUCUAACUACUAAUAUGGCAAUUGAACCCUUAUCACUUAAUGACUUUCACUUAUAACUUUUUGCAAUUUCAAAAUUAUAAUUUCAUAGAGUAAAGAAAUUUGCCAUAACACCUAUUCUUUCAAUUAGUUUCCUAAUUUUUUUAAAAAAUUCAUUGCACAUUGUUGUUAAUAAUUUGUAUUGUAUUAAGUAUCUUUAAACAAUAAUAAACAAUAAUAAAUUCAUGAAAUUCAUUGUAAUAAAAAAUUCAUUGUAUUAAGUGUCUUUAAAUAAUAAUAAAUUCAUGAAACCUAUCAAGUUAGGUAAUAGAGUUAGAGAUCUUGUGUACUUCAAAAGUGUUACUACACAAAUAAUUUCAUCAUUUUGAUAGAAUACGCAUCCUAUAAAAGAAACUGAAAAAUGCAAAAGAAACAUCCAAUAGUCUAUAAAUUUGGUGUAAUGUUUAAUUAACAACCAAAAUCAUUAAUGGGAUUACACAUAAAUACUGAAAUAUUGAAAUUUUUACAUGGAAUAUGAAUAGUACUAUGAUAAUUUUGAUUGUUAUAUAUUUAGAAAAAAGGAAAUGUUAUUUGCACUCACCAUUUAUUUUUAUUAUAUGGUCUAACAAAUGAAAACUAUAUGAUUAGAAUGAUAAUGGAAGUGAGAUUAACAUAAAUGGGAGUGCAAAUAACACUUCUCAUUUAGAAAAACAAAAAUCAAAAUAAAAAAGGAGAAAAAUAAAUUAAAAAUACACAUUACACAUCCCAUAAGCCCAAGAUUUUUCAAAACCCAUGAGAUUUUUGUUGAAAAUAUUUAGAAGAAAAAGUAAUGCAAGAAAUGGUUACAAGAGCAAUGCUAAGCAAAUUGCUUGCAGUGGAUGAAAGCAUAAAUUUGGAAUUACAAAAGGUCAUAAGAAAACCAUUAAAUGUAAAAAGGUUUUAAUAUCAUAUUGAUCUUUAGCGUAUGGAUAUGGGAUGCAAGGGUGUGAAUUUAGCCUCUCCCUAAACAUUGUUUUUCUAACGGUGUCCAAUAGACACUCAUCAAUACACCUAAAUUUCAUCCGAUCCACCAUGUAUGUACACAUUUCAACAAUUAUUAUCUUCUAUUACAUUUAUACACUUUUCCUAAUUAAUCUUAUCUCUCUAAAAAUCUAACACCUAAAAUAUAUCUUAACGAGUUCCCAUUAGACACCCUUCGGACAAACUCAAACAUGUAUCUAUAUUUCUUAGUUCUCAUUUCCCAUUGGCUCACCUCAAUGUACCAUGGUUGUACAAGAUCAUGUUUUGUGUUUUGCACUCUACCCUUUCUUAUGAAAUAUGAAUGUUCAACUAUUUUAAAUAAGUCAUAUAUUGCUCAAAAUCUUAAUAUGGUUAAAACUUUCAACUAUCAAAAUAAGUUUUUUUCUUGUAUUUAUUUAUUUUUGCUUUGGGAAUUAGGCUUCAUUUAGAGUUGAAGAGGGCUAAUGAAUUAUAAACUUCUUUCUACUUUCCUUAACUCUUUUCUUCUUUGUUCUUUUUUUUUGGAUGCAUAAAACCUUUUUUUUCGAAGGAUACAAGAUUAUACUUAAAUAAUUAAUGUAGGAAAGAUUUUUUCAAUAGUUAUAUGGUAACGGGUAAAAUUCUUUAAUUUGAAUAAGCAAAUGAGGAAACACAAAUACAUUUGAGGAAACACAUCAUCAAAAAAGCCAGAGAAUUGAAUUACACAAGCAAGAAUAGUUGAAUCCAUAUAGAAUAGACAUUCAAAUUGAACGAUCAAAAAUUGUUUCAACCAAGAACCAUGCUGACAUGAAGAGUACAAGCCCAAUAGAAAUAUCAAUAUAGCGAAAAAGGUGAAAAGAAAAUAAUGGAAGAAGAUAAAGGUGGAGGCAUAUGGACAAGUUUCAUUAAUUGUUGAAACUAAUUGUGUUUGGAUUGCAUUUUUCGUGAUUUUUCAUAGAAAAAUUACUAUAGCGAUUUGAUAUAUGUGAGGGAAAAAGAUAAUAGGGAAAUGUGAUUACGGAAAACGAUGUAAUUUUUCGACGGAAACCGGCAAUCCAAACAAAUGUUCAGACAUAAAACUCGUAUUAAUAUGUUUCAUUAAAUUUAGUAGGAAACCCUGUUUUCAAGGUUUUUAUUAGGAUGAAAAGAAAACAGAUACCAAAUCAAUAGUGUCAUCGAAAUGUAAUAGGAAAGAUACGCUAGUAAUUGCUACUUUAGCUCAUAAAAUAAGGAAUUACCUAAGAGGGUUAUAGCUAAGAGAGUUCAUGUGGAUCACUGUUAGAAACUGAACAUGUAAAAAUUGAGUGGAUUUCAAAGGCUUCGCACAUAUUCACUGCUUCGACUUUAAAAAGAUUUACUGCAUACUUAAUGGUAAUCUUCUUAAACUAAUUCCUCAUCUCAUGGAACCUAAUCAAAGAGAGAUCUAAUUAUUAGCAUAAAUUUUAAAUUUGACAUGUAAAUGUAUGUUUGAUUCCUUACAAAAAAAAUAAAAUAAAAUCUAAACUAAAAGAAUAACAAAAAAAACACAUAAGUCAUUUGAGGCACAUAAGCACAUAAAAACACAUAAUUUGAAGUUUAAGGGUAAGAGCGGUACAACAGAAGUACUUCUCUUUGAAUCUCCAACUAAACUAAACCUUUUUAAGCUUAAAACAUCAAUAAAAAAUGUACCAAUAUCAUGAAUAAUUAAAGGUUUAAAGAUAAAUAGAUGCUACUUAUGUAUGCAAUAUUCACUAGGGAUUGAAAAUAACCCACAAAUCAACAUUAAAAGAAACAAUUAACACUUGAACUAAAUGAUCCCAUUUAAAGAAAUAAAAAGUCUAUAGGGACUAAUUGAAAAGCUAACAAAGUUUUUGGAGCAAAUGUACAAUUUUUCAAAAGUUGGGACUAAAAUGCAAAUUUUGUAACAUAAAUUAAACAGCCAAUUUUAUUCCUAAAACUAUUGAAAUUAAGCAAAAUUUAAUUGUGAAACAAUUUCAAGAAUCAUAUUUUAAAAAAAUGAAAAAAUUAACCUACAAUACCAACAUGUCUAGUUAAACUUUUAAUUAUAGUUAAACAAGCUUCAAUUAAACAAUUAAGACCAUAAAUAAUCAUAAUUAAAUAUUACAAGCAUAUAAUUGCCUCAAACUCACUAGGAACAUAUUUUGGGGUCCUUUGAAUGCAAUUUUUAUAUCAAUCAAACCCCAACAUCAUUUCAAAUACGUUCCUAGCAUUAAAACAAGCCAAAUUGAUAUUAAUGAAUUAAAGCCCCACUAUUAUGAACAAAAAACAAGAACUCCAAAAAGACUAUUUGCCAUUAAAAUUAGUUUCUAUAUUAGUCUUUUCAAAAUGACCUCUUUAUAAUUUUAUUGCUCAAAUUCAACAUUCUCUUCAAGAGUGCACACUUCAAUUCAACAAUUUUUUAUGAAGCAAAUGCUACAACGUAGUGGCGGAUUCACAGUGGGGUGCUUGAGGGCACGGACCCCCACAGACCAUGAAAAAUUACUCUACACAAAAGUUAGUAAUUCUAAUAAUGUGCAUGUACUAAUUUUAAAAAUUAUACAUUGCCUCAUUGAUAUUAAAGAAUAGAAGACAACUAACAUAAAUGAUCUUUAAUUUCCUCUUUCACAAAACUAAAUUAAGUUAGUAAUUUCCUCUUUAAAUUACUCUACACAAAAGUUAGUAAUUCUAAUAAUGUGCAUGUACUAAUUUUAAAAAUUAUACAUUGCCUCAUUGAUAUUAAAGAAUAGAAGACAACUAACAUAAAUGAUCUUUAAUUUCCUCUUUCACAAAACUAAAUUAAGUUAGUAAUUUCCUCAUUAAAUUACUCUACACAAAAGUUAGUAAUUCUAAUAAUGUGCAUGUACUAAUUUUAAAAAUUAUACAUUGCCUCAUUGUAUUAAAGAAUAGAAGACAACUAACAUAAAUGAUCUUUAAUUUCCUCUUUCACAAAACUAAAUUAAGCUACAAUGAAUGGUAACUUUAGUCCAAAAAAAGAAAACUAAAAUGGCUAAAUAGUUAUGCUCAUGCCAUAUUAGUUAAUGGUAUAAUCUUUUCAUUAGUAUAUUCAUGGUCUUUUUAAUAUAAAUUUUGUUAUAUAUCUAGUUAGCAGAUAUCAACUGUAGAGCUAUUAUCUUGUAAUUUACUCAUACGACUUGUCUAGAACUUUAGUAUGUAUCCUCUAUUUUGGUUUAUUUAACCUAUUGAGCUGUUGUCAUAUUAUCUCAAAAUUUUAUCUAAAUAACUGACUAAAUAAACCAAUAUAUAGAAAAAAAUUUGGCAUUUUCAAGUACACAAUUUGCUAACCCUUUUUUUAAUAUUAUUUUCCUCUUAUCCUUAUAAAAGUUGAUUCUUCAUUAAAAUGAAUGCAAAAUAUUGAACUUUUAAAUUAUAGAAUUGAAAUUAUAAGUAUAUAUUGAACUUUAUAUUGUAAGAAAUCUAUAAAAUAAUGUUUGAAAUUUGUAUUUCAGCAUGAACAAAAUAACUUAGAAAGUGCCCACACUAACGAAAAUUUUUGGCUCCGCCAAUACUGCAAUGGAUUUUUUAACUUCUUUACUUGUGUCUGGUCAACAUAUAUUUACAAAGGAUUCAGCUUUUCCUACUCAAUUUUGAGCAAUUGUUAACUUAGACAGGAUUAAUUAUCCAUAUAUUAGGCAUUGCAAUAUGAAGGAUUAGUAAUCCUUAGAUUGUAUUUAUAUUUCAUUGUAUGGGAGGUGAGGUACAUGUUUCCCUCCUAUAAUUUUAUUUAUCAGUAAAAUUUAGGGCUAGCAUCCUACUAUGUAUAUGGGGCUUUGCUAAAAUUGAAAAAGAAAUUGCCAAAGUUGGGCUUAAAAUCAAAGUCAUAGUUUCAUCAUAAUCAUAAUUUCAUGCAUCAAAAGAUCAGUGAUAAACAUGUUUAAAGAGCUCAUGAAUUUGGGGCUUAAUAUUAGGAAAAUAUGAUGUUUAGAAGUUACAUGAACUCCUAAGGGUCUAAACCACAAUGCAAAAAGGUUGGCAGCGAAUCUAGAAAGCAACAAAGCUCUUUUCUCUUUAUUGAAGUACAAAAUUUUUGGCCUCAAGAAUUCAUAAGCAGCGGUAUUUUUGCUUGAUCUUGAAGGUAUUUGAGCAGUCUUCUAAACAAACCUUCAACAUAAAAAAUUUCCCCUUAGUUAACGGAAGGUUCAGGGAAAACAAAGUUUGCAUAAGGACCAAAAAUGGAAGAGAUAUUUGAUUAUGAAUAGGGCUUGUUGAUCAGUCCUGUUUUCACUUUUCUAAAAGUUCUCCUUCUCUUCACUCUCCUUCUCUUUGUCUCCCUUUUUUAUUCUGUAUGGCUAUUUCUCUCUCUCUCUCUCUCUGCUAUAUUGAACUUCUCAAAUACUCUAGAAACCCUCCUUUCUUGUGAUAGACAUACCUAAUUGUAUGAGAUCAUAAACCAUAAAAAGAAGGGGCAAAUAUUGAGUUUGGAGAGAAAAGAGUGAUGUGACUAUUUUGCAACUUUUUGAUACAAAUUUGGGUUUCGGUAUCAUACAAAAAUUUAUGCUAUUGAGUUGUACUAACAUCCAUAACAACACAAAGAAAAUAUUCUGGUAGAAUUAGUCGACAAAAUGGAAAAACGAGAGUGAGGAAAAAAAUUGCAUGAAUACGAGCAAGGAGGAAAGUGGUUGUCAAGCACGUGUCGACUAUUGGAGGCAGUCUCAUGAUUGACAGCCAAUUUUUGGGUGUCAUGUGACUGCUUGUCCCUAGACUUUUACGGAGAAAGGGGUAAGAAAGGUUACUAGUUUAGCCAUUUCUGAAUGGUAAAAGAGCCAUUCAAUAAAUUGUAACUCAGUGUACAUCUUUGUAACAAAAAUAUUAUAUUUAACUUCUAAUCACUUGGACCCAUAUAAGAUAGUUAUGCCAGAAUUACAUAGCAUGUUUCUAGACUCUUACAACGCAAAUUUUUACCCUAUUGGCAAAUUUGAGUCCAUAAACUUUUGCCUUACUGGCAAAUUUUUGUCCCUUUAGUGAAGGAGUCCUAGGUAGGGCUCCUAAAUGAUCUAAUAGAGGGGUAUUGUUUAGCAAUAAACAUUAGUGUUCGCCGGCAUACAUAAAGAGGAAGCCAAUGACAACUAGAAUAAGGGUUUUCUUGGAGUGAUUCUUGAGGGAAAAAUACCGGUUUUCGUCCCCAAACUUUGGACACAAGACACAUUUCGUCCCUCAUCUUUCGGGCAUGACACAUCUGGUGUCUGAAUUAAGAAUUUUAGACCAAAUGUUAUCCUCAAACGGCAAUUUAUCCACCAUUUAACGAAACCGGUCACGUGAGAUUCACGUACCGUUAAAGCUCCUGUCCAAAAGAACCCAGGUGGAAAAGGACGUUGUCUCCACUUUACCUUGUCCUUUCCAAAUCUGAACUCUCUCUCUCUACAAGCUCGCUUAUAUUUGUGUAAAAACCCUUUUCCCCUUUCCUUUGCCUUUCAAUUUUUACACUUUCAAAAGCGCAUUCCAAAAAAUUAUUGAAGAUCGAAGAAGAAGAAGCUGACCUGCUGGCAUCCACUAAGUAGCAGAGCGAAAAAAUAUGUCGGUGCGAAAGAAGGAGUUGAACGAUUGUGCCCCACCAAAUUAUGGUAAGUUGUCCAGGGUUUAAUAAUUUGUUGAUUAAAGUAUUAAUAAUGAAAAUGUUGACCUUUUAGUGGCAAGCCAUGUAGAUGUGGUCCUUCACAUGGGUGUUUGUGAUAUAUUAUUAUUGUUUUUUUUAGCUGAAAAUACUAGCAGCAUUGUUUGAAUUAGGCUGCCGAAAGUAAAAACAAAUCUCAUGGAUCCAUUGUUUAUUCCAAAUGAAGUGAUACUCGAGUACGGUUAUCCUUUGCCCAGUAGCUACAUAGCUGGUUCAUUGUGAUAUAUUAUUGUUAAUGCUAGGUCCAACUACAAAGUUUGAACUUUUUUUUUUAAUAUGAUACAUAGGGUCCUUGAUGUCUAUUUUACAGGUGUAAAUCUUAUUAUUGUUUAGUCGACAUUGUUUGAAAAGACUAAUUUUUGUAAUGGUUAGAACAUAUGUGUUUGAAUUAUAAAUCUGUGGUCCCCAAAUUAUUGCACUUUGCUGUCCUCAAAUUAUUGUUAAGCUUAUAAUAAUAAGUUUAUCCAAUAUUGUUAAAAUAUAAAAGUAAUGGUUUGGUUGCUUAUUCAGUAUUUGAUAUAUUCUUUUUUUUAACUAUCAGAAAAAGGUAGCUCACUGAUUACACUAAAAUGUCGUUGUGGAGGGUUGAUAUUUUACACUCCCCAACCGCAUUAUAAGGGUGGAGAUGUAUGUGUCCUGGAUUAUGUUGAGAGUAUAGGCUUGAGUAUUUUUGAAAUGGAUAGAUUGACUGAGGAUGCUGGUGUGUUUGGUCACAAAGUGUACUAUGGUUGGGAGAAUAAUAGCUUUAAAAGGAUAGACAAUAGUAGAGAAUUGCAUGGAUAUAUUGUAAAGACUGCUGGUUCAAUUAGGGAAGUUAUCUUGUACCUUGAAAUCUCAUUUCAUGAAAUUUUGGUUCAACAACUUGGCAAUGAUGCUUAUAAGGUUGAUAAGAAUGAAGAAGGUCCUGCUAGUGGUAAAGAUGGUAAACAUGAUCAUGAAGAGAGAGGAAAUGAUAACAGUGAUUCUGAUUCAGCCAAUGAGUCUUUCUUCUCAGCAGUAGAUUCUGAUUAUAAUCAAAGUGAAGAAGAUGAUGCUGAUUUCAACGAUAACAUAGAUACAAAUGCUGAAUGGUUUGGUGUCUCACACUAUAAGGAAUUGAAAACUAAUUUGGCAAAACAAGGACAGGUUGAAGCUAAUUUGGUUCAGUCUGAGGAUAAUGAUGUAGCCCCUGACUCUGAAUCAGAUUUUGAGAGUUUGCAUGGGUCUGAUGAUGAAAAUGGUAGUAAUAGGUGUGUUGUGUUCAAUCCCAAGGACAUGGAUAAUCCAAAAUUGAAAUUAAAGAUAUUUUUUAGUACCAUCAAAGAGUGCAAGUUAGCUAUUACAAACUACAGUGUAAGACAGGGGAGACCUUGUAAAUUUGUGAAGCAGGAUUUGGUUAGAUUGAGGGCAAAAUGUAGAAGUGAAGGCUGCAAUUGGCAUAUUUAUGCUAGAAAAUUUGAUAGAGAAGGAAGUGUGCAAAUUAGGACAUUUGAGGACACUCACAAAUGUGGCUUUACAUAUCAAAAUCCACUUGUAAAUUCUGGUUGGGUUGGUAGAAAGUAUUGUGAGGAGUUUAGAUCCAAUCCUAAGGUAGAUGUGGAGCAUUUUAGAAAAACAGUGAUGAAGGAAAACAAAUGCUCCUUCACAAAAAAACAAACAUAUAGGGCUAGACAAAAGGCUUUGGACAUUAUUCAUGGUAGUGAAAGUGACCAAUACAGCAAGUUAGGACCGUACAUGCAUGAAAUUCAGAAAUCUAAUCCUGGUAGUUCUAUCAUAGUAAAGACUGUGGAUGGCACUUCAAAAGGGCAACAAAGAUUCCAAAGACUUUACAUGUGUUUUCAUGGAGUGAAACAAGGAUUUUUGGUUGGGUGUAGGACGUUGAUUGGGGUAGAUGGCACAUUUUUGAAAGGAAUAGCAGGGGGUGUUCUAUUGAUUGCUGUUGGACUAGAUGGUAAUAAUGGCAUUUUUCCUAUUGCAUAUGCUAUAGUUGAGGGUGAAAACAAGGAAUCCUGGACAUGGUUCUUCAAGUUACUCAAAGAAGAUUUGAAAAUUGAAAGAGAUUAUGAAUGGACAAUCAUGAGUGACAAGCAAAAGGGACUAGUUCAGGCUUGUAUUCAUGUUUUUCCAAAUGCAGCUCAUAGGUUUUGUGUAAAGCACUUACACAGCAACUUUUCUACUGCUGGGUUCAAAGGGGAAGCUUUAAGGAGAGCAUUGUGGGCUGCUGCAAAGGCAACUACACCAGCAGAAUUUGUUAGGAAAAUGGAAGAAAUGGCAGCAAUUGACUUGGAUGCUGCCAAGUGGUUUGAUGAUAAACCACCAUCUCAAUGGAGUAGAGCUUACUUUAGCACCCAUUCAAAAUGUGAUAUGCUAUUGAAUAAUAUUUGUGAAUGUUUCAAUGGCAAGAUUUUGGAUGCUAGAGAGAAGCCAAUCAUUGAAAUGAUGGAAUUAUUAAGGUUGUAUAUGAUGCAACGAAUGCAGCAGAAUAGAGACAUGGCAAGACAAAAAUGGAAAGAGUAUAUGUAUUGUCCUAGAAUCAUUGAGAGAGUACAAAAGAGAAUGGAUAAGGCAACACAAUGUUUUCCUUUCAAGUCAAACGAUGAUUUGUAUGAAGUUUCCUGUCCAUAUGGUGAUCAUUAUGCUAUGAACAUUAAAGAGCAAACUUGUUCAUGUAGGAGAUGGGAGCUGACAGGAAUUCCUUGUCCCCAUGCAAUUGCUGCACUUUGGUUAGCUCAAAAGGAUCCCAUGUUAUAUGUAUCCAGCUGGUAUACAGUUGAAACAUACCUAAAGAGCUAUGAAGGAGCUAUUUGUCCAAUGAAUGGGGAAGGAAAUUGGGAGAAGACUGAUGUUGAUGGUCCAAAACCCCCUUUAUAUGGUAAAAUAGCUGGAAGACCAAAAAAAUAAAGGAGAAGGACUGCUGAUGAGGAACAACAAGCAAAGGAAAAAAAGGCCAAGAAAAUGAGUAGAGUGGGGCAGGUAAUAAGGUGCAAAUACUGUCUGCAACAAGGCCACAACGUGAGAUCUUGUAAGCUUAAAAAGGAUGAAAACAAUGCCUCAAGAUCUGGUAUAAAGAGCAAAGAAGCUGCCUACAAUACAAGAUCUGAUGAAGUUGACAGUGGAGACUAGGAUGAAGUUAAUUGCACUGAGAUUCUGGUUACAUGUACUCCCCAAAUAUUCGACAAGAAUCCAAAUAAUAAGUCUACCAAGCUAGCAGUAAGUCUUGUAUACAAUUGUUUUGAUGUUAAAGUUUCAUUUUAUCUCCUUCUAUUCAAUAGUCUAUAAAAAUUAAAUUACUUUGAGUUGUUUUUCUUUCUUUGCAGAAAAGUUCACAUGCAGAAAGUAGAGUUCAAGAUGGAUCAAUGCAUGAUGUAACAAAACUUGCAACUUCAACUGUGAGUACUGUACAUGCUCACCACAGCAGCAAAGUUUAUCAUAGCAAAGUUGAUGUUGAGGCAGGCACUAUCUAAUGAAAAGUAAAAAGGGAAUUUGUUUUUGUCCACACAUGGCCAACCGUUCAUUAUAUAUUGGAGUAAUUUCUGUUCAUUGCAUCUGCCUUCAUUGAGGGGUUUCCUUUUAGAGUCUUAAGUCCUUUCUAUAUGAUCUAGUCACUUAUUUGUUAUCCACAUACCAUUUCUGGUGGUGCAAUACAGAUUUUUUCUUUGUAAUUUAUUUAUAUCUAGUUGUUUUCCAUAUGUCAAGAAGGUCUUUAUGUCAUUUAUCCUGAUUGAAAGAAAUUUAAUACAUGUUCUUUAAUACAUUUAACCUCUCAGGAGACUAACCAUUUAGAAGAUGUUGCUGUUACAAGUUCAGCCCCAACUUCUCAUGAUUUGUAUGAAGUUUUCGGUCUAAAAAGAGCUCAAGUUAAAUACAGUCAACCAGUACAUGGAACAAAAGAGAAAGAGCAUGUACAUAUGCCUGUCAAGACCAAAUCUGUCCACAGGGAAGUUGCUACUGCUGCUGCUACCAAAAGAGUUGUUGGUUCUUCAAGAAUGAAAAGGAAAAACAAAGUACUAUAAAUAUUGAUAGUAGAGCCUUAGAUGGUUUUUUUUUGUUUUGAUGUAGAUUAUGGACUGAGGUUGACAAUAGGAAUGGUCCUUUUUUGAAGCAGACAUCAUAUUUUGGUGUGGUCACUUUUUUGUUUGUUGUCCUCAGAAUUAGUGCUACGAUGUGAACACAUGGUUUUGGUACUUUAUUAAUGGAGGUGAAAAAAUUUGUCUUGUCCAUAUUCAAGUGAUUGGUACAUUUCUUUAUCUUCAAACCAAUCUUAUUGACAGAUUAUUUGUAGUCGAAACAAGAAAAAGAACAACCAAAUUACCAAACUAAUGCUACAUAAACAAAAGAGGUAUAUAGAAGCUCAACAUUCCACAUAAACAAGAAAGAUACAAAGGAUCAAGACCUAAUCCUAUAUUCUCACUCGGUAAGUUAAGUUAAAACAUGCCACCAUUUGCAACAACCAGUCAAUACUACUACUGCUGCUGCUAAUCCAAUCCAAAUUGUACAAACACUGAAAUGAACUAGAUUUAACAGCUUCAAUGGAAUAGCUCACUCCAAGCUUAGCACUAAUUUUCGCUCCAUUGCAUGUCCAGUCCUUUUUACAGUGACAGAUAUAAUCAGCAGCAUAGCCAACAGUAUGAUGACCACAAUCAAAAUUUUUUCCCUUCUACGGCUUUUUGCAAUUGUUUCUUCCAUCCGAUUCACCCUUCUCAGCAAACCCGGUAUAAUAUUCCUUCCUCUUGUACAAAUUGGUUCAUCAUGCCAUUCAAAAUAUUUACACCUGUCAGGUCUCUACAAAUGUAAUCCCAUUUAUAAACAUCAGCAAAGCACAGUCACAAUUCAAUUUGAGUUGAAAUAGUAACAAAACUAAAAAAUUUCUUACUGGCCAUCUUGAGCAACCAUAAAAUCAUCUCCCUGGAUUAUCAUCCCGCCAAUAUGUUGCCAUUUUUGGCCGCAAUCCACAACCACACAGCCGGGCGUUGCUGUUUAAUGACGAUGACGAUGACGACUCAAGAUUUCUAGAUCUCAUUUUAGGGAAAUACAGCCACAAUGCUGGGUGUUGCUUUAUGCAAGUUUCUAUGCAAGUUUCUACUUUAUUUCUUGGCAGAAUUUGAUUUGGAAGAGGGGAUUUGCUCUCGGCAGAAUUUUCAGAUGGAGCUUGAGCUUAGGCUUGGAAAUUUGCAGAGGAAGUCGUUGAAGUGAAAGGAAAAGGGAAAGUGAAAGGCAAGGGAAAGGGGAAAGUGAACUUGUAGAGAGAGAGUGAGCUCAGAUUCGGUUUUGGACAAGGAAAGUGGAGACAACGUCCUUUUCCACCUGGGUUCUUUCGGACAGAAGCUUUAACGGUACGUGAAUCUCACGUGACCGGUUUCGUUAAAUGGUGGAUAAAUUGCCGUUUGAGGAUAACAUUUGGUCUAAAAUUCUUAAUUCAGACACCAGAUGUGUCAUGCCCGAAAGAUGAGGGACGAAAUGUGUCUUGUGUCCAAAGUUUGGGGACGAAAACCGGUAUUUUUCCAUUCUUGAGUAAGGGUCACGAAGGAGUACGGGUGGCCUGUUGCUGGCCUUAGCUUCCUUUUCAGCUCUUCGAUUUUAGGGUUCCCUCCCCUCGUUUGGGCCUUUCCCCGAGAGUCCCUUCACUUAGUAGUGGUAAUUUAAUUAGGAGUGAGCAUAAUCUGUGCAAAUUGAUUUAUCGAUCGAUUUUAAAAAGAAUUUGGCAAACUGGAAUUGGUUAUUUGGGAUUUGGUGCAAAAUUGGUAUGAACCAAAUUCAUUGGAUUCAAAUAUGGUGUGAAAUAUGUAAUGAAAUUAUCAAUUUGGUAAUAACAAAUUUCCAAUUCAAAUUCGAUAAAACAGUACCCUAACAGGAUAGGAUACUAUUUUACCGCAUUCAUUUACCAAAUUAGUUUAUCAAAUUAUGCAUUAUAUAGGUAAAUGCUAUGUACUAUUAGGUAAAGGCUAUAUACUAUUAAUAUAUUAUAUAGGUAAAGGCUAUAAAUAGUAAAUAGUAGAUAGUAUCAUCAUAUACGUAUCAUAAUAUAUACUUAUGUACAAUAUACUACUUUAGUAUUUGUAAUAUAACUAUAAUAGUGCACUAACUAUAACACUUAUCCUUUUAUAAUAACUACUAAUAAGUAUAAGUAUAGUAUUAAAUAUUAAACAUAAUUAGUAAUUAGACAUUAGUUCAUCAUUCAUGUUUAAAUUAUUGAAUAUUUAAAUAUGUAACUUGUAACUUGCAAACGAACUCUAAAAGUAAAUAUAUCAUAUGUGAAUUUAUAUUUACUAAUCACUAAUCCUGUUUAACCAUAGACAACUGAGACAAUGCAUAGGAAUUACAUGUCAACAUAUUAGUGUGUUAUCUUUCACUAUUGAAAUUAAUCAAGUUAUUUGUAAAUUAAACAUUUAAGCAAUGUAAGAAAUAAGAAUAAUUAUGUAAGUGUAAUGCAUUACAUAAUUUACAUGUUAAUCUUAUUUCACAAAUGAAUGUAUAACUGUAUAAGUGUAUAUAACUACACAAAUGAAUUGGCAAAAUUAUCACUUAUCACUAAUCAUUCAUCAUUGUAAAUUGUAAGCUUAUAACUACACAAGCGAGUUGCAUUUUGAUUUGAAUUAAUGACUUUUGUUUGUUCCUAAAAUCAAUGAUCAAGAAUUCAAGAUAUAAUCAGGCAUAGGGGAACAAAUGACUACUAAUUGUUUGUUCCUUCAUUGUAAGUUUUUCCUUUUCCAUUGAAAAAAGUUAACCUAUUUGGAUUACCAUUUCCGAAUUCAACUGGGAAGUAAAAUGAAUUCGGUUAUGCUUAAUUCAGAAUUGAAAUAGGUUUAAAGAUUAACAAGUCAAAUAACCAAAUUGACUGAAUUUGUACCAUUGCUCACCCCUAAUUUAAUAUGAGGACCUUCUAUAUCCUCUGUCUGUUUUUAUAAGGGGAAAAAAGGCAUGGGCUCUUCUUCCUUUCAUUUCCUCUACUUCCUUUUCUUUUUGGGCUUUUGGAGUCUAUUAUCUUUUGUAGAACUUUUGUUUUUUGUUUCAGGUUUUGGUGUUUUUUGGUUUUAUUUUAUUUUAUUCGAAAAGUUGGGCUUAGUUUUUGUUUAAUUUUUCUUAUUUUGACUGAUUUUUCUUUUUCUUUGUUUUUCUUCUUUUACUUCUUUUCUUUUUUAUUUUCUUUUGUUCACUUUUUUAUUUUUAUUUUUGGAAAAAAUCCACUUUUCAUCCCCAAAUUUUGACACGAAGACACAUUUAGUCCCCAAACUUUUCGUCAAAACACAUUGAGUACAUGAAUUAACGAUUUUUUGUCACAUUUAGUCAAAAAACGGGAAAUUACUCAAUUUGAACGGAGAAGACCACGUGGCCGUUAACAAAAGUUCAAGUAUCUGUGAAAACCAACAAAAUAGAACCCACAUUUUUACUCUCUCUAAUCCGUUGCUUUUCUUCUCCAAGUUUCCCCCUUUCCCACUGAGUUAAUGGAGUGAAAAGUUGUUUUUCUCAUAGUAGAGUUAAUGGAGUGAUCCAACAAAGCUUUUCCGAUCCAAUAGAGUUAAUGGAGUGAUCCACCAUAUCAAGGAACAAAACUUCAUCUUCAAUUCGUACUUGUCCUAAAAUGAGGCCACGAAACUUAGAAUCGUCGAUUUCGUCUAAUAGCAGUAGCCGUGUCUAUGGGUAUAGAUGAAGACCCAAAUUGGCAACUUCUUGGCAGGAUGAUAAUCCUGGAAGAAGAUUCUAUAGUUGUCCAAGAUGGCCAGUAAGCAUAGAUUAAUUUUUUGUAAGUAAAGUGUAGAAAUGCCCUUACUGUAAGAAUGUGGUUGUAUUUGCAGAGGUCUGAUAGGUGCAAAUAUUUUGAAUGUCUUAAUGAACCAAUCUGUGUAAGAGGAAGGAGCAUAAUGCCAGGUUUGCUGAGAAGGAUAAAUAGGAUGGAAGAAACAAUUCAAAAAAGUCGAAGAAGGAAAAAAAUUAUGAUUUGUAUUAUCUUGAUGUUGGCUCUGCUACUUAUGAUAUCUGUUGCUGGGAAAAAUGGGAGACAUGCAAGAGAAGGAAAGUUGGUACUAAGCUUGGAAUGAGUUACCAAAGGGGGGCUGAUGACUAUGGUUCAUUUCUUUCGUAGGGCAGAAUUUUGACUGAAUUUGUAAACAUAGAAAUAGCAUGCUUUUGGAUCUUGUAAAUGAUGGCAUGCAAUUCUGUAAAUGUAGAAAUAGCUAUUUGUAGGUCUAAUUUAGAAUGUAUAUGUUAUGUACUACUGCCCCUACUUCUGGUUUUGAAUGGCUGUUGCAUUAUAUAUUGUACAAAAUUUGGUAAUGAAAUUGCUUUGUUUUAGCAGAAGAAUAGUAAGGCAAUUUGGACCUAAAUAAGAAUAACAUCAAAAAGAUGACUAGCAGCAUAGUGAGAUAAAUUGUUUGUACGUAACAAUAACAAGCUAAUCUGAAAUUUAUGUGAUGUAUUAACGAGCCAAUAUAAUUGGCAUCAUUUCCAUAUCUACCUUAGGAUUAGUCCUAAACUCCUCAGUAUACUUUCUACCAACCCAUCUAGAAUUUACAUGUGGAUUGUUAUAGGUGAAACCACAUUUGUGAGUGUCCUCAAAUGUCUUGAUUUGCACACUACCUUCCCUACUCAAUUUUCUAGCAUAGAUAAGCCAGUCACACCCUUCACUUCUACACUUAGCCCUCAAUCUUAUUUUGUCCUGCUUCACAAAUUUACAUGGUCUGCCCUGUCUUACACUAUAAUUUGUGAUAGCCAACUUGCACUCAUUUAGACUACUCAACAGCUUUUUUAACUCUAAUUUUGGAUUGUCAAUAUCUUUAGAGUUGAAGACUGUAUGUUCAGUGCUGGUUUUUUCAUCAUCAUGUUCAUUCACAAUUUCAAAAUCAGAUUCAGAAGAUGGGGCAACAUCAUUGUCCUCUGGCAUCACCAAAUUGUCAUCCCUUUCAAUUUCAAUUGGCUUAUUUUUCUGAAAAUUCUUAUGGUGCUCUACACCUAACUAUUCAACAUUUUUGUCUACAUUGUCACGCAACUCACUAUCAUCACUAUCAGUCAUAUUAUAAUCAGAGUCCACUGCUCAGAAUAGGGUUGCAAAACGAACCAAGCUGCGCGCGAGCGGCUCGAGUCAAAGCUCGACUCGAGUUCGAUAUUGAUCGAACUCGACAAUAUCGAACUCGAGUCGAGAUCGAGCUGGCGAAAUCGAACUCGAGCUCCAGUUCGAGUUCAAAAUAUUAAGUUCAUUAGUUUGCGAGCCUGCUCGUUAGCUCGAGUAUAUAUAUAUAUAUUUUUAUUUUAAUAGUAAAAUUACAUAUAUAUCCCUAAUAUUUUAUUAUUUAUUAAGAAAAAAUAAUUAAUUAUUAUUUUUAUUAGAUUAAUUUCUAGAAACUCGAGCUAACGAGUUGCUCACGAGUCAGAAAUUCGAGUUACGUUCUGAGCUGACAAUUCGAACUGCUCGUGAGCCAGAAAUCGAGCUACAACUUGCGAGCCUUGUCGAGUCGAGCUCGAGCUCAAUUUUCUUGGCUCGUCAAGCUCGGGCUCAAAUUCGAGCUCACCUGUUAUUAAGUCGAGCUCGACUCGAUAAAUCCAAAAUUCGAUUCGGCUCGACUCGUUUGCAGCCCUAACUGAGAAGAAGGAUUCACUCCCUGAAUCAGAAUCAUUAUUAUUAUUCCCAUUAGCCUCAUUGUCAUUCCCUCCCUCUCUAUGGUCAGCAUUAGGUGUAUUAAAAUUGUCAUUACCAUCAGCCCCUUCAUUCUCACUAAUCGGAUAUGGAUCGUAGCCUAAUUGUUGAACAAAGAUUUCAUGGAAUAAGAACUCAACAUACAAAAUAAUUUCCCUAUUUAAACCACCAUUCCUCUUAAUAUAUCCAUGCAAUUGUCUACUUGUUUCUAUCCUUAUAAAAUUGCUAUUUUCCCAACUAUAAUACACUUUGUGUCCAUACAAACCAGCAUUUUCAGUCAAUCUAUCUACUUCAAAAACACUUAAACCUAUGCUUUCAACAUAGUCAAUGACACAUGCAUCUCCACCCUCAUAACGUGGAUGAGGAGUGUAGGAAGUUAACCCUCCAUGGUGACAACUUAGAGUCAUAAGUGUGCUGCCUUGUUCUGAUAAAAAAAUGCACAUAUCAACAUUCAAUAAUCAACAGGGCAUACAUUAACAUUAACAACAAUGCACUCAAUAAUGCAUAAAUGUCAUAAUCACAAAUAAGGAGGACAUCUUAUGGACCCAUCUUAAUAUCAUAAUCACAAAUAAGGACCACAUGCAUAUUAUUCAAACAUUGUCAGCUCUGACAAUCAGGUUAAAAAUAAUUAAUCUUUUUAACCCAAUACAAGUCAAAGUAACCAGAAUAUACCCACAAUGCAAACCUCAAGGACCACAUCUAAAUAUUAUACUCACAAAAGUUAAAAAUUUUUACAUUUAACUCUUUAUCUAUAUACCCUAGAAAUUUUACCGUAAUUUGGGGGUGCACGAUUGUUGAAUUCUUUCUUCUGAACUGACAUUUUCUCCAUGUUCAGUUAGGGGUGUGCAUUCGGUGCAAAUUCGGUAAUUCGGUGCACUGAAUUCGGUGAAUUCGGUUAUUCUACCUGUAAAAAUUUAAACCGUUUUCAAUUCCGAAUUGGGCAUAACCGAAUUCAUUCCGCAACCGAUUUCAAAUUCGAAAACGGUAAUGAAUUCGGUUAAACCGAAUUCAUCUAUGAUUUAUAAAUUAUUACUGAUUUGAUCCCUAAAUUUAUUCAUAAUUGAACACAUUACUUAUGUUCUAAUCAUUUUGUGGUUUAAUUGGCAUUUAUUUGAUCACUUAUACCUAGAAUCCUUAGUCUAUGAUUUAAGAAACACAUAAAAAGUGAUUAAUUUAAACUAAAAUAAACCUUAGACUAUACAAUGAUUGGUGAUAAUUUAUGAAUUUAUAAUUUACAAUAAUUAAUUAUAAGCAAUAUUAGUUAGUAGUUACAAUGAAUUUAUAAUUUACACUGAUUAAUAAUAAGUAAUAUUAGUUACAAACUUGCAAACUACAAUGAUUAGUGAUAAGUUAUAUUAGUUACAAACUUAUAAUUUAUUUCAAAUCAAAAUAAAAACUUAUUUACUUACACAUGUUAUUGUGAAAGUCAAUACACUAAUAGAUUGAUUUGCAAUUCACAUACAUUCACUUACAGUCUUACACUGCUUAGUUGUCUUGUCUAUACUUAAAGCCUUAAGAUUAGUAAAUAGAUAAUAUGAAUUUUAACUUAUUUGAUAACUUAUGCCUAAAAUCAUUAGUCUAUGAUUUAAGGAACACAUAAAAAGUGAUUAAUUUAAACUAGAAUAAACCUUAGACUGUACAAUGAUUAGUGAUAAUUUAUGAAUUUAUAAUUUACAAUGAUUAAUAAUAAGUAAUAUUAGUUACAAACGUACAAAUUACAAUGAGCAGUGAUAAGUUAUAUUACUUACAAACUUAUAAUUUAUUUCAAAUCAAAAUAAAACUUAUUUACUUACAUAUAUUAUUGUGAAAGUCAAUACACUAGUACAUUGAUUUGCAAUUCAUAUGCAUUCACUUACACUGCUAACUACUUAGUUGUCUUAUCUAUACGUAAAGUCUUAAGAAUUAAGAUUAGUGAAUAGAUAAUAUGAAUUUUUAUGUUAAAUAUGUAGAGUACACUAAUACUUGCAAGUUAGAGAUUACGCAUUCAAAUAUUCAAUAAUUCAAACAUGAAUGAUGUAUCAAAUAACCAAUAUCUAAAUUUAAUUACUAAUUAUGUUUAUUGUUUGAUAUUUAGUAUUAUACAUAUAUGUGUUAAUUAUUAUCUAAUUCUAGUCAUGUUACUCAUGUAUAAAAUAAUAAGUAUUAUAGUUAUCUUAUAUUGUUAUGUAUUACUAUAUAUUGGUAUUAUUAUAGUCAUAUAACAAUUAACAAAUACUAAAAUAAUAUAUUGUACAUUAUUAUAUAUUAUUAUUAUUAUAAGUACAUGAUAUGAUGAUAAAUUGAUAAUACCAUAUACUAAUUAUUAUUAAUAGCAUUUACCUAUAUAAUAUAAUAAAGUAUUAGUAGUAUAUACUAAUACUAAAUAGCAUUUAUCUAUAUAUUAUAUAAUUUUAUAUACCAAUUUGGUAAUUCAAAUGCGGUAAUGCGGUAUCCGAUUUCAAUUACCGAAUUUGAAUGCGAAAUCAGUUAUUACCUAAUUCAUAAUCUCAUUACCUAUUUCAUACCAUAUUAGAAUUCGGUGAAUUUGGUACGUACCGAAUUUGUACCAAAUUACCAAAUACCCGAUUUCAAAUUACCGAAUUGAAUUUGAAAUCGGUUAUGAAUUCGGUAAGAACCGAAUUUGCUCACCCCUAUGUUCAGUGGCCUUCAAUCACAAAUUAAAAAGCUCCACUCAGAGGAUGGAAAUAUUUCAACCAGUGGGAAAGGGGGAAACUUGGAGAAGAAAAGCAACGGUUUAGAGAGAGUAAAAAUGUGGGUUCUAUUUUGUUGGUUUUCACAAAUAUUUGGGCUUUGGUUAACGGCCACGUGGUCUUCUCCGUUCAAAUUGAGUAAUUUCUCGUUUUUUGACUAAAUGUGGCAAAAAAUCAUUAAUUCAUAUACUCAAUGUGUUCUGACGAAAAGUUUGGGGACUAAAUGUGUCUUCAUGUCAAAGUUUGGAGACGAAAAGUGGAUUUUUCCCUUUAUUUUUUUAACUUUUCCUUUUCCUUCAAUUAAAAGAAACCUACAAGCCAAUGAAAAUUCAUGCUAAAAUGAAUUGAGUAAAUGACUAAUAAAUAGAUAAGUAAAAGAUAAAAUUUCAAGAAAAAUUUGGCAAAUAAGAUGAAAACAAAACUACAUGAGAUGAAUAUGAACGAAAAUUUGGUAUCUAUAAUUGCAAUCUACAUGGUUUUAGGGGGCCCCUCCAAUAAAAUUGCCGAAUAUUUCCACUGAAAUUUUAAUUGUUUUUGAAUUUUUUGCAAUUAUCUCCCUUUAAUUAUGUGAAAAUGUUUUUGGAAACUACCUUGCCCAACUCCCUCCCUUUCUCGGCCGCUCCAAUACCAAACCCCCCCCCCCCCCAAAAAAAAUAGAUGGAGAGUCUAGAAGGAUUUAAUCCUUUUGGAGUUAAAUAGAUGAAUUCAUUUUCAAUUCGAUUUAAGCAAAUAACGUGCACACUAUGCUUAACUGCUUAAACAAAAAAAAACCUAAUUCUUGUCUACUAAAGGUGUUCAUCAGUCAUUAAUCAGGAAUUUAGUAAACAAAAUAUUGGACGUUUUCAAUUUUUUCUUCCAAGACCAACAUCCAAUUACCAUCCAAAAUUUAUUUUGACAAAUUGAAUAUUGGUAAUUAGAUUUCGGUCGGAUAACCGAUAAUAUCCAAUAUCCAAAAUAUCAAUAGUAAGCCAAAAAAUUUUCAUUUUCCUCCAAAAAAAAAAACUAUUGCACCAAAACUAAAUCCCAUAUGGUUUUAUAUCCAUAAAAUUCAUUCAAUUUAGCUCAAACAAGCAUAAUAUAUUAAAAAAUGAUAAUAAACGUUAGCACUCCUAAUCAUUGGUCAUUAUCGCAUUAAAAAAAAAAAAAAAAGGAAGCUAGUCAACAUGCAUGCGUUUCGCCAUUUCCACUUUCCAGCGUUAUAACUAAUCAGUUGCAAGAGAGUUUAAAAAUAAGUAAUUAAGUACUUUUAGUAGACUAGUCAGUAGCCAAUAGUUAAUAGAUUAAUAUUACACACACACAUACAUAAUAGCAUUUGUAUAUAAUACCAAUUCUGGAAGUUGGGUUAAUAAUGGAGAACUACAAGAUUCUACUUUUAAUAUCCGUUCCCAAACUAUUUUCUCAUACAUUAUAUGUUGGAUAUACUCCAAUUUAUUGAAUUCCAUUUUAACAAAAUCUGAUAUCAAUCGGAUUGAUUGAUUUUUUAUUUUUAUUUUUACAUGUGUAUAAUAACAAUUCUGGAAUUCGGUCGGUAAUCUAGAACUCAAAGCUCUACUUUUUGUCUUUCUAAACAUUAUAUAUUGAAAAUGCUUCAGAAUUCCAUUUUACCGAAAUAUGAAAUUUUGAUCCAAAUUAGCUUGACUAAUUUUUCCAAUUUUCCGAAAUUUGAACACCCAUAACUAACUACAACCUAUUUACACCCUACCAUUUGGCAAUUCCACUCCGUAGAGGAUGACAACAACGCCGCUUUGGCUAAAUGUUUAUCAUCAUGAACGGAUAGCAUCACAACAUGUUUUUUAGAUGCUUCAACUUUAGACCGAAUUUCUUCACACAUUAUAUUCAAAUUGGUUCUAAGCAAAUUCGAGGGUACCAGCAUUGUCAUCUCUUUUGGGGGCCAGUUGAAGAAUUUUAUGUAGAGAAAUAGCUCGACUCAUGCUGUAUCAUAUGCAUGAAACAGAAUUUCUAGGUAUUUUGUCCAAAGGAAGCAACUUGUAUGGCUUAAACGAUGCAUUUCCAAUGGGCAAUACCUGAGCUUACAAUUUACUUUUCUGUUAUUUGUACAUGAACCAUAAUCUGGAAUUCAACAAAGUAUAAUAAAUGUUCUCACAAAAUUGAGUCUUUGGUGGACAUUCUCUUCCAUGUUAUUAACCUUAUCCCCUCUAAUGCCCGCAAGAUGUAAGCAUGUUUCUGACGGAAAAAAAAAAAACCACCAACAGACUUCCAAACAGAAGUCAACAAUCUCUCCUGUUGCUUUCAU